rnacentral:lncRNA from 1 species
UUUUUUUUUUUUUUUUUUGUCAACCCUCCUUUGUAAAGUGACUAUGAAACCAAAGUACCAUUCAAAGCUAAACACUCUCUUCCUAUAUAUCAUUUAUAUAUAUACAUAUUUCUGUAUAUAUAGCUCAAAGAACAUGAAAUCAGCUAUGUAAUGAAACCCUGAAAGUAUUACAAAAACCAAACACUUUUGAGGCCCUUUGUUUUUCACUUUCCUUUGUUCCUUAAAUUGUUGUUUCACCAUGUCGGAACAUGAAUUUAGAGACUUUUAUUACCAUGCAAGUACGAUGUUCCACAACGAUCAUGUUGACGACAUGUUUAGGGUUUCAUCAUCAGUGUCAGUUGAUCAUCAUCCUUCUUCGUAUAUGAGCUUCACGGAUUGUUUACACAGUUCGGUUGGCGAGUACGGUUCACUCGAAAAAGCCUUCGGUUUGUCCCCGUCAUCUUCGGAAGUGUUUUCUUCUCCAAUCGAAGGCUUGAAUCAGACAACAAAUCAACAAAGUAGUGAAGUUAUGGCCAUUACCCCUAAUUCUUCUAUUUCUUCUUCCUCAAGUGAGGCUGCUUAUUGUGAAGAAGAUUCAGAGAAAAAUAACAAAGAUAAGCAGCCAAAAGGGUCUGAUGAUGGAAGCAAAGAAAGCCCUAAGAAAGGGUAACUAACUAACCCUUUCUCCAUUUAUUUUUAAAAUUUACAGACAGCAUCAAUGGAGUUUAACUGAUGUUGUGUUUAUUUAUUGUGUCUGAAAGGAUGAAAGGGGCUAAAAAGAAAGCCGAGAGAAAGCAAAAAGAACCACGAUUUGCUUUCGUGACAAAAAGUGAAGUUGAUCAUCUAGAAGAUGGGUAUAGAUGGAGAAAAUAUGGACAAAAAGCUGUGAAGAACAGUCCAUAUCCAAGGUUUGGUUUCUUUCUCUUUUCUUUAAUUUCACAACCAAAAACAAACAUUGAAACAAAUCUUAGCAAGUCACGUCUGAAAGUGAAACCUGUUUGAAGUCUUUGGUCUGUAAUUGCAUUAUCUUUUCGCCCCCUUCUUUGACUAUAUACCAAGAUGCAGUCAACAUAUAUGAAACUUUAGCUGUAAGUCAUUAGUAACUUGAUGGAUUUGAAUUAUUGAAUUAAUUCCCUGUAUAUGUGACUUGCAGGAGCUACUAUCGGUGCACUACACAGAAGUGUACGGUCAAGAAAAGGGUUGAGAGAUCAUUCCAGGAUCCAUCAACGGUGAUCACAACAUAUGAGGGUCAACACAACCACCCACUCCCCACAGCACUGAGAGGAAACGCAGCAGCACUGUUCCCGCCUUCCAUGUUUGCGCCGGCGACGGCGCGGCCGAGCUUCCCGCAUGAAUUGUUUAUGCAGAUGGCGGCGCCUCAUGAAAUGAAUAACCAGCAAGCUAAUGGUGUAGCAGCAGCUUCGAUGUUUGGAGAAAACUUUAGUCCUUAUCAUCACCAGUACCACCACCACCACCACCGUCAGGUUUCUGACUAUGGGCUACUCCAAGACAUGGUUCCUUCCAGGUUCCUUAAACAUGAACCAUGAAUAUCCCAUUCUUUCUGCUUCUUUUUUUUACUCCUUGUGAGUGUACAUAUUUAUAUAUAUUUGACUGCUUUUAUCGUUAUCGUUUUCAUCUAACUUAUCUAGAGCCCAAGAAUUAUUCCUCAGUUAUUGGUUUUGAAAAGGGCUAACAUCGAGGACUAGAUAUGGGAGUGGGAUUAAUGUUCUUCCUUUGUACUUGAAACUGGUGGUUCCAUGUGUUCAGUGGAAAUGUUCCUAUGCUUCUAUGAUAGGAAAAGAGGAUCGAAGACUUGAAAUAUUAAUGGAUCAUAUUAGUUACAUUUAUGUUUGUUUAUUCAUAUCAUCAUCCUUGAUGUUAUCAUUAAUGAAGAAUGCGGGAAUAGUUUCCUUUAGUUUUAUUGACAAAUUUUGUACAACAAUGAUAUUAAUGUUUUAAAGAAUAUUCUUUUAAAACAAUUAUUAGCUACUUAAAAAUCAAUAGUAGAAUAUAUCAAAUAUAUUCUAUAAUCAUCACAAUAAAUUUUGGGUAGUAUCUAGUUUUAGUGACAUAAAGGAGGAGGAUACAAAGGUUGAUAAACAUUAAGGAAAAGUAUAAAGCGUAGCUACUGCAGCAAAGGAAAUUCAUAGCCUGUAAUAUGAACAAUGUGAAAUGGUGAAUGGAGAAUCAAAUAACACGUUUAAAACGAAGAUUAGGAUUAACAUAGUUUUUACGUGGAUGGGUUAGAAUUAUAAUACCAGAGCCACUAAAGUAGCAGUCAGGGUCGACAUGACGAUCAUAGACUUGGUAGUACGAAUUCAUGACUGUUGAUCUUCUCUUCUGUACUCCUUAUUUGGAGCAAUCCUUCCAUAUUUAUAAGGCACGGUAGGGAGCAAUCCUUCCAUAUUAAGGCACGGUUUUUGAUGUGAUAUGAUAAGAGAUAAUUAAGUGCCAUGCAUAACGACACAUUAUUCCUUUAGACUCGACAAACAUACUUAGAGUUAUCAAAAUUCUAAGAACUAACAAAGUGGACGGCUAGCAUUAUGAAUUUCAAGUUUGUGAAGUAUUAUAUAACAAUUUGUCCCCUACUUUAUUAAAAAAAGAAAAGAAAAGAGAGGGUUAUAAAGUGACUAUCCGGAGAUAGAUUUACACACCUUAAUAGUGUAAUUGAGGGCUUAUGUGAAAAUAUGGUGAAGUGUAUCUCAAAAAAUUAGGCGAACUGCACAGCAAAAAUUCAACGAGUUGAACCGCAAAAAUACUUCACAAACCCGAAAUCUGGAAUGCUAGCUCGCCACACGCUAGCUCACCACCUCUGCUAGCUCGCGGGAUCUUAUUAGAAAUAACUCUAAAGAUACAUUUCGAGCUUAAGGGGGUAACGUGUUGCUAUGCACGGUACCUAGUUAUUGCCUAGCACAUCACAUCAAAAAAUCGUACCUUAUAAAUAUGGAAGGAUUGCUCCCAAGGAAGGGACAGACGAGAGCAUAAUAAUGACAUGUGAUUCAUGGUUGAUGAGAGUAUCAUGCUUCAUAUAAUAGAUGGUUGCAGUUGAAUCCCAAGGUUCUAACGCGAUCACAGGCAUAGUUGAUGGUGGAGGCCAGUAAUGUAGUAGGGGGAGCCUCACAUCUCAUCUAUAUAAACUUCCACUUAUAUCACCAAGAAUACUCCAAGACCCUAUUUUAUACACCGAUACUAUUCCAAACCUUCUUUUUCUCUUCUAAACUUCCUCAUUUUUCCAGAAACACAUCAUGUAAACCGUUUCCAAUUUUCAACCUCACAUGUUGGUAAGCUUUCUUUUUUCCUUUUUUAUCUAUUUGAUACAGGUAAUCUUAAACGUGAUUGUGAUAAAUUUUGAUACAUUUUGAGAUAAUUUUGAUGAUAUUUACUAGUUUUGAUAACUUUUAAAAUAAUUUUUAAUGUUGUUUGUAAUAAUUAAUUCAACUCAAACUAAUUAAAUUGCUCAUACAUAAUUUAUGUAGGUGAGACUUGAACAUAUGUGCUUAAAGUUUCAAGACCUCGAAUCUUAGCAUUAGGCCUAUUUAUUAAAGGUGUUCACCCUAUUCUCUAAACGUAAGACAAAUCCGUGAGCAUAACUUUUACAAUAAUUUAAUAAUAUGCGUGUGAAAAUGUGAAUUAUAUUAUCUUUUUUUCAAGUACCCAACUUUAUCAUCUCGAUCAAAACUUCCAUUAGUAAUUUUAUCUCUUAAUGGAAAUUUUGACAAUUUUUCUUAAUAAAUUUAAAUAAUAUUGUACACUAUUUUAAUAAUUUUGUAUAUAAUUUGACAACAUUGUUGCAUCAAAACACCAAACUAGAUAAAACAUGUUUCAGUUUUUUAUGAUUUAAAUAAUUUUUUUUCUCAAUCCGCAAACAAGCACUAUAAAGCAAAAAUUAGUAAAAAUUAUAUUUUAUUCUAUCAUAUAAAUAUCAUAUAUGAUAAAAACAUAACUGUAAAUAUUCAUCAUAUAUAAGCACACAAAGCACCUACUACAGAAAUCAAUCUCCUAAAUUUAAAUAAAAUGUUGACACAUUUAUUACACACUAAACCCAGAAACCUUCACACAUGCAGAACUUCUCUUCCAUUUUAGACCCUUCAUGGAUACUGGCAGUUUCCAUAGCCUGAAAAAGAAAAAAAAAACAAUUACAAACAAUAUCAAAUGAUAAAUGGAGUAUCAAAACAAAAUUAGGUUCAAGAAAAGUUUUUUACUUGGAUCGGAUAUAGUGAUGAGACCAGAACCCUGGAAGUUACAGUUAUGUUCUUGACGACCAUUGGCCUGGUAAUAAGAAUUCAUGACAGACGAUGCAUGGUUGAUGUAAGUGUUGGGAUCAUAGCAUGCUCCACCUGGUUGUAUCUGGCUGCAGUUGAAUCCAAGGAUUCCAAGUUGUUCACAGGCAUAGUUUAUGUUGGAAACCAGUGCUUUAUCAUCAGUGGAAGGCUUUGCAACACACCAUUUUUUGACCUGUUACAUAACAAUUUCAUUACAACUGUGCGUAUUUUUUUUAUUGAAAAAAGAAUUGAUUAAUUUACCUGUCCAUUGGCCAACUUCAGCAAGAUCCCUGCAUGAAAAUGGUUGUAAAUUAUGAUUAAUGGGGAAGCCAUUAGAAACAGUGAGAAAAUGGGGAAAAAGAUACAUACCAGAGUUAAAUGACAAAAGGAGGAGAAAAUAGAGAAGGGGAAGUGAGACAGGUGAUUUAGCCAUUGCUGUUUGUGUUGGAAGUAAAAAUAGAUUAAAAAGAUAACUUGGACAAAAAGAAACGAAGAUGAAUGUUCAAAUAUAUAAGGGUGGAUAAUGCUAAUUCCGGACUAUAAUUUGCUGCUUCCACGAUGUGAAAGGCUAAAACAUUCCUAGCACUAGCAAAGGUUUGUAAAUGUCUUAAAUGGGACAGUUUAACAGAGAAGUUGUAAGGCCAAAAGAUGAAACAGCAUGGGUUUUUUAGUAAAUGACUGUGAAUUUGUCAUAAAAAGGUUGUUUUUAAGUAAUGAUUAUUGAAAAUGCAAGUUUCAAACCCCAAAAUUAAUGAUAUAUUAAUCACAAAAUGUAAGUUUCAAACCCCAAAAUUAAUUUCAGAGGUAUGAUAUAUUAAUCAUCUUUAAUCCAGAAACAUAAAAACCCAGGAGCUGAACAGGUUUAGGACAUGGUGAAAUGAUAAGGGAGUAAAAUGUCUGAAUCAAAUAUUGUCUCUGCCAUAUUCCAUCUAAUUGAACACGUUAAAUAUUUAGACUAAAGGAUAAAAUUUAGAACAAAAUCAGAAUUAAGUAAAAUUUGUGGAUUAGUGUUUUAAUACCAAAGACUAGAGUAGUUUUUCGGAGGAACAAAAACUGUGACAUGUCAAUGUUUUUCACUUGGUUGUCUUUAAAUCAACAAUAUGAUCAUGGUUAAGUUGAAAUAUUCAAGUUUUGGAAACUUUUUUUGUUUGAUUAUGCUAUAACUGCCAGACAGGACUUUGCUCCUUUUUCUUUUUUUUUUUAUUAAUGGUUAAGGAAAAGGUUUUUUUGGUCAUAUUUUGUAUAUUUUCCAUUUAAUUUCUUGCUUGAUGAUUAAGGAAGUACCAGAACGGAGUUAUAAUGCAUGAGGACGUCUCUUUGUAAGCGUCGGGUGAGAUUAAAUUUAUAUAUGUAUAUAUAUCUAUAUGUUUCAGUUUGGAUAAAUUCAAAAUAUGAAAUUUAUUUAUGUUUAUCAAUAUUUGUAAAUGAAAUCUAUUUUAAAUUUACUCAUGUUUUUUAGAAAAUAAAUUAUAUUAUUUUUAAUUUAAUAUUUAAUUAUUUUUAUAUAUUUAUAGUGUUUAUACUAUAAUAAUAUAUAUAAUAUUAUAUACAUAAUUUAUAAAAAUAAAACAAUAUAUUUCAAAAGUACAAACUGAGUUUAGGUUGAAUGUUGUCACAAAGUUGACCCAUAUUUUAAAUGUGCACAAUUUUUAGCCCAAUUUCAUUUUUGAGAUCUCGUACUUUUGCCUAAACCUCUUAUAUUUUUAGUAGACUUUUAGAUUUGAAUGAAUAGUCUAGGCGUUGAAUAAGUUGCACAGUGAUCUUAUUUAAAUAUUAUAGACUUCUUUAAUAAUUUAAUUCAAAUGCUACUCGUGAAAGCAAAAAUAAAAAUGUAAAUAUACACGAAAUGUAAUGAUACAAGGGAUGCCCAAAUCUUACUCGUCACAUAUAAAUAAUGAAAACAUGAAUUAUGGAUUUACAAAAUGUUAAGUAACGCUAACAAAUAGGAAUUACAAUAGAACGAGACGAGAUAAAGAUUAUUUGGUCCAACUUUCUUUCAUUUCUUGCAUAUAUGUAAUAUAAAUAUAUAAUAUAUUAAUGUGUCUAUGAUUUUAGAAUAUAUAUUUUAUAUAUAGAUAAAAAAAAUAGUUAUUUUGAAAUUCCAUUAAAGCCCAAAAAAACCCUAUACACCUAUCCAUCCCCACUGUACACAAUAAGAAAGUUUAAAGUGAGGGAUAACAUCCCAGUUGAGAUAAAAGCAGAUGGGAUACAUUGAUAUAGACAGGUUCUGUUGAGAUAUACACCUUGCAACUAUACCAUUACAAGUAAAUUUUAACAUUGCUUUAAGCAUACCAUAUUCCAUCUUCUUUAUUGAAGCAAGCUGUUCUGAACAAGACAUCAACUAUUAUUGGUGGCAUAAAAUACCACCGACCACCAACAAAACUAUGUCCUGCCUUGUAUUUCCACCUGAAAACUUCAUGUUUCUUACUUCACCAGUAAAUGAAGCUUAAUGCUUACUGCUCUAAAAAUAGAGAGAUUUUGUCGAUUGAGUAUUAGUUCAAUUAAUAUGAAUAUUGUUAUUAAUGUAGUAGGCCGUGAGUUUGAGUGCGUUGAAGUGCGUUAUCUUUCUAUUUAUGGGUUAGAGAGAAGCUAUCUGUAGUUCUAGGUAUUGCGUAAAAAAUAACAGAUAUGAUCAAACCUAUAAUGAGAUUAUUCAAAAAAAAUAAUAGAGAGAUUUCAUAAACUUGGUUGAGUUGGAUGUGUGGUUAUUUUGAUUUGAAAAUUUUGUUUAAGGCUAUUCAUAUUUGUAAAUGAUUAAUCCUAAGUUUAUUUAGGUUUUCUCAUAUUUUUAUUUUUAUUUUUAUUCAUUUAAAAUAUAAUUAUUUUUAUUUAAUAUAUAGUAAUUAUUUACUUUUUACUACCAUUAAAUAUUUUCUUUUAUUAAAAUUUUCGACAUAAAUUACUUAACAUAUUUUUAAAUAUUUAGAUUAUUGUAUAGUACAUAGUAUAUUUAAUCUCAUAGGAUAUAAAUUACGUAUUGAAAAUGGGUAGCUCGGGUUUUGAAUAUUGAAAUCCGAUCCCAACUCGUAUUAUAAACAAACUUAAUUUUCUUACACAAACUCUCGCAAAAUUUCAAGGUUGGAGUUGGGUGGAUAGUUCAAUACUUGAACAUAUCUACUCCAAAAUGUGGGUCAUGGUUCUUUUAAAUUAGGUUAAAUUUUGCUACCGAUCUUUAUAUUAUGUGUAAGUUGUAGAUUUAGUCUUUGCACUUUGAUUUUGUUAUUUUUAUAGUCCUUACCGACCAAACCAAAUAGUAGUUGUUAGAUUUAUUAAGUGUAAACAUAUUAUCACAUGUGAAAUGUCAUAGCAGUUUGUUAUUUCUACAUAUUACUCACAAAAAAUCAAUUAAUAAAUUUAAUAAUUAUUAUGUGUCAAAAUUGAAAUUUAAAAAUUUUAAAAACACUGCUAUCGUUUAAUUCAGAACAAACUUUAAGAUUUAAAAAAAUAUAAAAACUAAAAUUCAUUUAGGUUCGGUUAGUUCAUUUUGGCAACAAAUUCAUUUCAGUUUAUUUAAUUCUAGUGACUUAUUUGGUUUAGUAGAUUAUUCAUUAUAUAAAAAUUUAAUCGACUAAACUAAUCGGAUGCACAUCUUUAAUGGUCAUUGAGAUGUUAACAGACGAGGUUCACCAUUACUCUGACAUAAUUAAAAUAUAUUAAAUAUAUUUCAUAUAUAAAAUGAGCUUUAUUUUUAUUAUCCAUAUCAAAGUUCUUUUUAUCAAAUUAUUUUAAGUAAUACUUUUUUUAUUGAUAAUAUUUUUAGAAUUAGACCAAUAGUUAAAUCUGUCAAAUCAUUAAUUUACUGGUUUGAUUAGUUUAAUAAAUAAAUUCAUAAAAAAUUAAAAAUAAAAUACUUAUUUUAAUCAAUUUUUUAGUCGACCAAUCAAUUCAUAAUUCAACUGAUCGAAUAUCAUUCUCUAAAUCAAUACUUUGAUUGAUUCCCAAUUUUAGGAUUCGAGGGUGUCGAACCAUAACUGUGACUGGUCAGAAAUUGCCUGUGACCCUUACCAUGACUCGAUGGGGUCAUUCCAUCAAUUCAAACCUUGAAAUCAUUAUAGUUAUCUGAGGCUAUCUAUAACUGAAUUUCUAUUGGUUCAAAACAUUAUGGAACUUUGAUUUCUAACGUCUACUUGGCACCUGCAACACCACGUAUCAGUGUUGGAUAAUUUUGGGGGUUGAAAGGUGAAUUUUGUAUUAAAAAACAAUCUCCAGUGCUGUUUGCUGAACCAAUGAGAUUGUGCCACUCGUGAAUCACACCGGAUAACCCCUAUCAUAUCUACUUGGAACAGACAACUACCUGUUUCAAAUUCAGGACCACUUUGGCUUUGCAUUUCAUUGCAUGGGUCUGAAAUUCUUGUUACGAGAAAAAGCUGUGUAAUAAAUAAUGUUAAUGGAAAUGAUUAUGUUUAUGUUUAUGUUUCAUCUUGUUUCUUGAUGAAGCCUAAUGAAUCAUAUAGUUUUCGACACUGAUAAUUAGACUACUCGUGGGUCUUUUUAGAAACUAUUAAGUGAAUUACAUAAUUAAAAUUUUGGGUUUUGUAAAAUAAAUUUCAAGUUUUUUUUAUAAGGGUUAAAAGGACGAGACUUGGUAUAAACUAGACCAACACCACCGACUAGUUGACAUCAAUUUAAAGUAGUUUGAUAAUACUGCAAAACAAAUUAAGCUAGAUUUUUCUUCGUAAGAUGUUUUACAUUUAUGUAUUAUCAACCACUCAUCCUGUAAUUUGUAUUUUUAUGCUGCCAUUAUUUCAGCAUCAAUAAACUUCACCAAAAGAAAGGAAAAUCUAUUUCAUAUGGCUCAAAGAAACUUCUUUCUAUGAAAACUCCAUCUAUUUUUCCAUGAAAAUGAAAAGGGAGGGAGAGAGAAAAUCAACAUCAGGGGAGUUGUUUAAUUUAUCAAGUAAUAUUUGUGGCUAUUAAUUAUAAUCACGAAAAUUAUUGAUUGAAUCACAAGUGAAGAAUUUAUAUUUAAUUUAUAAUUGACAACAAUUUUAAGCUUUAUUUUUGAAUUUUUUUCAUACAAAAUAAUCCAUUUACCUGUUGUAGCAGUGCUCCAUUGCUCUAAACAAAGCAAACAAAAAGGUUUCGAAAUUUUUCAACAGUCGAAUUUCCGUCAUUAUGGUGGCCAAGCCUAUGAUCCUUAAAAAAUCUCAGACGUGUAAUAGUGGUAGCCUGUUAAGUGAAAUUUUGUGGAUUAAAGAUUGCCAAGUGGACAUGCAUGGUCAACAUCACAAUCUUGAAGCUCCAAUGAAAUGAAAGAUAGAGAUAUUACGUAGAUAAGGAACCUUACUCUCACCUUCCUAUAUAAUAAACCCACGGAUUGCCCCUCAUUCAAUCACUCACCCAUCACCAACAAAAUCAGUUGCUUCACAAUGGCCUCUACAACCAUGGCUCUUUCUUCCCCAUCAUUCGCCGGUAAGGCAGUGAAGUUCUCCCCUUCCACCCCUGAAAUCCGGGGAACUGGCCGUGUUUCCAUGAGGAAAACCACCAAGCCUGUUCCUUCUGGUAGCCCAUGGUACGGUCCUGACCGAGUUUUGUACUUGGGUCCACUUUCCGGUGAGCCACCAUCUUACUUGACCGGUGAGUUCCCUGGUGACUAUGGUUGGGACACUGCUGGACUCUCAGCUGAUCCCGAGACCUUUGCUAGGAACCGUGAGCUCGAAGUCAUUCACUGCAGAUGGGCCAUGUUGGGAGCUCUUGGGUGUGUUUUCCCUGAGCUGUUGGCUAGGAACGGUGUCAAGUUCGGUGAAGCUGUAUGGUUCAAGGCCGGGUCUCAAAUCUUCAGUGAGGGUGGACUUGACUACUUGGGUAACCCAAGCUUGAUCCAUGCUCAAAGCAUUUUGGCCAUCUGGGCUUGCCAAGUUAUCUUGAUGGGAGCCGUCGAGGGUUACCGUAUUGCCGGUGGACCACUCGGUGAAGUGACUGACCCAUUGUACCCAGGUGGUAGCUUUGACCCAUUGGGUCUUGCUGAUGACCCAGAGGCAUUCGCUGAGCUCAAGGUGAAAGAGAUCAAGAACGGUAGGUUGGCUAUGUUCUCAAUGUUCGGGUUCUUCGUUCAGGCCAUCGUGACCGGAAAGGGACCAUUGGAGAACUUGGCUGACCACCUUGCUGACCCAGUCAACAACAAUGCUUGGGCCUAUGCCACCAACUUUGUCCCCGGAAAGUGAACUUAGAGAGUGAAAAGGGAUUUGUCUUGUUCAUGUUUUUAUUUGUUGGUGUGAAUGUAAAUUUGUUGCACAAUCAAUGAAAGCAGAAUGUGAAUUUUGUGUGCUCAAAGUUUUUGACUGUUCCAAGUCCAUUUGUUUUAAAAUGAAAUGGUAAAAACAGGUGAAGCACAUGAUGCUAUAGACAAAACGAAAAAUAAAACUGUAAAUUUCGACAAAUGAAAUAUAAAUAAAUUCCCGAAUAAACUUCUCAGCCUUCUAUUUAUCAUUUUGAGAACUAGACAAUGUUGCAGAGACCACUUACAUAUAGGUAUUUAAAGUUACUCUGAUGAGACAGAAGACAAUGUGUGUGUAUAUAUAUAUACAUAAAGCUUUAUCAAUGAUAUGAAUGGUGUUACUAAAUGUAACUAUGAACUGGAUAAAGGUGCAAUGAAUACCGAACUCACCAAUGCAGGUUUAAUGUUACUGACCUUCACUUAUAACCAAUGUCGACAAAUCAGGGCUGCUUUCGAUUGUUCUUUUCUACUUGUCCACUUAAAUAUAACUUAAUUGUUACUCGCUUGGGCCCUUGCUCUCGAAAUAGACUUGGCAUAAAGUUCUUCGUAUCGUGAAGCUGAAGAAUCCCAGCUGAAAUCUAUAUUCAUGUUCUUUUGAACGAGUUGUUUCCAACUCUCUUUAUUGUUCUUGUAGAAAUUAAAUGCACGCUCCAAGGCACCGUUUAUUCCCUGUCAGGUUUUUAACGUCAUCCAAGGUUUAAGCAUAUGAUAGAGAACCAAAGCAAUUAAGUUGGAAUGUCGGCAAAUCAUGUUUCAAGAAUUCCUAGAGUUACCUGUUCAUCAGGAGUUGUAAAUGUAAAUCCGUUUCGAAUUUGAUUAGGUAUUGUCUCCUCAUUGACAUCGAAAACGCUAUAGAAGAAAGAUUAGAAAAGAAUUGAGAUUUAUGAUUUUACGGUCAAGUAACUUCAUAUUAGUGGAUUUACUUACAUGCAUAUAAUUCGAGUAAAGUAGUUUACCUGUCAUUUAGACCGCCAGUUUUUCUUGCAAUGGGUACUGAACCAUAUCUCAUUGCUAUCAUCUGGGUGAAAAAAGAAAACACACUGUUAAGCUUUGGCCUACAUUGCAACAGGAGACCAGUAGCUUCUCAGCACAACACCAGCAGCAACACUGCUUGAAGUGCAGAAAUGGAGCUGAACCGAAUGCAGCAAUAUGCUUUGAUCAUUUUGUUCCGAUGUAAUUUUGUCUAAUUCAUUUGUAAUUUGUUCACAAAGUUAGUAAGAUUAGUUCAUGAUUUGAGUUGAUGUAAUAGUUGAUAUGCCAGCUACCUUUUGUGUGUAAUUCAAGCAAAUGUUAGUCUUGUAUUAGUGGGAGCAGUUAAGUCAUUAGGUAAUUGCCCAUUACUCUGUAACUCAUAUAUUAUUCAAAUUUUGAAUGAAAAAUUAAGUGGUGAAUUUUCAGUUAUCAUUUUUGCAAGGUUUUCAUUCUGUUUUUGCUUUGAUUCUCCUAUUUUUGUUUUGCUACUUUGCCUUUUGUUUGCUGCCAAUGUUUCAACAAAUGGUAAUCAGAGCCUGUCAUCUUUGAAGGUCUUUGUUAUUGGUUGUUUUCUGUCAAAACAAAAUUGAGAAGAGAGAAAUCGAAGCUGUUGAGUUUGUUUCAGCAGAAUGAGUUUUACACCACCUCCACCACCUGUGUUUACUGGAGAGAACUACCACAUUUGGGUAGUUAAGAUGAGGACAUACCUUCAGGCACACGAUUUGUGGAAUGUGAUCGAGAAUGAUGUUGAUCCACCUCCAUUGAGGUUCAAUCCCACCAUUGCUCAGAUGAGGCAACACAGUGAAGAGUGCUCCAAGAAGCAUAAAGCAAUGGCUUGCUUGUAGAAUAGAGUAUCAGAUGUGAUCUUCACUAGGAUAAUGGCUUGUGACUCACCUAAGCAGGCAUGGGAGAAACUGAAGGAGGAGUUCAUGAGGUUAGACAAAACCAGGCAGCAACAAGUGAUUAAUCUCAAGAGAGAUUUUGAGAAUUUGAAGAUGAAAGAGUCAGAGACUAUCAAGCAGUACUUAGACAGAAUAAUGGCCACUGUCAACAACAUUAGGCUCCUUGGAGAAGACUUUAGUGAGAGCAGAGUUGUUGAAAAGGUCAUCACCACUCUCCCUGAGAAGUUUGAGUCAAAGAUUUCAUCACUUGAGGACUCGAAAGACUUGUCAGCUAUCUCAUUGUCUGAGCUGAUAAACUCUCUGUAUGCACUUGAGCAAAGGAGGGUCAAUAGGCAGGAAGAGUAUCCUGAAGGAGCUUUCUAGGCAAAGGUCAAAGUAGGCUUAGGUUCAAAUCUGAAAAGGAAGAAGCCUUGGCUCCAUAAAAGGGAAAACAAGGAGAGAUACAGGUAAGAAAGUGAGAACAGAGUUGUUGAAAAGGUUAUCACCACUCUCCCGGAGAAGUUUGAGUCAAAGAUUUCAUCACUUGAGGACUCGAAAAAAUUGUCAGCUAUCUCAUUGUCUGAGCUAAUAAAUUCUCUGUAUGCACUUGAGCAAAGGAGGGUCAAUAGGCAGGAAGAGUAUCCUGAAGGAGCUUUCUAGGCAAAGGUCAAAGUAGGCUCAGGUUCAAAUCUGAAAGGGAAGAAGCCUUGGCUCGAUAAAAGGGAAAACAAGGAGAGAUGCAGGCAAGAAAGUGUUCCCAUCAUGCAUUCACUGCAAGAAGACCACACAUUUGGAGAAGUACUGUUGGUACAGGCCAAACAUUCAGUGCAGAAGCUACAAACAGUUUGGCCGUGUUGAGAAAGUGUGCAGAAGCAAAGGGAAGGAACCAGCUUAGCAGCAAGCACGAGCUGCUAAGGAUUUUCAAGCUCAGGAGGAGCAUGUUUUCACAGCUUCUUGCUUUGCAAACUCAAGCAAAGUCAGAUGUGACUGGUUAGUGGACAGUGGCUGCUCACACCACAUGGUAGCUGAUAAGAAGCUGCUCAAAGACCUUGAUAGAAGUUUUGCUGCAAAAAUUAGAAUUGGUAAUGACAAUUUGAUUGAAGUUCAAGGAAGAGGAGAUGUUGUGAUCAACACUUGUUCAGAUAACAAAAUCAUUUCUGAUGUGUUUUUUGUGCCUGACAUAAAUCAGAAUCUGCUUAGUGUUGGUCAGUUAGUGGAAAAAGGGUAUUCUUUGAUCUUUAAAGAUGGCUCUUGUAUUGUUAAGGACUCACUUGGUCAGGAGUUAGUCACAGUAGCAAUGAUAGAUAGGUGUUUUAUGCUCGAUGUAAAUCAACUCGAGAAGAAGGCUUACAUUAGCCUUGCUGAUAACACUGGUCUUUGACAUAGGAGACUAGGCCAUUUCAAUUUUAGAUCACUUGAUCUGUUGGAUAAGCUGAAUUUGGUAGAAGACAUGUCAAAAGUUGAACCAAGAGACAUUGUUUGUGAAGUCUGCCAGCUUGGAAAGCAGGCUAGAUUGCCUUUUCCAGCUAACAGUGCAUAAAGAGCUCGAGAAAGGCUUGAAUUGGUUCAUUCUGAUGUUUGUGGGCCAAUGAAGACUUCUUCAUUGAAUGACAGUAAGUAUUUUGUUCUAUUUAUAGAUGACUUAACUAGGUUUUGUUGGGUUUAUUUCUUGAGGCAGAAAUCUGAAGUGUUUGAAGCAUUCAGCAAAUUCAAAGCCUUAAUUGAAAACCAGACUGAUUAUAAGAUCAAAACUUUGAGAACUGAUAAUGGCACUGAGUAUCUAUCUAAUAGAUUUCAGAAACUGUGUGAGCAAGCUGGGAUUCAUCAUCAACUAACAACAGUUUAUACUCCUCAACAGAAUGGAGUAUGUGAGAGGAAGAAUAGAACUGUGCUUGAUAUGGCCAGAUGUCUGUUAUUUCAGAGCAAGCUGCCAAGCAAAUUUUGGGCUGAGGUAGUCAAUACCUCAGUUUACCUACUCAAUAAGCUGCCAACUCACAAUGUCAAGGACAAGACUCCUUUUGAAGCUUGGCAUGGACUUAAGUCAAUCGUUUCACACUUGAAAGUGUUUCUGUUUGCCUUGGCCGCUCACAAACAAUGGAAAGUUCACCAGUUAGAUGUUAAGUCAGCAUUUCUGAAUGGUUUUCUUAAGGAGGAGAUUUUUAUUGAGCAACCAGAUGGGUUUAAGGUCCUAGGAGAAGAGGACAAGGUCUAUAAGUAGAAAAAGGCUCUGUAUGGCCUAAAGCAGGCACCAAGAGCCUGGUAUGACAGGGUUGACAUAUACCUGUCUAGGCUUGGGUUUGAGAAAAGUGUUAGUGAAGCUACACUUCAUGUGAAGAGGUCAGAAAAUGAGACAUUGCUGAUUGUUUCUCUCUAUGUGGAUAACUUAGGGUGAGUUUGGAUGGGCGGUGCGUUUACUUGCGGUUAGUGUAAAAACAGCGGUAGCGGUGAGAUUAGAUACUGUAGUGAUACUGUAGCGUGAGACAAAAAGUAAGCUAAACGCACCAUACCGCACCCAAUCGUCCAUCCAAACCCACCCUUACUUGUGACUGGAAGCAAAGAAGAACUGAUUAGCGAAUUUAAAGUGCAAAUGCAAGAGGUGUUUGAAAUGACAGACUUGGGAGUCAUGACAUACUUCCUUGGUAUGGAAGUGAAUCAAUCUUAUCAAGGCAUUUUCAUUAGCCAACAUGCCUUUGCUUUGAAGAUUCUCAAUAAAUUUUGCAUGCUAAAUUGCAAAACAAUCAGCACACCUGUGGCUCAAGAGGAGAAACUGAGUAGCAGUGGGAAUCAAGAGAGGGUUGAUAUUAUGUUUGGUGUUAUCUUUUGUAAAGAUUUAUGCACUGCUGUGAUGUGGUUCAUUUCAAAGCAGCUAGGAGGAUCCUCAAAUAUGUCAAAGGAACCUUAAGCCAUGGAGUUAAGUUUGAGAAGGAAAAUGAGCUUAAGCUAGCAGGAUAUUCUGAUAGUGAUUGGGCUGGCUCUGUCGAUGACAUGAAAAGCACCUCUGGUUAAUUCUUCAUACUUGGAUCAGGAGUUUUCUGCUAAAGCUCAAAAAAGCAACAAACUGUUGCUCAGUCCACAGCUGAGGCAGAAUACAUUGCAGCUGCUGCAGCUGUUAAUUAAACCAUUUGGCUUAGGAAGCUCGUGUAUGAUCUAAAUAAAGAACUGGCUGAACCAACUAAAAUCAAAGUUGAUAACCAGUCAACAAUUGCCAUAACCAAAAAUCCAGUCUUUCAUGGUAAGACUAAACAUUUCAAGAUCAAAUUUCAUUUUGUUCGAGAGGCUGAGCAAUCAAAAGAAGUUAGUCUUGUUCAUUAUAGCUCUGAUAUAUUCAAGAUGAUUACGUAUUUACAAAAUACCGUCUCAAUUCAUCCUAUUUCAUCAGAUCCGGGAUGUGAUAUAGUUCCGAAGGAUAAAUUGGAAAAUUCCAAUAAGAUUUCAUUCUUGAACAAAAAUCCAUUUUUUGAUUUAUUUCAUCUAUUCCAUGACCAGAACAGGAGGGGAUACACGUUACACCACGAUUUUGAAUCAGAACAGAGAUUUUAAGAAAUGGCAGAUCUAUUCACUCUAUCAAUAACCGAGCCAGAACUCAAUUGGCUGAUAUACUGACCAAGCCAUUAGGAGCUACCAGAUUUGAAACUUUGAGAAAGAAAAUUGGUGUUUGUUGCAUACAGUCCAAGGAGGAGUGUUAAGCUUUGGCCUACAUUGCAACAGGAGACCAGUAGCUGCUCAGCACAACACUAGCAGCAACACUGCUUGAAGUGCAGAAAUGGAGCUAAACCGAAUGCAGCAUUAUGUUUUGAUCAUUUUGUUCCUAUGUAACUUUGUCUAAUUCAUUUGUAAUUUGUUCACAAAGUUAGUAAGAUUAGUUCAUGAUUUGAAUUGAUGUAAUAGCUACCUUUUAUGUGUAAUUCAAGCAAAUGUUAGUCUUGUAUUAGUAGGAGCAGUUAAGUCAUUAGGUAACUGCCCAUUACCUUGUAACUCAUAUUAUUCAAAUUUUGAAUGAAAAAUUAAGUGGUGAAUUUUCAGUUAUCAUUUUUGCAAGGUUUUCAUUCUGUUUUUGCUUCGAUUCUCCUGUUUUUGUUUUGCUACUUUGCCUUUUGUUUGCUGCCAAUGUUUCAACACACUCCUAGUAGUUAUUUAUUAUUCAACAAGAUUGCUCUAGCUGAAGUUUGGAGUUUGGAGCAUACCUGUGUAAGGCCACAAGGUUCAAAAAUAGAUGGGAUGAUGAACAUGUCAGAUGCUGCGUAAAUGGCAUGAGAAAGAGACUCGUCAUAUUUUAGUAUUAGCCGAAUGUGUUCGUGGUUUUGGAAUUGGUUUGCUAUACCCUCAAAUUCCCUCUGAAAACAAAUAAAAGAACAAGAAAAUGUAAAGGAAAAUCUCAGUGUACUAAGUAUGGAACAGGAAAAGGAUCAACUUAAAAUAAAACAAAUAACUCCGCAUGGCCCGAUAUGCCUGAAUGGAGUUUUUAUUGUUUUUAUAGCUUUCAUUCAUGCAAGCAGAAAGAAAUCCGUUGUUCACAUAGAGAAAACAGCAGUAGAGAUUCACCUGAAUGUGGAGAACUGGACUUGAACCAAGAAGUACAAACUGACCGCCCAUCUCCAAUGUUCGAUAUAUGGCAUGUUUAAUCAGAUGAACACCUUUCUGUGGCACCAAUCUUGUUAUGCAGCCUACCUAUUCAAUAGUAAAAGACUUCGAGUAAGAAUCUAGGCAGUAUUCAGCUAAGAAAUAAUAAGAACCUCCUAUAAUGCUGUGUUAUUGGAACCUAAAGGUGACCUUAAACUUACAUUGUAACUCAAAAGCUUUCAUAGAGAAUAUAUAAUACAUCUUAGCAAUGUUGAUAUAACAAAUAAAGACUUCAGAAAUAAAAUUACCAAUGGCCGUUGAUCAUCAGCAGAUGAAAGCCCUAGAUUCCUUCUCAUUGCAGCUUUAUUUUCUGCUUUCCCUUGCAUAUCAUUAGCACUAUACUGCACUUUGAGAAAAUUAUCGGUGGCAGGAUUCCAUGCAUCAGUAUCGAUCCCAUUUAAGAUUCCCAUGAACUUUCUUGAGUGAGAAUUCAGUGUUGAAUGGAGGCCUUUUCCUCCCUGUAAAAGUUAGGGACAUGAUUUUGUAGUUCAACCUUAAAAUUAUAAAAGGAAGACCAUGUUCUUGAAAGAAAAACUACAAAAUAUUCUUACCUCAGCAGUUCGGACUUCUUGUGCAUAAGUGGGUGAUACUGUCGUCACUAUGUUAGAGAACACAAUUGCACCCUGAAAAGAAGGAAACUUAGAAAAAAGAACAGAAAGAAACUCUAUUUGUUAUAGGCUUAUAGCCAAACCAGUGAUUACAGCACCUUAACAGGAUUGACACUGUCAUGUGCUGUGUUAUCCUGCAUCCUAUCAGGUCUAUUUAACUCCUGGGCAUCCAGACCACAUGAUGCCAAUUCUGAAGCAGAUGCAGUCCCUUGGUACUCAAAGUUAUGGCAUGUAAAACAUAUUCGAGCUGAAUUUAAACCUUUUGGAGCAUACAAGUCCCAAUAAAGUGGUGCCUGAAAAUGUAGUCAGAAACACACCAGUCAACAGAACAUUAAAUUGAAUACCGAAAGAAACAUGAGGCCAAAAUGUCUUACAACAAAAGCUGUCUGCCAAUCAUGGCAGUGAAUUAUAUCUGGUUUCUUGCCAGCUUGAAGAAGAAACUCGAGUGCCGCGCGACUGAAAAAUGAAAAACGCUUGAAAUCAUCAUGCUCUCCAUAAUAUUGACCUCUCCAGAAGAACUUGUUGGGAUGAUGAGGCUCAAUAAAAUAAACAGGAAGGCCUGUGAAUUUAAUAGCACAUUCAGAAAGCAAAGCUAAUAGAUAACAUGCAACUAGAAAGGAAAGAAGAGAUUCUCACCUUCAACAGUACCAACCCAAAUUUUAUUUUGAAAUAGUUUGCCAUCAAAAUAUGACUCUACAGUCACAUCUAAGGCCUGUCAAAAAAAUAAAAUAAAAUCAUCACAAGCAUAUAUUGGCCUAUGAUCUUAGUGCAUCUCAAAUAUGCUAACAUACCCUUAAGUCAUAAAUGCCGUCAUAUUGCAUACAAUCAUAUUUUGGAAGAAUAAUCUCUACAAGGUGUCCUUUCUUCUGCAGUGUUUUACCAAGACCAGUCACAACAUCUCCCAAACCACCAACCUGAUUAAAAAUUAUUGAAUUAAGAGAACAGAGCAACAGAAAGAAAUCCUCCAAACUAGUAUGUAAGAAUAUGCAAGUGGAAAAAUAUUGUACAAGCUAGCUAGAAGCAAAAGUCAGAAGACAAUUAUUGAACAUUCAUUUCUCAGUAUUAGGAAUUUGGAGAUCAAUUUUAUAAACAGAUAAAAUAACAAUUCUAGCAAAGAAAUUGACAUGUAGAGAUAUAUUUAGUAAUUAUUAAAAGACCCAAAGGGUAGUAGGCUAGUUGCUAACAAAUGGAGAAAAGAAAAUGCAGAAACAAAAUCAUGUCACCAUUGAGACAUUCCUGGUCACAUAAAACAGCCAGCUACCCAGCCAUCCAGGUUCAAACACAAGAUCACAAAUAUACACUUGCAAGCACCCAGGCAGUGAUUUCCAGCGGCACAAAGGUACACAGGCAUUGGUGAUUAUACACUAUCAACUUCUUUCAAGCAGAUUGAAACCAUGCAUAGUCUUUAUGCAUAAUUCCAGUUAAGACUUCCCAAGGAGCUUCGUUCCUUGGAAUUUAAGAGCAAAAAGUGAAAGCUACACUAGGGGUGUUUGAAAUAGAUGAGGAUGAAUUUCCCAGCAAAAUAUGGAAAAUAAAAUGAAAACUUUAAGCUUGUUUGAUCAAGGUAAGCAAUAGGCAAAGGAGAUCCAAGAAAACUGCUAAAAGGUCUGUCCAUUGGUAAGUAAAGUUGUAAAGUUGUACUUCAUAUAAAAAGCAAGUGGAUUAACAAGUAAAAUGAAGAUGUCUAAUUCAAUGAAAUUUUAAAAGGAAGAAUUUGUUUUCGACCUUUAACAAAAGAAUCCAAGCCAUAAAGUACAGCUUUAGAUUAACCUAGACAUCGCUGUACUGCUUAGUAAUUGAACUCCAGAAGGAAAGAACAGUAGACUCUGUACAUCUGUCAGCAUUAGCUAAUAAACACGAAAUAUUUAGUGAAAACAAUGCAGUGUCUUCCAUUAUGAUUUACUGAGAAACAACUCAAAGUGUAACUGGGAAUGCAUAAACAAUCAUAACUGUUGUAGUAUAAUCAUAGGAGAAUCCAUUGGUGAACAUGGAAAACCACAGAGGAUGUGGAAAAGAACAGUUGCAAGCAAGUAUAUUAAGGCCACAAGAUUAAAGAAAAAGUAAAACGCAAUAUGUUAAGAUGCUCCUCUAUCUUACAGCUUUUUAUUAUAAAAAAUGCAAACUAUGCAAGGCAUUGGAACCAGGAAAAUAUCAGCAACACCUAGAAAGAAAUUAACAAUCUAAUAAAUACAUUGUUCAUUUUGACACAGUUAAUCAAAUAAGAGUCAGCAAAUCUAUGAGAAUACAACAUUAGAUAUGGACAUGGGUUAAGGGUUUGAAGGUGAAAAAAGACUAGAAAGGAUAAGACCUCUUACAAUGUAUGUUCAUUAAGAUUAGCCAAGAAAGCAACAAAUAUGAGGGGCUAAGUCUUACCUUAGCAACUGGUGCCAUCUCAGCGGCAAUAUGAACGAUGUACAACCCUGGACUAAAGACAAAAAGAUGGACAAGUUAAAAAAAAGCAGUAAUGCAUUAAAAUUGAUUAGUUAAAGGUAAGCACCUAGCUUGUGAGGAUGCAAGCCGGAGAAAUGUAGAUAUGACUUCACGCUCAUUCUUUUCUUUGCAUGCAAUAUGUGCAUCACGAAUGCAUCGAUCCUUCUUCCACACCAGUUCUCUCAAAAGCUUUGCAUCACUGUUUGAUAUUUUCUUCUCAAGCACCCAACCAUCAAUAGUAAGCAAUAAGCGGCUCCAAAAUUCUCGAGGCAUAUCAUCAACUAGUGCAUCUGAUGUCCUUUUCUUGCUUUCUUCUUUCAAACUAUUAAGAGUAUCCUGAAAUGCCUCCAGAGAUUCUUGAUAUAAUUGGACAAAAGAAUAUAUCUCUUGAUCAGACUUUUGAAGACGCUCCUCUAGUAGUUUUAUCUUUUUCUGUAUGAGUUCAUUUGAUUGUUGCAUUUUGUCAGAUGAUACCUUAAGGACAUUAACCUCUUCAAGAGAUUUUUCCAGUUUAUCAACCUUCUUUCGAAGAUCCUGGUUUUGCUGUAACACUAAAGUGGCUUGAUCAGCCUGUUUAGUUGCCGUAUCGAACAACUGUUGCAAAUUUUCUACCUUUUCCCAUAGCUCCUGGUAUUCAACCUUUAGAGUAGAAAUUUUUGGAGAGUCUUCCUGAGAAACCAAUAGUUUAGACUCCAACUCCUUCACAGAGGACCCUAGAAAAGAGCAUUCAUUUUCCAAUGUUGCCAUGCGUUCAUCAGUGUUCUUGACAUUGCUAAUCAUAGACUUAAGUGCUUGGAUAUCAUUUUUUAGGGCUAGAUUCUCUGUCCUUAAUGAAUCAACCUCCUUGUUAGGAGAAUGAUCAUCAUGUGUUGAAAGCAAUUCCUCAUUCGAAAAUUUCUUUUGAUUCUCAUAUAGUUCAAGCUCACCCCUGUCAGUUAACUCAUUUCGCAACAUCUCUAAUUGACUUUCUAGGAACUCGACAUGUAUCUUUCCUUGAGAAGCAACUUUAAUCCGUGCAUCAGCCUCUGCCAAUCUCAUUUCCAAAAUGUUAAUUUCUCCUUGCAAAGUCUCCUUCUCAUCAAGAACUUUAUGAAUAUCUUCUAGCGCAUGAACCCGUGCUUGAUUGAGAACAAGGAUAUCUACAUAUUUAGAAACAAAUGAAUGUGAUGAUAUGUAUAUAUCUCGAGUUGCAUACACAAAUAAGAUCUACAUAGAUAUAAAUUCAACAGUUUCUUAACAGCAAGUUAUCUUACUUCUCUCUGCAUUUUUUAUCAUGCCUACCAGGUCCUCUAGUUGCAUACUUGAGAGCUGCUCUCCAUUUAUGGCCUGCAAAAAAGAAAAUAGCUAUAAUAUUUUAAGUUUAAACCUUUAAUUUAUAUAGUUCUUCCUAAGAAAACAUAACAUAAUAAGUAUAUGACUAUGUAUCUCUUAUAGUUCCAUAACUAACUGUUUCUCCCGAGACCUAAUAAGUUCGUAACUCUAACCUAAAAAGAAAUCAUUUUUAUCAAAACUCUGCAGUAUAUUGUACCAGAUAAAGCAUCAAUAAAAAAAUCAGAUCACUGCUGAAUGGAAAUCUUAAUUAUUAGGGAGAACUCAUAAUUACUAUAAUUGCUGGACACAACAAUUAAGCAAUGGUAAAGGAGUUCAAUUAUUCUUCCACUUCACCAUCAUUCUGUAAAAGUUAAAAAAGAUAAACAAAUCAAACUAAAAUAUCCAAACAGACAAUAAAAAUGUAGCACCAAGCAACACAACCUUAGUCUAGAUUCACUACAGACUUAUUCUGUAAAUGAAAGUACCAAAGCUUUUGUUACAGAAGGCAGCACGAGGCCGUUUAUAAUCUGUUCACUGGUACGCUCCACGUCUCCGGCAGAGACAGAUAGAGUGCCCGAAUUCUGUUCGGCAAUAUUCUCUACAUCUAUCACAGUGUUAACAUCAUCUUUUCCACUCGUUUCGUGAUUUGCAAAAGGCUCCACAUCUACACCAUUUGGAAAAGAAUUUUCAGGUUCAGAUUCCUCAUCCCUAAUCGGCAGCAACUCUGCACUCGUUGGAAUCCGCUCAGGAGGUUUACUCAUUCGUUGCCUUUUAUGAUUUGAACUACAUAAAUAUCAAUAAGAACAUAAAAAAAAAAGUGGAUUAUAAGUUGUUGAUUAAUAUAUUCUAUGAUUUGGAUUGAUCAUAAUCAGUCAAACUCAUUGACUACCCUAAUCAUUAGGUAUAAUUCGCAUUCAAACAUAGAACCAUAUGUCAUUAGUUACUAAUUCCUGCCAUUAAUCUGCACUAAGAAAUCAAAAUUCUGGCAAAUAAUGUCUAGCAUUUACUAUAUCUAGGCCAAACGAAGUUCUAUUCAGUAAAAAAUUUCUCAAACUCGAUCAAGGAUAAAAACAAAAUCGAUCUUUCAAACAAUACCUGAGAUUACGUUGCCGCAUUUUACAAUAAGCUGGGAGGAAUUGACGCGAAGGCAAAAACAGCACCCUCAUAUAUACAUUCUUAUGCUUAUCAACAGUGUUUUUAUAACUACUGUUACUCAAACAACUAAAGCCAUGACUGAAAAAGCAAGCCGAUAACUUUGCAGACAUUUCUUUAUUAUGAUGAUUCUUUUUUCUUUCAAAUGACUGAGAAAAGCUUGUUUUCCCUUUUUCUAUACCAACGAAUUUAAAAGAUAAAUGGGAGGGUAAGAAUAACCGCUUUCUUUGGCAUAACGUAGCUUCCUGCCUGAGAGGGAAAGCUUAGUAUAAAAAAAAUGAAGAUACUAAUUAAUAAAUAUCUUAAAAUGCUGAUAAUAUCUCAGUGGAGGGAAUGAAACUCCUUUUGAUUGAUGACUCCUUUGUUUUAUUGUUAAGGUAUGACUAUUUUCGGUUACAACCUUAUCUAAAUCCAACAUAAUAUAUUUAAAUAUUUUCCUUUGUUCAGUAGAGGAUUUUGAAAGUAUAUUUUAGAUUAUCUUUGGUGUAAUAUUAGAAUUAAUUUUUUAGAAUUUUAAAAAAUUUAAAAUAUCAUAUUUUUUAAAUAAAAAUAUAAUUGAUAUAAGUAUAUUUUUAUUAUAUAAUUAAAUUUGUGAUGAUAAUUUAAGAUAAUUUUAAAUUGAUUUAAUCCGUUUUAAAAAUACAAUAACACCAAUAAAAUAUUAGAUAUUAAUAUUUAAUGUCCAAUAUACUAAAAAAGCUUUUAAACUAUUAUAUUUUGUUUAAAUAAAUCCUAGUUAAAUAAACUCUUAAGUCAUGUUUACUCAUUAAAAAUCCUUAAUUUUAAUAUUAAGGGUAUGUUUGAUUGCCAGUAAAAUAUUUUCCGUAAAAUAAUUUCUGGAAAAUGUUUUACUUUUCUGUAAAAUGAUUUACUGGAAAAUAUUUUCUGGUGUUUGAUUGAAUCUGUGUAAAAUAUUUUCGGCUGUUUGGCAGAUUUCCUGGAAAUAUUUUUCGAAAAAAUUGUUUUUACAUAUAUUGAUAUAUAUUAAUAAAUUUUUAUAUUUUAAAUUAUUUUUACAUAUAUUGCAAUGAUUUAUUUAUAAUAAUACUCAAUUAUUAAGCCACAAUAUUAAUCGUUAUAAAUUGAAAAAAAUUAAUAUCAAAUAAAUUAUUUGUAAUUGUGUUAAAAAAAGUAUUGAAUAAUUAAAAAAAUAAGUUACUGGAAAAUCGAUAAAUAGAAGCAAUUUUCUACCGGAAAUGAAGGAAGGAAUGAAGGAGGCGAUAGAGAGGAGAGCACGGAAAAUGUCUUACGGAAAUUGAAAGGGUAAGACAUUUUCCCUAAAAUAUAACCCAUUUUCCCUUGUUUUGGAGUUCAUUUUCCAAAUGGAAAAUGUUUUCCGCCAAUCAAAUGCUGGAAAAGUUGGAAAUGAUUUUCCGAAAAAUCAAUUCCUUCAAUCAAACAGACCCUAAAAAGUAAAAAUAUGUAAACAUGUUUUAAAAUUUUAAAUUAAUUUACAUUUGAUAAUAAUUUUUUUACCAAAUUAAUGUGUUUAUAGCUCGUAGUAGUGACUCAUCUAUAAUCUAUAUAAAAACAUAAAUUUCAAGAAAAUUUUGAAUUAACAAAAAUAUCCUUUAUUGUUAAUUAUAUUAUUAAUUUGAUAUUAAAAUAAUAAUUAAUCAUUAUGUGAUAAUAUUAAAAGUAAUAUUAAUUGAAUUUUAUAUAAUGAAUUCAUUAGUUAAAUUUUCAAUAUUUAAUUUUUUAACACUUAUUUUUUUAGCAUUUAAAUAAUGAUAAAUUAUUAUUUUAAUAUCAAAUUAAUAAUAUAAUUAACAAUAAAAAAUUUCAAAAGUUUCUCCAACACGCUUUUAUUUAAAUUAUAGAUUAUAAAUAGAGAAUAUGUUUUUGCUUAUGUAAAUUUAUUAUUUACUUCUUUAAUUUAAUUUAAUUUUUGUUGUUUAUUUAAUUUUUUAUAUAAUUCAUGUGAACUUGAUGACUUAGAAAAAAAAUUUACAUGUCAAAUUUUAUUAGCGUAUUUAGCAAUUCACUAAAGACGUUAACAUCAGAUAUCAUAAUAAAAUCCAUAUUGAUAGUUCAAGUACUACAAAAUGCAUGUACCACAUUUGAUAUUUUAUAAAAGUACAGGAACCAAAGGUGGAAUUAUCCCCUUUAAAAAUGUUUAGUUACCUAAAUGAAAAAAUUACCAUGGUUUAAUGGCUACUUUUCUAUUUAGGCCUUCAAACUAUCCCGCAAACUGUGGAUUUGGAGGAACCGCAAAAAAAAAAAUGUUGAAAUCUUAUUCUUUGUAAAAUCCGUUUACUUUUUUAUAUUUUUAUUUUUAUUUCCGCCAAAAUCAGAAAUUCUUCUUCUUAAUGCACUAAUAUUUUCAAUUUCCUCAAAAAAAUCUUCUUCUUAAUUCCAAAUUUAUUGAUCCCUGGAUUUCGAAUCACACAAUUUAAAUUUCCUCUCUUAAUCCUUGUUAAUUAUCUGUUUCAACAAUCAACAUUUAAAUCAAAGCCUCUACUCUGAAUUGUUUUCUUCUUAUAUAUCACUUAGAUCAAGAAAUGGAGAAAAACACUAGCUGUUUUUUCUCCAAUUCAUCUCCAAAUCUUGUAAUCACUUGUUUCGUCGCCUUCAUUACCAUCAUAUUGGUUCGAUUUCUUUACGUUAUUUACCGAACCGGCAAGCCGCUAAACAAAAGAACACCGCAGCAGACUCUCAGCACUCUCAUUGUUUUAGGUUCAGGUACGCUUCAAAUUUCGUUUAUCUGUUUCCUUAUUUGCCUUUAAACUUCACGAUGUUUAAUUAUGAUCUUUGGAUAUUGAUUUAUCGGUAUAGGAGGACACACAGCGGAGAUGAUUAAUCUCUUAUUAGUUUUACAAAAGGAUCGAUUUACGCCGAGGUUUUAUAUCGCCGCCGCUACUGAUAAUAUGAGUCUUCAGAAAGCUCGCAUGUUUGAGAAUUCUUUGGCUGAUUCGGUAAAAUUGGCUACUUCAAAUUUUCAUUAUGUUAUUAAUUGCUACUAGGAUUCUUUUUAGUACUUUCUUUCAUUGGAUUUCAAUUUGUUUAAUGUGGAUUUUUGUUCUUGAGUGUACGUUUUAUAUAUUUUUAUUUAAUGAAAAUCCUUUGAAUUAUUAUUUAAUGAUUUUGAUAUUCUUUUUAGCACUUUUCCCCUUUAUGUGUCAAUGUUGUUAAUUUUCGAUGUUAUUUUUAAGGUAAAUGUAGCUCCUUUUUAUUGGAAUGUUUGAUGGCCUCACAAUUGAAUGUGCAUCAUUCGUUCUAAAUGAUAUCCUAAUUGCAGACCCUCAAGUAUGAUCCACUGGACAGUCUAGACUAACAGUUUUUUUCAUUGCCCGAUUUCGUGUGUUGGUAGUUACUUUUUGCAAACAUUUCUAUUCGUUUGUAAAAUUUAAAGUUUUAAAUGAGUUUUGACAUUGAAUGGAGGAUGGUUCCAUAGCUGUGCUUAUCGUUAAGAAGUAGAACUAUGUUUCAUAAUCAUUUUGCUUUUUUGCUGGUCAAAUAAGAGGUUUACUUCUUAAACUUAUUUCAACAAUAGGGUGUCAAGGGAAUCUCUGCAGAGUUUAUGCAAAUCUAUAGAAGCAGGGAAGUUGGUCAAUCAUAUGUAACUUCUGUCUGGACAACUUUAGUUGCUACGGCUCAUGCAUUGUGGCUAAUGAUUAAAAUCAGACCUCAAGUGGUAUUUUUCUGUUUCUGUUAUGUCCAACCAUUUUUUCCCCUUCCAAUCUUGUUACUUUUACUAAAGAAAAAUUCCAGAAUCAAAUUUCUUGUUAUAAACUUGACUUUAAUUGCAGGUUCUUUGCAAUGGCCCUGGUACUUGUAUUCCUCUAUGUGUAAUUGCUUUCAUUUUCAAGGUUUGUCUGUUUUCCCUGGAAGCCAUAUUAUUUUGUAUUGCCUUUCUCUCUUUGAUAUUACUGAUGGAAUUUUUCCAAAAGUUAAAUGCAUAAACAUUUCUACGUCUAGGAAAAUUGGAGUUAGCCAUUUUUCUUGUAAAUUUUGCUUGCAGGUUGUUGGGAUUAGAUGGUCAUCCAUAUUUUAUGUUGAGAGCAUUGCAAGAGUAAAAAGGCUCUCUUUAAGUGGUCUGUUGCUUUACAAGUUACAGAUUGCAGAUCAGUUCUUUGUGCAAUGGCCACAACUGCAGAGAAAAUACCCUCGAGCUCAUUAUGUUGGUUGCCUGAUGUAGUGAAUUAAGUCUGCUGCUGAUGGGUACUCUUACUUUAACUUCUAAGGUUUUUUUUUUUUACUUAAAUAGUGUAUUCAGCAACAUGGUCUGAAGUAGACCAUGAUAUUUGGCCAAAAAGAAAAAGUGAUAGAAUGCAACACGAUUCUUUUGAAAAUUUGACUCUAUUUGCUACAGUUGCACAUUAACAAAAGCAUGUUAUUUAAUAAUUCUAGCGUAUCAUUUCACUGCCUGAAUAUUAAGUCCUUAUAUUUGUUGGCAAAUAACUUCUGAGGCAUAAGUUUCUAGUUCAACAUUUCAAAAACCUCUUCAUGUGUUUCUCCAUUUAGAAGCUUUUGAUCAAGCCAUUGCAAGCAGUGCAUAAUCCAAAUGCAUAUUUCCUUCGGAGACUUCAGUGUGGCUUGCUGGACCAGUUCCGAAAUAUCAGGACAUAGUUAGUAGAACUAGUGAUUUGAUUAUAAAAGGAGUAAACUUUUGUGAAGGGAAAAGUUGAUAGUGGAAGGUGCAAGAGUCCAAUAGAAUGCACCAAAGCUAUGCUGCUUGCUCUUUGACAGUGCAAGCAACUUUUGGGUGCCUAGGUGGUGAGAGGUAGUUACCCAUAUGCUUUUCCCACCUUUAUCGUAGUAUAGUCAUCUCAAGAGUGUGGAUGCUGACUGGUCAAAGAUCACCGAAAGUGCAUACAUGAUGAUGAGAUCCACUUAUAGUUUCUGGGUUAAUGGCUCACCAGUUUCUUGCUAUUCAGAUGCUGAGGUGAGCUUUCUUCCUUGAUUGCUUGUGAGAUGGAUUUGGAGGUGGUAGAAGAAGUUUUUAAUCGUGAAGAUUAAUUAAUAUUGAGGAAGUGCAAAUUCUUUUAGGUUCUAAUUUGGUUGCUUAAUAUUAUUUUGAAGAUAUGCAAAUUAAAACGUUUCGUUUUGAUUGAUGAUAAUGGAAAGAUAAAUUAUAUGAUUUUGCUUGACUGAUUCAAUAUUGAACUAGUUUUAACUUUUAAAUAUUUUAUUGUCAUAACAAGAAAAAAAAUACAGUCAUUGUUUGCAAUAUUUACUGCUUCAUGACAACAGAUAAACUCAUAAGCUUCAUGCAGUUAGUGAAUUGAUUUGACCAUUUAUUUUCUUUGGUACAUCUUUAUUGGCAGUAAUUAAACUCUAGCAUCAUUAUCUUUCACUCAUUGCUUUAAGAAGAGGAAGCUUUUUAAGCUUCAUUAUUGACGUUUAUGUUGGUGUGUUCACUCUUAGACUCUCGGUCAUCAAGAUAAUGCUGGUAGACAUGUGAAAGAUAACAGCUAGGAUCGGAAUAACAUCAAGAUAGCAGUGCUGUGCUUCCAAUGGUGAAACCCUGCCAUAGUAUGCACAUCCAUACUAAAACCAUGAUAUAUGAUGUCUUUCCUAGUUCAUGUUCUUCCAUUUCUCCCUUUAGACUUUUCCAUUCUCCGGUAACAAAAAGUCCCAGCAUGAUUGCACUUGAUGCGACUAGUGACUGAUAAAACGAUUCCCUUUUUAUGACCUUCUGAAAGCAGAAAUGCGUCAGAGAAAGGUACAACCCGUUUCCUGCUGAUGCAACAAUGGUGCAUAUGAACCCGAUCACGCUCUUCCCUCUUGAAACUCCAUUUGGAGUUGACGAGUCUUCAUGAGACACGAGAAGGAUUAGAGAAUUGAUUACGGAAGGGGUGAACUUUUGUGAAUUGAGAAAAUAAGAGAAGAAAACAUUGAAAGCUAACUGUGAUGCAUAGAUGAGUGAAUAUUUAGACACGGGAAGGUAUCACAACCCCAUCGAGUAAAGAAAGCAGUAUGUUGCUACAAGUAGGCCAAUGGAGAUAUAAAUCGACGCUAGAACCAGGGCGGAUGGUGGGGGAACUGUGCCAGAAUUGGUUGCAGUCGGAGUUUUUGAGAGACAAGAAGCAAUAGUAAGAAUGAGAAUAGGGAAAGCCUGCGAGUUGCAUAAGUGUUGCUAACCAUUGGCUCUUUCCACCUUUCUCAUAGUACAGUCUUCCCAACAACAUAGCGAUUGACUGGCCAGAAAGCACGAAGAGUACAUACAAACCUAUCCGUACCCAAUGUUUAUAGUUUUUGGGCGCUAUUGAUGAUGGGUUUGUUGAAACCAUAGUUUGUUCCUUCGAGUCUGUUCUUCAUUCUCCUGAACAGGUAAGAAAAUCGCACAAAGGAAUUCACUUAUGAUGCCUACAUCGGUGUUUUUGAGGUAGAAGUAUCGUGGAGGUUCCUAUGUUAGGAGGUGGAUUCUAUUUUGCUCCUAUUCAAAAAAAUGAGUAAAUAAAGUAUUGUAUAUUAGAUUAAAGAGUAAAUUGGUUCUGGUAAAAAAUUCAUUCAUUUUCUUUGUUAAAAAUUGGUCCCGGUCAACAUCAUAUCCAAUUUUUAAUAUAAGAAAUUAAUUAUUACUGAACUGUACUAAAUCGGUUCAGAUUUUGGUUUCUCUAUUGUUUUUGGGCUUUAAGCUUUUGGACUUUAUUAAAACAAAAUUGUCUUUAGAUUUGAACUUUUCAAUUUUAAUUAAAUAAAAUUAUCUUUGUUUUAUGUUUCUUAGACACUAUUUGACAAUUUAAUUUUUUUAUUAUACAAAAAGUCUCAAUCAAUAUAUUUAUCUCAAAAAUAAUUUGUAAAAUCUAUAAUUAUAAAUGUUUAUUAAAAAUCUAAUUAAACCUUGGUGUAAUCACUCUCAAUUUUUACUAAACAUGAUCAAAUGUUAAAUUAUUUGUAUUUUAUAACUUUUAAUGUGUAAUGACAGCAAAAAAAACAACAAUAAUGAUAGAAAAAAUAACAUAAUAAGUAAAAAAAUGACGAGGACUUGAAUUCUUGGAAGUUUUAACAGCAAUAAUAAAUAAGCAAUGAAUUAAUGAGAUAUUGACGCUUGAAUUUUUAAAUGGUUCUUUUUAAACUUUUCGAUGUCCAAUGGAAUAAAUCAAAAUUGAACCAAAUUGAUGUGGUUUAAUGACAUCAUUUAACCAAAAUCGAAUUAAACCGAAUUGUUGAUUCGACUCGAUUUCCCAGUUUGGUCGGUUUUGUUUGCUCAACUCUAUCAACAUGAGAUACAUGUGACAAGCCUCGUGGCAUUGUCUAGAUAUUCUAUCAACCUUAUCAGAUUUGAACUGCAUAAAUGAGUGAAUUUUUUUAUAGAAAAGACCAAAUUGCUCUUUGAUAUAACUAUGAGAAUUAAUUUAUCUACUUUUUGAGUAGAGGAAAAAAAAUAUAAUUUGACUCCUAAUACAAUGACCUCCAUUAUAAUUUUAUCGUGUUUUUGAUUAACUUUAUAAAAGGUUUAAUUUUUCUCCAAUCUUUAUAUUGAUUGAAUUUUUAAAAUUUAACUUUUUUUUUAAUUUUAAUUCAAGAAAUAUAUUUUCUUAUAUAAUUUAAAUUUUUAAUUAAUAACACUGUUAAAAUGAAGUUGUGAAUUGCAAUUGCUAACACAAAUUCAAAUGAAGUAAAUUUAACGAAUGAUGUACUUGGCCUACAUGCUACUCCCAACUUUUCUUUUAAAUGUUUAUGUACAAAACCUAUAUUUAAUAUAUGUUGAAACACAAAUACAGGAUAUGACUUUUCAACUAUCCUUCAAAUAUAUAAAAUUUACUUUUAAAAAAUUUAAAAUCUCCAUAUCUAAUGCUCAUACAAUGAGUAACAUAGUAGCUAUGUAUGUGUAUUUAACCAACCUGUGAUUGGCUGUGGCAGUGGCUUAGCUUCUCCCAUGUUAAAAGACGAAGAAAGUUCCUCCAAGCAAGAUCUAAAUUAUGUGGAAAGGAAAGGGCAAACAGACAAGAUUAUAUAUAAGGUUUUUUUUUCCCUUUUUCUUUUUUAACAUAAAAUCAACACAAUAGGACCCCCAAAGAAAGUUGAUUUAUGCAUUGUUUUAAUGAUAAGGAGAUGCUCGAAUGAUUUUAGAGGUUAGAACUUAUUUAAAAGUUUCAAAUUUGAAAAGGAAUUGAGUUUAGUCCGCAUCAAGGAACAUUAACUUAAAUACAUAUUGUAUUCUCAUAAUUAAUUAGAGGUUUUAGGUUUAGGAUAAAGAUGGUAAAAAUAAACUUGAAAUUGAAGAGUUUAGAGUUGAUUUGACUUGAUAUGGUCGAGUUUUUUGUUUUAAAAUUUCGACCAGGUCAAGUUAAUUUUAGCGUGAAAUCACUUCGCUCAACUUAAAAUAUUUACGAAAUUACUCUUCUAUAUAUUUAAUAUUAUUUAGGUUAAAAAAUUCUUAAAAUUUAUUACUAUUAGCAUCAUUUUAUAUCAGUUAUUCUCCUCCUCUCUUUUUAAUUUAUUUUCUCCAGUUUCUCUUUCAUUUUCAUUCAUUAUUUUUUCUUUUGUGAUGUAAUGUAUAUUUUUUACUGAGUCAAAUCCCUACUAAAAGAAUGAUAAAACAAAUCCAAUGGGAAGUUGUGCCAAUUUCUUCUUAAAUAUUUUAUUUUAGUUUAAGCUUGGGUGGAAUUAGAUUGGGUUUGGGUUAGACCUGUCCAUGGGUCGGGCCCGGAAAAAAUUUUGGCCCGAAUCUUAGGCUCGGGCCCAGCCUAAAAUAUGGGCUUAAAAUUUUGCCCAGGUCCGACUUGGGAAAAAUAAUAAGCCCGAGCCCGGCUCGAUUUUUAAUAAACACAAAAAAAAUAUUUUAAAAAUAAAAAAUAAAAAUAAAAAUAUUUUUAAAGUGUUUUAAAAUUAAAAAAUAAAAAUAAAAAAUAUAUAUUUAUUAUAUUCGGGCCGGGCCGGGCUCGGGUCAAAAAAGUUGAGCCUGAGCCCGGCCUAUUUUUUAUACGGGCCUCAUUUUUUUGCCAAAGCCCAUAUUUUGGGCCUAUAUUUUUGCCCGACCCCUCCCAUAUUUCGGGCGGGCCGUCGGACCGGGCGGACAGGUCUAGUUUGGGUAUACAAUUAAUUUUUAGGUUUGGAAUGAGUUAAAAUUUUUAAGAUCAAAAUCAGGUCGAAAUUGGGGCAUGACAAUAAAGUAUCAGAUUAGGGUCGAACAAGUAAAAAUUCAAACCGCCCCACUCUGUUGCCAUCACUAAUUAAGGGUAAAUUAAAAAAUAUAUUAGAAAUAAAAAUUCAAAUCCAAAACUUGCAAUAAAAUUUUGUUUUAGCGUUUAACUAAAUAAUCAAUUUUUUUUAUAUAAUGUUAAAAUCAAUCCAUAGUCUAUAAAUAUAAAGAUAAUACAUUUCAACGUACUUGAACUCACGUCCUUCUGUAUUGGCAAUAAUAUCUAUGCCAAUUGAACUAAAACUUAAUCGGCAUGUAAUAACCAAUUAUUAUAUAAAAAAUUUAUGUAAAAAAAUGGUUGUGGGUUAAUUUUGGUUUUAAAGUGUUAUAUUAGAGAUUUUAUAUAAAUAUAUAAAAAAUGAAAAUAGUUAAUAAUAUUAAUUAUUUAAUAUAAAAUUUUCUUUAAAACACCAAUUUUCAUAUCGUCAUGUUAAUAUUAAAUAUGUUUAUGGGCGGUUCGGUCCGGGUCAAUUCGAUUAGUACAUUUAAGAGAAUUAAGUAAAGUUAUCAGUAUCACACUUAUAUAGAUGUAAUAAUUUUGUUUUGGUAUUGACAGUAUCAGUAUUUUGAUAUCUCAUUUCAUUUAUAUAAAUGUCGCUUAAUUUUUAGUUUCUUAAUACCAUAUAUUAUAUAUAAAUGUGAGUAUACAUCAAUUACAUACAUGUAAAUAUAUUCAUGUGGAAAUAUAAAUUUUAAAUUUAUGAAAUAAAUUCAAUAAUUUAAUUUAAAUUAAUUUACUUUUAAAUGUAAUUAUAAAAAUAAAAAUAAUUUAGAUAAUACAUAUUAAAAUUUGAUUUAAAAUAUUUUGUACCAAUAAGUACGAGUAUGUAUAUAUCUAUAUAGACCAAUAUUAAUCAAAAUGGAGCGAAAUAUAUUGAAAUAAUUAAAAUGUAACAAAAUUUUUAUUAGAAUUUAACUAAAACUAAUUGGCAUUGAUUUAGAAAGUGGACCCCUUGGUUUAAAUGGUUAAAUUACUAUGUUAAUCCUUCUUAAAAAAAUAUAAUUUAAUUUAAGUGUUUUAAUGUAAACUUUAUGCUUUUACCCCAAGUUUUUUUAGUUUUAUUUUGGCCUCCCUAACACCAAAUUCUCUCUAUACAUAUUAGCCCAAAAUGAAAAAAUUUUCAUUAAAAUUUUUAAUUUUAAAAAAUUAUAAAUUAAUAUCAUGAUAAAAUUAUAUUUUUAACCUUUUAAAUUUUAUUUAUUUAUUUAUGAUCCUUCUAAAACAGUUUAAAAUGCUAAAAUGGCAUUACAUAUAACAUAGGGAUAGGGCGAUAAAGUGUGAUGUAGGUCAAAAGUCCUUCACUUCUAUUAUAACAUGAUGAUGUGAAGUAGCAAUGGUAAAUUAAAACUAGUAGCUGUAAAAGCAAAAUAGACAUGUUUAGGCUACAAUGUGUUUAAAUCAUUAAAGUUGGCAUCUAAUGAUUAUGGGGUGCGUGGAAAAAAGCCUGGAUACAAACUAUCAGCCGGUGCCAACAGACCAUCAAGUUUACCUGCUACCAGCAGGGUGGACUCAUUUUUGGUGGGUUGAUAUUCUACCUAAACCUGACCAUUGAAUUAGUAUAAAGUUUUAAGUUUGGAUCAGUUCAAUCUAAAAAAAACAUGUUUAAAAUUUUAUUUAAGUUUGACUCAGAUAAAAAAAUAUUAAACUUAAGCUCAGUUCAGCCUACUCAUAUUAAUUUUUUAUAUAAAAAUAAAUUUUAAAAAAUACAAUACAUAAAAUACACUAAAAAUAUUUCCCAACAAAAUUAAAAAUACAUUAAAAAAUAUUUAUACUUAAAUAACACUAAGAUAGUUACAACUUAGCAGGUAAAUGCCUCUAAAAUAAUAGCAAAAAUUAAUAAUAAAAUAAGAAUUAUACAAUAUUUAAAAAAUUACAACAAAAUAACAUCAAAAUGAUAGUAAAACAGCAAUAAGAAAAAUCUAGAUAAAUUUGAGCCAAGCUAAACUCAAGUCAAAAAAUCUUACUUGAAGCGUAACCUAUUUAAAAAUGUGUCAUAUUUUUUUGUCUAAAUUUAUUUAUUAGGCGUAUAUUUUUGUCAUAAACUUCUUACUUUUUGACAAACCUUCAAGACCGGGCUCAUUAUCAGGUAUAAUUCCACUUAACUGCUGCCGUCAUCAACCAUGCAUCGUAGCCAACUAGCCAUGGCGAACCCUUUAUUUGGUCUCAGAUGAUCCAAGUAAAUUAGCCCAUUUCUCAAUUCAACACUUUUUCACGGGCCUCCCUGUUCUGUUUUCAAAUUUCUUUCAUUUUUCAUAAAUAUUUUUAAUAUCUGUAUUUGUAUACAAUUUUUUAAAUAUUCAUACUUAAAAAAUUAUGUAUUAAGAAAUUAUCAUUUAGGGUCCAUUUGAAUAGAUGUUUAUUGCAUUUAAUUUUUUUAUUUCAUAUUACAAUAUCGUUACAAUAUUUAAUUUUACUAUCAUGAUUAUUUUUACACUAAUCACGUAGAACUAAGAUUAUAAGAAUAACAAAUUCUGACUUUUUUAACCCGCAUUCAUUUUAUAAACAUCUUAAAUUUUCAAGCUCAAUUAAUUUAGAUCCAUUAUAAAAAAAAUCAACAAAGUUAAUUUAUAAUAAAAACAAUAAUAUUAAUUAUGAUAAAUUUUAACUUGAUUAGGCAAAUAAUAAUAUAAAACUAAAAAGAAAAAGGAAAAUAUAAAAGCUACCAAAAAAAAAAAGAAGAAGCGUCGAUUCCACGAUACACAAAAAUCGUCAAAAACCAGGUGAAGCCGGCCCCACACAGCUUCUUCUUCCCAAUCACGCGUGCAUCCAACCGUCACUUUCCCUUCCGCAUUAUACGGAAAUGCCCUUAAUCCAACGGUUCAUAUCUCUCCUCCUUUCACUCCCCCUAACUUCACUUAUCCCUAUAACAAAUCCCAACUAUUUUUUUUUUAUAAACAAAUAAAAAAGAGGAAAAAUUAAUUGCUCACACACCCAAACUCUCUUAAUUACCUCUGCAACUUCAUUCAGCGCAAAUCUAGGGAUUUUUUUUUCUUAUAGCACCAUUUUCCCCUAUCCCGUCUUCUUUUUUGGCUGCUUCCACUCCAAUCUCUCGAUUUAUUUUGUAAGGAUUUUAAUCUUAUUCUUUUUGCCAGAUUUUUUUUCCUUAUUUUGAGCUAUCAUAAUAUUGUGGCUUAAGUAAUAUAGGUUUUUUUUUGGCUAGUAUGUAUGCUUCUCUCCGUGUUCUUUCUUCCCUUUCCUUUGCAAUUUAUUUUUUAGUUUUACUGAGAAAUUUACUAUUUUUUUUUAAAAAAAAUAAUGUUUUCUUUUGAUGGAAAGUGAGUUUCUUUUUUCUUUUUAAGUUCAGCUAUUUUUAAUGUUUAUUUUUCUUUUUGAUUUCUCUUAGAUUUGUAUCAGCUACUAAAUAGAACUUCAUUCAUUGUCUUUUUCCUUUAUGAUUCUUAGAUCCACUGGGCUUGAAUUAUUAUUGAGCCCUUUGUUUAGUUGAUUUAUUUUUAUUGAAGAUCCCUUGGUUUAACUGCUAUUUCAAUAUUUUUAAAUUAGUGCUAAUUCUUUUUUUCUUUUGGUUGCAGGCUAGAAUUUAUUAAUCACUUUGGGGGUUGAACUGAAGAUAAACAAAAUGCCGUGGUCUUUGGUUUAUCGUGUUCGAAUGGUUGUUUUCUUUCUUAUCAUACUGUAAUUUAUUUUGGGUAAGUUUUGUGAAUCUAGAACUUCUAUGAAUUUUAAUUCCCCUUGUUAUAAUUCGGUUGGGGUGACGAUUAAUUGCUUAUGUUAUAAUUUUGCUGAAUAAAAUGUAGUUUAAAUCCUAAUGUGCAUUGUGUUUGUAUGUCAUAUUUAAUAAGGAAUUAUUAUAUUGUUGUAGGUGAAUUUCAAUUGAAUUUGGAAUUGGAAGGGGAUUCAAUUCAUUCAAUUUAGCGUCGUUGGAUAUUGAUAAAAUUUUGGUUGGAGAGGUUUGAGAAUGUUCAUUGCAGCAACCACAAAGAGAUAUCGUGCAGUUAAGGAAGUCGGGAAGAUUAAAAUGAGCGUUGGUGUUAUUGCAUACUAUCAAUUAGUUCAAGUUUGUCAGGUAAAUUUGUUUUUCUUACCGCUGUUGCAGUGUGUCCUUGGAAAUGCAUAAAAAAAACUGUCUUAAAUAUAUCCAUGUGUGCCAUGUCAACUGUGGUUUUAUUACUAAUUUUGCGGUCACAUGAUUUUAUUAAGUUGAUAUGCCUCUUGGUUUUUAGUUUUUCAAUUGACUGAUUAGGAAAGUAUGUCUUCUUAAUUCACCCAAGAUAUAAUUAAUGCACUAUAACAAUGUGCACGGACCAAGCACAUUUGUGAACAGUUAUGCAUACAUAUACAGGUAUCAUAGUGAAGAAAAAUAAGUUAUUUUAUAAAUCUGAGCAAUGCUUUUUCAUUGACCUUUUCAUGUAAAUCUGAGCAAUUGUGAGCACAGUGAAUCUGGACACGGAGAAAACUUGUAAACUUUUAACCAUUUUAACGAGCUUCCUAUGGAUCUGUUCAUUUAAUCAAGUAAUAUCAGAUAGAUUUGCGGACAAAAGAAUAUUUUUGUUGUUCUCUGGACAUAAUCUCUGUGUGCAUUUUGUUAUAGUUCUAAUGAUUUUUUAUUUUGCUAUCACAGGCCGAGUAUUUCCGUCAGUUGCUAAAACCAGUUACGUAGUCUAGUAGUUAGCAACUCUUGGAAAUUGGGAUCUGGGGGAGUCUUCCAUUUGGUUGUUUUAUACGUAGGCUUUCAAAGAAUGAAAUAUCUGAUAUUGUUGAUGGGAAAUUGGGGAUAGGCAGCUCUUGUCUUGUUUUGAUGGCGAUCCACUAGUUUUAGUCUGUAGUCUUUCCGUAAUUAUAGCUAUAAACCUCCUUCCAACUUAAAAAUAAAUAAUUUUAAGUUCAAAACCAAGUUUAAACUUCUCGUUAAGUAGAAAAUAAGAUGCAGAGUGACCAACAAUUUUACCCCCAAAAAGCAGUGCCCACACUUGCAGAUCAAGUGGCCAAUAAUUACAUGCAUAUCCCAGUUGCAUCUGCUUUUGGACCAGUUUUUCCUCCAUGUGCAAAACACUUGCCGCCCCUCCAUGGCAUUGAGUUUCAACCCUCUGAGGUUUGUCCCAAGAACUUUGUUAUUUUCAAUCAGACUGAUAAUAGGAACCAAGUCUUGUUCAACCCGGCUAUCACAAACAAGUUUCAUGGUAAUGAAUUAAAUGUUUUUGCAAAUUACAAUGAUGGCAAGUAUGAGAGGAAAGAUGUUUAUGAUGUGGGAGAAGAAACAUCCUCUUUUCUGAAAGAGGAUUCGGAUGAUAUUGAUGCACUGCUCAGCUCGGAAGAGGAAGAACAAGUUGAGUACGAUGAGGAAGUGGUUAGCACAGCCCGGACCUUUGGAAAUUAUGAAUUCGACACUGCUGAUUCUCGCUCUGCUCAUGGCUCGAAACCAAAAAAGAACAAGUCUUCCUCUUAUACUCUGAAGUCUUCUGGUAAUAGCAGUUGUUGUGACCCUGAAAUUAAGCGACUGAAAAUGAAGGAAAUGGUGAAGGUUUUAAGGGGAAUCGUUCCGGGUGCUGAUGAGAUGGAUACUGUUGCUGUUCUCGAUGGAGCUGUUAGGUACCUCAAGUCUCUCAAGGUUGAAGUACAGAAGCUCGGAGUUGGGAAUUUCAAAUAUGAAGAUUGAACCCAAAUCAUGGUAAUGAAGUUCUCACCUUUGUAUACCUCUCCAUAACUGGCCUCUCUCUAAUGGUUUGCAGUCUAGAAAUAAAGAAGACAGGUAUUAGAAUCAAUAUUUGUGUUGUUGUAUGCAUGAACUCUGGUUGUGUAAUAUGAGUACCACCAAGUACCAAGUUUCUAGCUGCCUUUAAUAUCAUUAUGGCACAAGUAGUUGCUUUGAAUGUUAUUGUACUAGUAGUUUCUACUUUCAACUCUGUCUUAUUUCUGUAUUUUACGUACUUUAUGUUUAUUCUCAGUUAUGAAUAAAUGUUACAAGAUGUUAUUGGGGGACAUGAGUGUUCAUUGUGAUGCAUGCAAUUGCAGACUACAUUUUUCUCUCUCCCCCACAAUCCUGGUGACCGGUAGUAGGUACGCAGUGGUUUUUAGUGGCGCAACGCCCGACCUUUUUACCUGUUCUCUAGUUCCUGGCAUGUAUUGAGUUAGACUUAUAAAUGAACAUAUAUUUAUGUUUGUUUAUUUUUAAGUUAGCUUGUGUUCGGUUUAUGCUUGUUAAGGAUUUCAAAAUUGUUUUUGUAGUUGUUUAUUUAAAAGUACACAUGUUCGUGAGUUUAUUUGUGCACGUUAAACGGACAUAUUUACAAAACAUUAAACGUAUAUAUUUGUAAACAUGAACAUAUAAUUGAACAUGUUCAUGAAUAAUAAUAAAUAAUAAUUAAACAUCUAUAUUUAAAUUUUUACCAAAAUUUAUAUAUAUUUAGAUGUAAAAAUAAUUAAGUAUAAAUUUUAAUAAUUAUAUUAUGUAUAAGUAAAAUAAGCACAUAAGUAAUAAUAUUAUUAAUUAUAUAAUAAUCAAACAAUAAAUAAUUUUUAAACAAACUUAUUAAUGAAUAUGAUUGAAUUGAAUAAAAAUUUGAAUUAUUUAUUUAACUCUUUAUUCCAUAUUAUAAAUCAAAAAAUGUUAGAUGUAGUGAGAGAUGCAUUGCAUUUUUAAAGGAUUUUAAAGGGAAAACAUAAAUUCAAACUUAUUAUUGAAAAAGACAGCCGAAUACCGAACAUGGAUUGUAAAACGUAAAUUGUUAAGUGUAUGAGCAUGUUGAAAAACGUAAUUUGUCAUGAAUAUGAGCAUGUAUGGUGUAGUUGGAUUUCCUUUGGCAUCACUCAUCAUUUGUAACUAAUUAGUUUUCAACAUUCAAUUGGUUUCGUCAGCUUUAUAUUAUGUUAUAUGGGAAGUGGUGGAAACUAGUGGAAUAAAUCAAGUGGAAACUGGAGGGAACUAACUCUUUCCUCUGACUUGAGUAUGACCAAAAGUAAUGGCUACUAAAUAAAAAAGGAGGCCCACGAAAGGUGCUAAGCAUGUCCUUCAUUAAAUUGGCCACCCACAAGACCCAUGCCGCAGAUCAGCCAAUAGGGUUCCAACGAUGCAAGGGUGGACACAGUUGACUCUCGGUGAUUGUGAGGCUACUUUUAGUGAAACAGGCUGGCUUAUUUUGCAGCAAGUGACGCCUAGAAUCAACACCAUAAUCAUUAUAUAUGCCAACAUAAAUAUAAAAAAGUGUACAUAUAUGGGGUUGAGGCAAGACAUGAGAGGAGGAUGAAUAAAAAGGAAGCUGCUAAUGGUACCCUACAGAGUGUGGUGAAUGCUAAAGUGGCAAAUCAAAUUGUCUUUACAAUUGGACCAACUAUGGGAAGAAAAUUAUCUAGCAUUCCGUUGCUAUUUACAUUCUCUAAAAUGUCAAAACAUGGCAAUGGCAACCUUUCGGAUGGUAUUCCGACUGCCUUGUAAAGUCAGCAACUGUACCCUUUUGAUCACCCUGCUCAUUUUGGCAAUCUGAACUCUUUAUUUGAUCCGGUUGUUCUGAUUCCGAGCUCACAUUGCCCGCUUAAGAAGAUAACCGCAUGUAUUUUUGUAUGAAAAGAUCAAUUAUAUAGGACUACCUCUUGAUACCUGCACUCACGGAGAAGUUCAAGUCACCUAGCAGUGGGGCGCAGUAUAAAAGAUGUUGCAGUUCAUGCAAUAAUAUCAACCACGUGCAAGUCACUAUGGAAACACAUCAUAGAGGCGAAAGAGCAUCGCUCCAUGUAUCGUUUUAAACUAACUUAUGUAAAAUAUACCUAACUGAUGUAAGAUUUGGUGACUAUUGAAUAUGUACCAUUGUUUCUCGAAACUGAACGAACUUGACAUCAUCCAAUCUUUACAUUUCUAAAUGGGGUAAAGCAACAUUUAGUCCUGAACUUGGUAACUUUUCCCAUCUUAGUCCUUGAACCUUUUUUGGUCUACGUUGGUCUUGGAACCUAGCAACUUCUAUAAAAAAUUAUAAUUUUUUAUAAAAAAUUUAGGUGAUGACGUGACGUAAUCUCAGAAUACGUCAUACAGGGACCAAAAUCGGAAAAAGUUGCAAGCUCCAAGAAUAACGUGGACAAAAAAAAAGUUCAGAGACCAAGUUGGAAAAGUUGCUAAGUUCAUGGACUAAAUGUUGCUUUAUCCCUUUCAAAAUAUACAUCAGCACAAGCUAUUGGUUUUAAUUCUCAGCUACCAUUGACUCGAUUAGCAUUUGGGUAGUAUUUUGUACAAACCAGUCCCUGAUCAUAUCAUAUAUCAGAACCACUCCAUGAGGUAUAUCUGAUAUAAAGAUAAUAUUAUGCUAAGAAAUUCCUGGUACUGGUAGGUAGCAAUAGCAAGACCACAUCUCUCAUCUAAAUACAAGUGAAAGUUGAACAAUCAGGCUGACAUCAAGAACAAAAAUAUGCAUGAAUAAGCAAAUUCUGCGUAAUCCUAAUGUAUAAACAAAUAAGACAUGAACCUGAUUCUGUGAGCUUGCAGAGGUAGUCCAGUUCUGAGGACGGCGGAUUUGAGCUGAACUAUCAGUAAUGAAAGUUACUGUCGUUGAUUCUUCUUGCGUGUUAGCUAGUGUCAUGGGCGGUAAUUCUCUCAUGACCCAUAAUACAAAAGCUGAGGGCACCGAUGAACCUAUAAAAGCAAAAUGAAGAUCACGUUAUAAACUCAACAUCGUUACAUACUUUUUUCCAUAAGGCAGCCAAGAGCAUGAAAAGAUAGGACAGUAGAGCUUUUAUGUUUCACUGUUUCAAAUUCUGUUGUCAAGAAAGCAUAAUCAUGGCUAUUGCUAGAUGAGGCGGAAUAUUCAGAAACAUGAAAAUGCACAAAAAAUAUUUCUAAUAACGAUUUGAUGCUAGAUAUGGAUCAAAUAGUAUAAAAUGUUUAGGAUAUUCCAUGCUCCAAAAGCUGAUUUCCAUAAACGACAAUUGGAAGCUGUUAGUUUAAUUAGGAGCAACCUUUGAAACUUAAGGGAGAGUUGAAGGAAAUACCUAUAAAAUAAUAUAAAAUAAGUAAAAGAGAAGUAUAAACACCAUCUAUGUGCAGUUCAUGCCAGUGAUACAGCACCUGCAAUCACAAAAACACGAUUUAAGUUCAAUAAGCUAGAAAAUAAAACAUGGUAAAAACAAACAGUAGAGAGAUGUGUACCGGAAUAUCAGUAAAAAGAGCCACUAAAGCACUUGAUGUAAAACUUAGAACAGAUACAAUGGCCAAACCUGCAACCUACGUAAACCACAUGAAAUAUUUAAGGCAAAGAAAUAAGAUAACUAUAAAGCCACCGGAUAUAUGCAUCAAAGGUAAGCAUAAACGCCAAGGAAUGGUAAAUAUUCUAACUUGAGAGCAAAAUGAGAAGAACAAAGAAAAUGGCACGAAAAGUUGAAAACAUGAAGGUUAGUAUGACAAUACCUUCCAGAUCUCAGAUGAAGCUCUUUCAGAUCUAACAUUCCUCAUUUUCCGACAUAAUAGGAGCCCUGAGCAUAAGAAAGAAUAAAAACGUGACUCUAUUUAAGAGAGAAGAAAAUAUGUAAGAUAAAAGGACUCAUCUAUUCUGGUGACAUUUAAGAAGUACAAACUAGUCAAUUGAUUACAAAGACUAACCAAUAAAGUUUUCAGACAUUUAGGCCAGCCAUAAGUCAUGUUACCCAUCAAACUAGAAUGCUGUUUUUGAUACAAUGCCUACUUCUACCCAUAAUACCUUAAGCAUACUUGACCCCACAUCCUCCUAAUUGCUACAAUGGCAAUGGUGCCAACUGCACUAGAGCAUAAUCAGCAAACUAGAAUGCAGUUAGAUACUAUGGAUGGGGGAGCUGACACAUAUGACUUCUAGUAUUUGGUUCAAAUACGAGGAAUAAUAAAGUCUGGUUAGCCUGAUGUUAGGCAUUUUUGCAAUCACAAAGUUAUCCCGAUAGGGGAAAAAAUUUCAUAUAAUAUAAAAAGAAAAUUAGAAAAUUAUGAAGAAAAAGAAAAGUAUAUAUAAAUGCUAAUUGCUUACCAUAACAUGCUAAUGCUGCACCUAGCAAUAGUAUUGCUGUAGCAAAAAGAUCUACAUAAACCUGCAGGAGAUAGAUAGUACUUCAUGGCUUCGCUAGUAAUAAAAGAAAUAAAGAUCAGAAAGAAAUUCCAUAAGUACAAGUUUUCAUUGUCUCUUUUUAUUUUCUAAGCAAUAAACUAAAAGGAAAAAGAAUUGCAAAUACUUUCUCCACCAAAACCUUCUCUCUGACAAUCAGACUUAUUGAUGGUACUCUAAGAAAACAAAAAUAGUUCAAAAGAAAAUAGCUUCUUAGACGUUCAUACCCGGGACACGGUUGAUGAAUCAAUAGGAUUUUCUUCCAUUCCAAUCCAGAUUAGCACGGCAAAUGUCAUCAUAAGAAGAAAUACAAGAACAGUAACCUGGUCAUAGAAAAACAGAAUAAAUGAGACCAAAAACAUCAGGUAACAGCGAGAAUAAUAGAAACAUUCAAAAUAAUUUCGCAUGAAGACUGUAACAAGAAACAAAAGAAGAAAAUAUAUCACUAUACCAGAACCACUAUCUUUUGACGGCUUCCAACAUGAAUUAAACGGAAAGGAUAACAUGAUCUGCGACUAUCUGCAGGCGAAGACCUUGGUCUAUUUAAAGAAUUUUGUAUUAAAGCUUCUAGAAAGCCCUGUUCAUCAUCCUCUUCCUCUUCAUCAUCUGCCUGGUGGCAGAGGUCGACCCUAUAAAAAAUCCGCCAGAGAGACAUGGGGUAUAGCUGAUGAAGAAACACUAAUUUUCACUCUGAAAGAAAAUAUGAUAGUAACUAAAACUAUCAAAGGAUAUUAUCCUGACUUAUGAAAACACUAAGCUUCAGUACCACUGCAAUGGAUGACCCAGGGAAAAGUAAAAAAGAAAAAGAAAAAGAAAAAGCUGUCCAUUAUAUUAAUUGGUCAAGACAUGAAGCCACUAAAAUCGAUCUCCCUUUUCUUUUUUUCCACUAACAAAAGAACAUAUCUAGAUUCUUGCAAAUAUCUCUGAUUUUAGCGAUCACAUUUUCCUUAUAUCUGAAAAAGUAAUCUAAGAUACAUGACCAUAUUUCAUCCAAAGAAAUGCAAAUAAGUUAGAUAAAGAGAAGACAUACCAGAAUGACAAAAGUAGAAGAAAUGUUGCAAAUAAUAGAAUUCUGGGGAAGGCUGCAACAAUAUUUGCAUCGGUUAGUGCUUAAACUAAUCAGCUCCAGUGAAAGAAAUAAGUGUGGGAUCUUAUUACAAGCAUCUACACAUACCCAUGGCUACAAAACCACAAGAGUAAGACCAGCAUAGCCACCCUCGGCAUGCAGCAACAAGACUCAAGACAAAAUAAAUGAAGUAACCUGCGUGUAGGUGAUCAUUUGGCAGUUCAGUUUGGAUGAUUUAAAUCAUGCUAUGCAUGCAAGGUCAAAAAGAUAACAUGAGUGUAAAAUAUAAAUUCUUACCAGUAUUAGUAGUUCCAAUCAGUAUAUGAAACACCUGUUAUAGACAUUCAUUUGGGUCAAGAACAAACCAGUACACGUAGAAAAAGAAAUCAACGAAAUAACUUUUAUGUAACACAAAUUAGAGAAGAAAAACAAGUAGGAAAGAAAAGGAGGAAAGGGGGAAAAAGCAUUAACACAUUAGUCAUAUAUAUAUAUCUUUUGCUUUACAUAUAUGCACAUGAAAGCAUGGACCUUAAUAAACAUCGUCUUGAGCUCAACCCCGAGUUUAUCUUCUGCUUCAACUGGACUAUAUGUAAGUUUGAUUAUUUCUUUUCUCCAUUCCAAAAAAUCCCCAAAUGGUACAGCACGUUUGCUGAUUGUCCCAUAAAAUGGCCAGAUAAUAGAUUAACAAUUUAACUUCAUUUUUUACUUAAUUAGGUUCCUAGUUUUCAAACUUGGUCACUAAACAGCUUACAGCAAAUUAUUAGUAAUUAUUUAAUGUUUUAUCACACAUUCCUUGGAGGAUAAAAAGAUACAAGAUUAAAAUGAAGUACAGGAGUCCAACCGUGGGUUUUCUGCCAGUGAUUGAGGCAUAUACAACCAUUCUUCUGGUAUUUGAAGAAAGUGUAGAAAUUACAAAAGCAACCAAGACAAUUGUGAAAAAGUUUAAUUCUAGGGAAUGUUGGUCAAAUAAAUUUCUAAUGCAAGGCAUGCUGUCAACUCUAGGCCCCCAGUUUUUGAGCUAAUGCAUGCUGCAACUGCAACUUAAUUUUAACCUACCAGUUUCUCCAAGUUCAAUAAGUGUCAGAAGAGUCACCGACAUUCCUUUGUUCGGACAAUUCACCAAGCUCUGCCUUAAGGGGUCAGGUGACUCACAGAUCAAAUCGAGGUGCUAGUCCCCACUCAACUAGCUGGUCUGAUGGCAUUCGUGUUAAACUAGCUAGCCUAUGAAUUAGUUUGCAUUCAAAUAGAAUGAUAUUUUAACUAAAAUGUCAUAGAAAGCAACAUAACACUUACUUUUUGGCGAGUCCAUCCUAACUGUUUAUUCCUUGAGCGGAUCCGUGCUAGCUGACCAAGAAGUGGUGAGAGUAAACAAUUGUUACAAACAACAAACCAGAAAGAAUGAAUUGAAAUAAUCUCCCCGUAAUAAUUGAUAACAUCAGACUAACAACAUUCUGAUGUACAAUAUUAUCUUCUGUGAUACUGUCUAUGUAAAAGACAUAUCUAUCAGCACAUAUUCUUAUCGCAGUCCAACAUUGACACCAAUACACCUAAGCAUGAUGUGUAUGGAUGUCAAAUUCACUGCUUUGAUACAACAUAAAAUCAUUAUUGUGAUCCAAAACAGCUAAGUGCAGAAUGAUUAUUUGUUUUUCAUAGCAACAAAACAGUCUAAAUAUAGAUAAGAGGCUACUGAAUAUGAUUCAAAGCAAAAAUAGCAGAUAGAACAUGUCGGAAGGGUAAAACUAGAAUGCUAUGUAAUCUUGAAGGAUGUCAAAAUUAAGGCAGCUCAAACCAGCAGUGUUCUUCUGAAACAAAUAUAGUUGCAAGCAAAAAGGUGGAGCCAAAAAAACAUAAGAGGGAGAAUUGCAGCUAAGAUAUCGAUGGAAAUAGAAAUAAGGUUGCAAAAAACAUCAAGAUAGAUGACAGGCAACAAAGUUAGGGAAAACUGAAAACCUCAGAAUGAGGUCAAUUCAAUCUCUUUAUAGUUUACACCGUUCUUUCAAACUCAGCUCAUGGUAAAAAGAACCCGAGUCAUCUAAGUACAGCUCACUCAACCAGCAAUUUUCAGAUUCAAAUUUAGCAUACUGAACCCGAGGAAAACUUUAAGGUUGAUCCUCUCUAUUUGAUAAGGAUCAACCAUUCAUAGGACAUAUUACUCAAGAAUUCCUAAGACCAUGUGCAUUUUGAGUCUAGAGAAAUGUAACUUUCUCGAGUGCAAGCUAUCCCUAUCCACCUCUCAUUUUCAGUAUAAUGAUAAACAAGCAAACUUUUGCAUCAAAUUUGUAGUUCUGUGUUGGUUUCAAGGAAAAAGCUAACACAAUACCAGUUAGACAACAAAAUAAGUAACAAAAAGGGUCUUAAUUCAUGUCUUUAAAAUUAUAAAAUUAAAAACUCAAUCUGUUACUUGAAAAAAAACAAUGUUCAACCAGUCAUGCCAACAAUCAAAUUCAAAACCUUGAAUUACUUUCCCAAUACUAAACGCAAUUGUAUUAGCUAAAAAUGGAAGUUAUUUAACAAUUAAAUACACCAUUACCCUCGUCUAUCAAGUUACCAAAUUUCUAUAACAAUCAAAUGAACAAAAAAAAAAUAGACUAAGUUGUAAUGCAAAACCCAGAUCAAAACAAUCCAAAAAAAAACACAUUGUUACCCACAUUUCUCCCAUAUUAUAAAACCAUCCACCAUCAAUUAAAAACUCGCUAAAAACAUAAAAAAAAAAUCAAAUUUUUAAACAAAAAAGGAACAAACCUGAGUAAAAGCAAGAAUAGCAAUAAGCACAUCAAAGCAAGCAAAAACCAAGUUUAACCCAACUAAUUCUUCUGGAAAACUACAAGACCACCCUUUUUCUUCAAACAUUUGUGCCUCUCUAUAACUUUUUUUUUAAUCUUAUUAUUUAUUCACUCUAUUUUCUCUCUUUCUCUAUUAUUUUUUUCUAAGAGAAAGAUUGAAAAUACCCUAAAACACAAUCUACCCUUUUGAACCCAAAAAGUAUAUGGCAUGAAAAACUCAAUCUUUCAGAGUAGCUUUCAUGUAAGAUCUCUUGUGGGUGUUUUUCUCUUCUUUUUUCAGGAAAAUAAAAACCCAAUCAACAAAAUUUAUUAAUUUUAGUAUUUAUUAUUAUGUAUUAUCGUGGGAGGGUAAAUUGGAGAAUUUGGAUUGAAAAUUGUGGAAAAAAAGAUACGGUGUUUUGUCAGAGAGCAAACACGCGGGUGGCUUUCAAGGCGUUGAGAAAAUACUAAUAAUCAAAUCCCUAAUUAGAAUGCGAGAGUGCGUUAGUGAACCCUUUUUGACCUAAAAAGUUUUGACCUUUCUUAGUCCCCUAAGAUGACAUUUUUAAUGUACUUUCCCUUUCUUCUUCUUCUUCUUUUUUUCCUUAUUUUAUAUUAAAAUAACAAAGAGUUUUGUGGGAUUCCAAAAAAAAUUAAUACAUGAAAUAUUUUUUAAUUUAAUUGUUUUAUUACAAUUUGGUUUUUUUAAAAUUCUUUUAAUAUCAUUUUUUAACUAGUUUUAUUAAUGAUUUUUUUAAAUAUGUAAAGACGUGAUAUAUACAUAUUGAAACCUUUUAUAAAACAUAGGGUAAACUUCAAAAAUAGUCACUUUUGUUUGCUUCAGAUUACAUUUUAGCCACUUAUGUUUGAAAUGUUAUAUUUUAGUCACUUACGUUAUCAUUGUGUUACAGAGUGGUCGCUCUGUCGUUAAGCCCUGUUACCUCCCUAGCGGCAAUCCUACGUGGUAGUCUAAAUGAGUUUUAAAUGCCAACUUGGAUGUCCAACGGGAUGAGAAUAGUUUUUUCAAACAAAAUGGAAAAUAAAACUAAAAGAAAAAGGAGACGAACGGUUUUUUUUCCAGUUCAGGGUAUAAUUAAUUUAAAAUUUUCCAGUUCAAGUUGACAUUUAAAACCUAUUUGGAUUGCCACGUAGGAUUCCCGUUAGAGAGAUAACGAAAAUUAAUGGCAAAGUGGCCACUUCGUAACAAAACGAUAACGUAAGUGACUAAAAUGUAACAUUUCAAACAUAAGUGACUAAAAUGUAAUUUAAGGAAAAAAAAUAACUAUUUUGAUAGUUUACCCUAAAAAAUAAAGAGUAAUGUUUUAAAAAUUUGAUCAGUGGUUUGAUUAAAUUGGUCAAACCAUCCAUUUAAUCAUCGGUCUAAUAAUAAUUAAAUAAACGAUUAAAAAUUCAUAAUAAUUAUUAAAAAAAAGUAAUAAACUAGUUCAAUCAUUGGUUUUCUUUAUUUCGAUUUUCGAUUUUUUAUCGAUUCUGAGUUAUUUGCUCAGAAAGCUAGUUUAACAUUUCUGUUCGGACGAUAUAUAUCGACCGAUUCUCAGCCCAACCGAUAAGUUCGAUUUGAUUCCAACAACAUUGGUAAAGAGACUAAAAAUAAUCAAAUUAUAGUAGAUAGACUCAAUUGAUAAAAAUACAUUGUACAAAGACCUUAUACAAAAAUUGAUCUUAAUUCUUUUAAUAUUUCUUGAGUAGGUGUUUUCUUUUUGUUAGAAAUUGAGUAGGUGUUAUUUCACUGUUAGAUAUUUAUUUUUUAUUAAGAUUAUAUUAAUAUAAAUUUAUUCAAUAAUUAUAACACACAAAUAUUAAUUUUAUUCUUGUAACAGUUUAUGAUUAUGAAAUAUAUAUCUUUUCUUUUAGAGUUUUGUGGGUAUUUUUUAAAAACCCUUUCAUAAUUUAUUGAUUAGGUGUUAUUUCACUCUUAAUGCUACCUCGGUAGCAGAUUUUGUAUGUAAUUUAGAUGAUAUUAGUAUAAAUUUAUUCAAUAAUCAUACCCACAAAUAUUUAUUUUAUUCAUGUAACCAUUUUAUAAUUAUUAAAUAUAGUAUAUUUGUCUCUUUCUUAUGCUAAUAAUUAAUUAAUUAAUGUGUGCCAGGAACUGUGGCAAACGGAUUAAUGUGAAAUUAUUGACCACUAUUUAUUGAAUACACCUAGAACUAGAAUGGUUCCAUUUUUGGAAUUAAAAGAGAACCUUCAUUAUCUUAAGGAACAAAUCACAUGCGAAAAAAAACAGUAUGUCCAUGUGCUGCACUGUAAGACAUGCAGAUGCAAAAUUAAUUAAUAAAAAAAUUAAUCCGUUGAGUAUUGAUAUUAUUAUUAUUACAAGAGAUUGUGGGCUCAAAGCUGAAGCGCAUUAUAACCGUUAGAGAGAGACUAUAAAUAUUUCUAAAAAUUGCAUAAAAAAAUAAAAAUUAAUAAUCGUAAUACUACAUUAAAACUAAUCUCCAAAAAGUUGAAGCCAAUUGGGAAUUUUCUUUUUCUUAGUUUGCCAAGCAAUAUGUAUGGACAAUAGAGAUGGAUUUAGAUAUUUGAUUUAUUUUUUUAUUUUAAACAUUAUAAAUUUAAAUAAUAUUAAAAUUUAAAUAUUUUAAUUACUAUUCGCCAGGAAUAUUUAAAGUGGAUAUGAAUAUUAACUUCUAGAUAUCCAUUAUUAGAAUAUAUUUUACAUUUGCAAAUAACGAAUUUAAAUAUUAAAAUCCAUCAUCUGCAUUAUCUUUUUAAAUUCUUAUUUAAUUUUUUCUUUACUUAAGGCCAGUUUAUCAUUGCUUAAAAAAAACAUUUCUGACUCCAAAAGCAUUUUGAAAGAAAAGCUGUGAAUAACAAGCUGCUUUUGAUUGAAAUUUUUAGCUUUUUAGAAGUUCUUUUGAAAAAAACUUCUGAAAAGAAGCUGAAAAGGAGAAGCUAAAAAUUUUAGAUUUUCCUCUUCCAAAAACACUUUUGGUGCUUAAUUAUUUUUUCACCCCUUCAAUAACAUAGUAUUUUUUUUUCUUGGUGCUUAAUUACAAUUGUGUUAAAAUCAUUAAUUAAAAAUAAAAAAAUAUUUUUUAAAAUACUAAUUACAAAUAUUUAAUGGUUAUAUUUAAAUAUUUAAAAUAUAGUUUAUAUAUUCUAAUUAAUAUUUAUUACUUAAAAAUAUUUACAAUUUAUAUUUCAUAUAUUAAAAUAUUAACAACAAGUUAUAAUAAUUUUUUUAUAUUAUUACUAAAAUAUAAUAAUAUUAACUAAUUUAAAUAUUAUUUAAAUACAUAUUUGUUACUUGAUAAUAACAUGUCUAAAAUAAAUAUUUUAUUUCUCAAAAGUACUUUUUGACAGCAAUGCUAAACAUCCAAAUUUUAAAUCAAAAUUUUCAAAAGUACUUCUCAAAAGCACUUUUCCAUAGUAAUUUUCAAAAGCACUUUUCAAAAGCAAUGAAGAAGCCCUUAGUAAAUAGACUUUUAGUGAAUUUUGACAAAAUUAUAAAAAAAUUAUAAAUAUCCAACGUAUUGAUCUCUUUGUUUAUUAAGAUAUUUUAUUUUACUUAAUUUUUUAAAAUAUUAUCUUAAUCCCCUUUCUCUUUGUUUAUUCUUGGUUUACUUCAUAAGCUUUUUUAAUAUAUAUUUUAAAGGCUAUUUUGUUGGCAGUCCAAAAAUCAAAAUUCAACCUUUGGUAUUGUUAUUCCCUCAUCUAUACUGUAAUUGGAAAAAAACAAACAUGUUUUGUGAUUAUAUGUAUAUAUAAGAAAAUAAAAAAUAAAAACAUUUGGCCUCGUAUAUUUGUGAUUAACUAUUUCUAACAUAGGCAUUGCAGGCUCCGAGUUGUUAAUAUUGGUAUUCUACAAAUUAAGAGUUAAGACAAAGGCUUUGUCUUCUUACAGAACCUGUAUGUGUUUCUAUUUGGAACUAAAGCCUCAUGCCAGCUUCACCAAACUCUAAUUACUAUGUGUCAAUGUUACCAGCUAAUGAAUAAAAAAGUUUGGAGUUUUCUCUUUUCAGACAACUUGAUUUUGUUCAUAGUUUAUGAAUAUGGAAAUAAGCAUUUUAUGAAAGGAAAUGAUCUUCUGUUUCUACUUUUUAAUGGGCUAUUUGUUGAUAGAAAAAAUAUCUAAAUUAAUUCAUGAGAGACUAUAGGAUUAUUGUUUCUUUUUAAUUUCAUCAUGGUUUUUUUUUUUUUUUAAUUAAAAAAUUUUCUCUAUAUUCUCUCGAAUCGUGUAGGGAUAAAAACAACAGGGCUCGAUCAAAUAUAGUAUACUGAAAAAGGCGAGAGGGAGAUCCAUACAACAUGUUUGACAAUUACACUCUUUGAACACUUCAUGAGCAUACAACUGGAGAGAGGUUGCAAGAGAGGGAUCCUUGAGUCCACGUAUUAUAAUCUUAAACAAUAUGCCAAUUUCAUGGUGACACAGGACGAGGCUUGUGUUUAUCCUAAGGAUGCCAUCGAAGAAGUUGUCAAAUGAUGAUAGCUCAAGCAAUUUGUGAGACAAUCUGCUCACCAACGGGACAAAAUGAAACAAUACCAUUAUGUCGGAAAAGACGGGAUAAAAUAACAAGAAAAAAGGCAUGUCAAGGGGGCAAUCGGUAUGAUAGUUGGCGCCAUUGAUGAGUGGGUCACCUUCAAGUUCAAGAGUAAGACUCAAGUAAGGAGUGUCAAGUCAAUGAACUCCUUCCUGAAGAAAAUGUGGUAACAAAAAAGAUGUUUGCUUUACUACACAAGGUUGUAUCAUCCAUUCCCUUUGAUCUUGGCCAAAUGAUUUUUAAUCAAAUAACUAGGCAUGCAGAGACCAAGAAUACAAUGGUAGCGUUGCCUUUUUCAUCCCUCAUGAAGCAAACGUCAGACAUUGUUGAAAAGGAUGAGGUCUAUGAGCCAAUGUUACCUGAGUUGAAAUACUCCUCGGAAUGGAAGAAGGAAAAGCAUGUUGCAGUUGAUACUGAUAUGGAUGUUCUUGCUAAUGAUACUAAAGAUGAUGAUGAGGCAGCACCGGUUGUUGCUUUAGUUGCAACUAGCUCAACAUCUGCUAGAAUUUUGAGCACUUCACAAGCUAGACUGAUAUAAAAUUUGGAUGAACAAAUAGCCUCCCUUAAUGAGAGAAUAUUCAGUACCAUGAGUUCCAACUAAAACUUUUCUAACGACAAAUGACUCGUGCUCAACAUUACAAGAUUUAUUUGUUUUAUGGCCGUGAAGCCCUUGCAUUUUUUAGCCAAAAAGAGGGAGAUAGGGGUUAUACUUGGUUGCCGGUUAUGGUAUUUUUUCAUCCCACAUUAAUAGUUGAUUUUAUAGUUAAAAUUCGUAGUUGAAUAGUUGGGUUAAGGAGAAGUUUCGAGUUAAGUUACCUUGUUUGAUGUUUUUGUUCAAAAAUGCCAAAAGGAAGGAUUAUUAGUGUCAAUUGUAACUAUUAGAUGUAACGCCGGUUGUAACUUAAGGAGUAUCUCGCAAGUUAUUGUAACUUGUCUUAUUCGAUUGACAUGUUUUCAUGAGAAUUAUUUAAACUUUUAAUUGAUGAUCUUUGAGGGUUUUUAGUAGAUCAUUACCGAAGAUAAUUCAAACAAGAAUUAAGUCAAGUAAGGAAUGCAUCAAGACUUUCAAUAUAUUUGAUCUUUAAGGAAUUUGAUGACAAGAAGAUCCCUGCUAAUAUACUUAUUAUUGAAGACUUAUUUAGUGACUAAUUUUGUGGGAGUAGAAAUUCAUAUUGAUUGCAAUUUAACAAUACACAUUGUACUUAUUUAUGGUUGGCUUAUUUAGGUUAUUAUGUACAUGAAAGAGAUAACUUCAAUUUGUUCGUUAAGGAACUCUUUUUAGUGCAUAAUUUGUUUAAGUAAACUUGAUUGUUCAUCCGUUUACAACUAAGCUUUUAGGGAAUAAAACUUUGUGGGGGAGUAACCUAGUUUGAACUUUGAAGUAUACGAGUGAGGUCGCAAUUUGGUGAGUGGGUUAAACUUAAAUCAUCUUUUGUAUUUGUUAAUUUAUAGCGGAUUACUCUUUGAACGCGACUCUAGAAACGUACAAAGUUCGCGAAUUACAUAAACAAUUUUAUAUUGUCCAUCUCUAUUUUGUAAGUAAUAGUAAAUUCAUCCAUUUACAACUAAACGAAUAUCCAACAGGCAAAAUCAAUAAAUUUACGAUAUAGAUAAAUGUAUGUGUUUUAAUUGGAACUAGACCUUUUGUCAACUUCUCCAAACUCUGAUUAUUACGUGUUAAGAUUAAAUGUAAUUCUAAAUUUCAAUUUUUUACUUUAUGAAAAUUGGAAAGUUAAUUUUUCUACUUUAAUUUAUUAAAAUUGGGUUUUUGUACUUUACAAAAAUAGAAAAGUUAAUUCAAGGUGUAACAUUGUUAAACCAUGUACUUAUAUUUCAAACCUAAAAAUCAGUCGUUGAGGAAUUAUGUGCAAAUAAAAAGCUAAAAAAACAAUUAAACAAUUUAUAUACAAUAAAUUAGUCAAAUUAACAAAUCAUUCCAUGCAUUUACCAACUAUUGGACUAACUUCUCAGUUUUUGUAAAGCAUGAAGACCAAAAUUUGGUUAAAUUGAAGUAGAUGGACUAACAUCUCAAUUUUCGCAAAAUAAAGAGAUAAAAUUCAAAAGGUUAAAAUAUACUCCAAGUCCUUCUACUCUUUGUACCCUCUAAUUUUAUUUCCGGGAAUUUAAUCCAUCUACUUUUUCGAUUUCAAAAUUCAAGUCCAAUAGUUGUCGCCAUUAAUUUUUUUUUUGUUAAAUUCAAAGGUUUGACAUUUUGAACUAAACAAAUACUCACUUGGUAAUGUUACAAUAAAAAAUAAUGAUGUAAUGAACCUAAAUUUAACAUAAUGGUUUAAACAAUAUUAACAAUUAAACUUGAUUUUUUAAAUCCAAAAAAUAGAGGGGCUAAAUUCCUUGAAACAGGGGGACUAAAUUCUAAAUAUAUGAAGGAUACAUGUACCUACAUCAUAUUUUAACCAAUUCAAAAUUAAACCGUCAACAAAAGAACAAAAGUUGGAGAGUUUUCUAUAUAUGGAAAUAAGCACCUUAUGAAGGUAUAAUCUUUUGUACCAAGUUUCUAAUGGACGUAUGGUCAUCUCCGAAAUUCUGAAUUUAGAAGGAAACCAAAUUAUAUGGGAAGGUGAUAACUACAUUUCCUAGUAAGACGAUUAUCAUAGGACCAAAUCUUCCCUGUCCCUGCAAAUGCAAUGCACCACUGUUCCAUAUAUAAGAAGAUGCCAUUGCCAGGGUUUAAGAGCACCGCCAAACCUGCAAUAAUUAGAGCAGCCAAGUUGGGUUCCAUUUUGCCAUUACAUAAAAUGAACAUGCAACAAAUACAGCUUCAGCAAAAUCAGCGGUGGUGUAAAGAUCAAGAAUAGCUCCCCAUGAAGCAUAAACCCCAUGAAACCAGGUAAUAAACUAACCAUUAAUUAUAAAGGUUUUAUUAUUAUUAUUAUUAUUAUCUUUUUUUCGCGUUAAACUAAAGUGAGAAUUUUGUAGCGUCGAUGAGGCAUUUGUGCUUCAUACUUAAGCUAACAGUGGCAAAGAGAUAAAAGGAGACCGACAUGAAGGGCAAAUUUCAUUGGUUUGUGCAUUUAAUUACUAGAGUUCUAUGUGUAUACGUACUCUAAGAGAGCCAACGGCAGGAAGGAGACAACAUAAAGGGCUAAGUUCAUUAGCUUUUAAAUUUCAUCAAGAAAUUAAAUGCACAAACUAAUGAAUUUUUAUGUUUUUUUUUUCAAAAUAUUUAAAGGUGUUAAUAAAUCAAAUUGGACUAGGAUUUGAUUUAAAAAAAAUUUCAGGCUCGAACUUAGUUUUCAUUAAUCCACUCAAAUAACUAUUUUUACUGUUUGAAAAAUAAAAAAAUACUUUUUUAUUUAAAUUUAAUUAUAAAAUAUAUAUUAAUAUAAAAAUAUUUUUAUUAUUUUUUAAACAAUAAAACACAUUUAGUUGGAUGGGUUUGUGGUUAGAAAAUCUAAGUACAAACUGAACCCAAAGUGUGUUCUCUAGGACAUGAUGUUCUAAUUAAGUUAUUAAAGUAUCAGUAUCAAAUCAAUAGACUUCUUUUUUUUUUUUUGUUAACUUAGCUAUUUGCUUGGUUAUUAAUUAAAUACCACUCAAAUAUGACGUAGAGUAUAUGCAAGACAUGAUAGUCAAAUCAUGAAUAUGAGCGUAACUAUUGAAUCAACAACGAGUUAGAAAAGAUAAGCCUUCCUAAAUUUUAUUAAGGUUAAAUUAUUAUUUGGGGCUUGAACUUGACAACUUUUCUCAUAUUAGGGUUUGAAUUUUUUUUGUCCAAGUUAGGUUCUGAACUUGUCAAUUGUUCCCACAUUGGGCCUUAAACUUUAAGGUUUUCAAAGACUAAUUUGGAUAAUAAAAAAAAGCUUAAGUCCCAAUGUUGGGAUAAUUGCCAAGUUCAGGGCAUAACUUGAACUAAAAAAAAGUUCAAACUCCAAUAUAAGAAAAGUUAUCAAAUUCAGGCCUCAAAAAAUGAUUUAACCAAAUUUUAUUGUCACUAUUUUUUCUUAACAUGUCAAUUCUAAGUUGUUCAUGCAGUAACUACAUGUAUGUUUACAAUUUGAUCAUCAUGUUUUAAAUAUACUCCAUCAACCCGCCCAUUAGCUUGAUUGUUAAGUCAAAUGCAAACUCUAAUCAGAUGUGUAGAAUAUUUAAAAAACACCAUAAUCAAAUUAUAGGCACAUGUGUACUUAUUGGGUUGACAACUUGAAUCUAAGGUGUUUAAAAGAAAUAACCAUUCUAAUUGUCACUUUUUUUAACACAUCAAGUUCAAGUUGUCCAUACAAUAACUACAUACAUGUUUACAAUUUGAUCCUUGUAUUUUAAAUAGAUUGAGAUUCGAGUUUAGCUCCUGUUCAUUAUUUUUGUGUCCGUUAUUAAGCAAUAUAAGUUUAACCACUAUUAAUCAGUAUAACAUUCACAAUUCAAUAAUGGAUACUUCACAUUUGAAUGGUGAUAAUCAAUGUAUUGAAAAUUUAUUGGAUGAAAAAGUACUAAAUUGAGUUUUAAAUUAUUAAAAUAAAAUCCAUUAUUUUUUUAUCAAUUACUUUUCAAUAUACUAAUCAUCACCAAUCAUGUGUGUAGGGCUCACAAAUAAAAUAUGUAAAUCAGAUUUACGAAUGAUAAUUAAACUUGUAUUAAAUAGUAAUGGAUAAAAAAUAAUGGAGAGGAGCUUGACCCGUUUUGAAUAUAAUUGCCUUUGCCUCGUAUUUAAAUCAACAUUUAAUACCUAAAUUAAUAAUUAAAUUAAUGUAAAAAUCAGAUUGAUGUAAUACUUAUAUUUUGAAAACUCGAUUAGAAUAAAUUAAAAACCUUGGGUGUUAAUUUAAUGUGGAAUAGUGUGUUAUUGGUGACACAUAACCAAGGCCAAUAAGCUCAAUUAGGAGGGUAGUCAAGGCAUAAUUUUUUAAUAAAUGUUUUGGAGCAUGAUUUUAGAGAUUAAUUUAUCUGUUUUAAUUGAGUUUUUAAAAUAUCAUUAUCGAACCAAUCAAGUUUUUCUGUCAACCUAGCCAUUAGUUUGGUUGUCAAAUUAAAUGUUAGCUCAAAUCUAUAGUUGAGCAUAUUUAUAAAUACGUGUGUAUUGUAUGAACAACUUGAAUCUAAGUUAUUUAGAAAAAAGAAUAGUCACUUCUAAAUUCUAUUUUCCCUGUUUGUUUUUCUAACAUAUCAGAUUCAAUUUGCUUAUGAGAUAAAAUAUGUACACACAUGUUUAAAAUUUGAUUCUUUUAAAUAUACUCGACAUCAUAUUCGACUUAAUAUUUAACGACUAAAUUGACUGCUAAACUAACGAAAUAUACAUACCGAACUUAAUUAAAAUAUUUUAAAGAAGGAUAGUUUAAAUACAUUUAAUGCAAUUAACCAUAAAUAUAUAUUAGUCUUUUAGGAUGUUUAUAUCCAUCAACAACACCUUUAUCCCAAAAAAUUGAAAAGGCUAAAAUAAUAUUCCUUUUUAACCUUAUAUUAAAGAGGGAUAGUUUAAAAAUGUUUAAUGCAAUUAAGAUGGAUGAUUAAUCUUUCAUGUAGGCUUUUCUUGAUAGCAUCUCUUCUUUUCUUCCUGUGUUUAUUGGGUUUAAUUUUGAUAAAUUAUUAAAUAAGAUGUGAUUAAUUUUGAGUUUAUUAUUUGAUUUUUGAUUCGGUGUAAAAGUAAAAUCCAAAAAAUUAAAAAGAGUCGAAGAUGUGGGCUAUUGUAAAAGUUUUGGGCCAAAAAAUAAAGUUGAUAAAUAAUUAUCUAUUUUUGGGAUUUAUAUGUAAAAGUAACAUUUUUAUUUUUUUAUUAAAAUAAUAUUUUAAUUACCUAUUAUUUUAUUUUAGGAUAAUACUUUUAAUUCUAGUAGUUUAUUUUUUAUUUUAUUUUAUUUUUAAAUAACUCCUCUUAGAUUAAUGAGUGUGCGCGCGCGCGCGCUGUGGAGGGGCAGAAGGAGAAGGGGGAGCCCCGUACCUUGAAUUCAAUUUCUUCGUUCUGUUUUUGGUUUUCUUUGGCCUGUGCAUCAUUGCGCAUUUUCCUUUCAAUUUUUUUUAAUUUUAAUUAAUAUUUGUUAAAAUCUUCAUUGAAUAGGCUUAUUUUCAUUAGUAGAUAAAUUUCAAUCUAAUUUUAGGUCGAUAAAUAAUUCGGUCAAACUCUCACUUGAAAACUUUCAUUACAGUAUUUGUUGUUUCUCCGUUUUAGGAGAUAAACAUCAUCGUCUCACAAAAUUGUAUUGACACUAAGUCAAAAGAGCUUGUUGGUUUGGUGUUGAUAGACAUACAGUUGGAAGUACCGAAUCAACCAUUUAUCAUAUUCGGUCUACCGAAUAAUACAUUGGCGUGUCCGGUUAAGUAGUUGGCCGGAUCCAUCAAGGGAAAUAGCAAUCUGAUCUAAACAAUCCACGCGAUUGAGACUGUUGGUUCGAAUGGAGCCCUUAUAGUUCACAAGACCACUGUAGAGAUAAAUCAUGAAUGCGUAUUUCGUGAUUGUUCUUUCGAUAAGGGUUAGUUGCUGGGCAUUCCUGAAAUUAAUUUAUACAUGGAAGAGUUGGUGAUUUGAAAUAUCCUCGACCACUAUAACUAACUUAUCGAUUGAAGGAAAAAAUUUGUUAUCAAGGACCGGUUCGAAACGAGAGCAAAAUUAAGCUUGAAAUUGGAAUUUCAUCAAAUUGUUUUAUUUUAUUUAAUUUCAUUUAUGCCUAUUUCCACUUUUAUUUUUAUUUCAAUUACUUAUCCUUUUAUUAGAUUUAAAUCCCCUUUUUAUUUUUGCACAGACCGUCACAUGUCGUUGGCACAUUAGCUGCCUAGAUGUGCAACUUGAUUAAAUCGAAAUGAUAAUUUUAGAUAACUCAGCCUCUAUAGGAUCAACCAUAUUCCCCAUACUGCUAUUUAUUUACCGUUUAAGUAGAAGAAUAUUAUUUUUUGUGACUCUGACACUCAUCAUUGAUUAAUCUCCAAAAAAAUUAAUAUCGUGCCUUUGCUUAUGAUAGAAUAAGAUUUUUAUGCAAGAUUUUAAGUUUUUUUGAUUGAAUGAUUUUAAGAUGUUAAUUUUAUAUAAGAUUGCUAACAUUCGGGUUGGUAAUAAUUGUUAGAGAUUGAUUAAUACAAAUUCUUAAAGAAAUUAAGAUCUAUUGUUUUUAUAUUCUUAAAUUUCUUGAAUAUUGAUUAAAAUUUUAAUAUUUUUUUAAUUGUUGUUGUUAAUGUGAUUAUUGUGAGUUUUUGUUGAAUAUUUUCAUUUGUCACUUGACCGCAAAAAAGGUUGUACAUACACUUGAUUGCAAAAACAAAAAAGGUUGAGGGGCCAAAUUUAAUUAAAAUAAAUAGAUAUCAAAUUGACAAAAAAAAUAUAAAUGUUAAAAACUUAAUUUUUUAUAAUGCAUUUUUUAUGAUUAUAGAAUUACUAUCAAAUUUCCAUUGAGAUUCUCCUAUCAUAAACAAAAUAGCAUCACCCUAUACAGAAAUUCUUUUAAUUCAUUAUUUCAAAUGGAUAAAUAUCAAAACUACACAUGAACUUUAGUUCCAUAUGCAAUGAUAUACAUGAAUUUAGAUUUUUUACGUUUUUAUACAUGAAAUUUCGAUUUGAUUUAUUUUCAUAUCGAAACAAUAUAAUUUAAUUUCGAAACAAUAUCAUUUUAUAUUAAUAAAUUGCAUACACAAGCAAUUAUAUUGUUUCGAUAUGAAAAUAAAUAUAUGUAUUCAUUUAUUUAAAUGUGUACAAUUGAAUCAAAAUUAAAAUUUUAUCUAUACAUAUGAACCACAACUCAAAUUUCAUAUAUAUAAUUACACCAAAUCAAAAUUCAUGUAUCAAAUUACACAUUAAAUCAAAGUUCACGUAUAAACUUGAUAUUUAUCCCUUAUUUCAAAUCAACAAUAACACUUAAUUAAAAAGGUAUUGUUUUUACUAACAAGCAUAGUGAUAACUGUUGUUCCAAAUUUUAAUUUUAAUUUCAUAAACCAAAAAAUGUUAUUUUAACCUAUUUUAAUUUAUUUUAAAGUUUCGUUAAAAUGACAAACAUUUUUGGGUGAUCAAUCACACUUAAAUAAAAAAUAUUGGUGGGUACUGGGUAGUGGCGGAGCAAGGGGAGGCAGGGCCUCGACCCCUUUAAAAUGGAAAAUUUUCUAUUUAAGCCCUUUAUAAUAUUUUAAAUUAAUAAUGGUAAAAUUACACUUUGUCCUCUCAAAAAUAGUAAAAACUUCAUUUUUAUUAUCGUAAAAAUAUACAAUUUAAUUCUAACCCCCAACAAAAUUUUCUGGCUCCAUCACUGUUGGUGGCAACUUUCAUUAUCUCUUUUAAAGUUUCCAUCCAGAUAUUUUAAUUAUUUUUAAAAUGGUUACGAUAUCUUACAUAUAAUUAUAUAUCGAUUGUUAAUGUAAUUUAAUUUGUUUUAUAUAUUAAUUUCACGAAUGUUACUAUUACACAUUAAUUUAUAUAAAUUUUAUAGACAUUUUAAUUAAAAUUUUACCAAACAAUAAAAAUCUCUUUUAACAUGUACGUGGGUGGGAUAUUUUUUUGAGUUAUUUAUGUAAAAGGAACAUAUGUCAACUCUUACAAAAUUGUGGGCACUUCUCCAAGUCUUUGAAUUUCUUUUGCCAGAUACAAUAAAUCUAUGACCGAAACUUAUUGCUUGGUGUCCAUUUUUAUGUAUUCUUUUCAGGCUUCAAUCCAGCUACAUUAUUCCUGAAUUAGCUGGGUUUUCUUUUUCCAAUAAAAGAUAUAGUUUUUGAAAUCCAUGGGAGAUCUUACCAUAUUAUUUAUGGUAUCUCCUAAUAAUUUAAUGGCAUUUUAGUAAUUUUUUUAUAUCAUUAACAGAUAAUUUUGGUAACUUUUUUAUCUCGAACCUUGAACUCUGAAUCUAAAAUCUCGAAUCUUGAACCAUCAACCUCAAACUCAAGAUCCAAACCCUGAACCCUAGACUCAAACCCUAAAUUAUCGAACCUCAAAUCUAAACUCGGAGUUUUGGGUUUAGGGUUUGAUUUAAGGUUUGGGAAAAUUACUAAAACUAUAUAUUAAUGACAUGAAAAAUAUUGUUUAAGUGUCACUAAAUAAUUAGAAAGAGGUCAUAAAUAAUAUGGCGGGAAAGGUCCAUAAAAUAAUUUUUUUUUAAUAUAAUAUUAUAUGAAGUAGAUUUAACUAUCCUUUUAAGAUUUUAGGUAUGAAUUUUAUGAAAGGAAAAAAAAAUUAAUGUCCGAAAAAACUUGGCUCCCAUUUAGAGUUUUAAUUCGACUAACCCUAAAUUUAAUGAGAAUUAAUAUCACUAUCAAAUAGCCGAGGAUCUUAGGGGAAAGAUCUGAUUAUAGAAAAAAGCAAACAAAAAGGUUAUUCCCAAUUAAUCUUCAAAACUGCACUUUUCAAAGGAUUGAUAUAUGUUUAAACCGACCAAGCAUCGAAUCUGCAAACUAAGAUUGAAUUUCGUACAUCACAGAAAUAUAUAUUUGUUUUUAUUUUUUAAAAUUUUAUAUUAAUAUGAGAUGUUUAAAUAUUUAUAUUUAAUCGUCCAAUAAUUUAUAUUGCAUAAAAAUAGGAUAUAAUUAACCUUUAUACAAGGAUUAAAAGGCUUUAUGGUCCAAUCACAAAACAUUAAGUAGUUAACUGGUUUUGUUAAGGAGAUAAUUGAGUUUAUUAAUACCCGUUGAGUAUUUUUGUGAAUCUAUCUCUUAUGGAGGUAAAAUUUUUUAUUUAUAUGACACGGUUUUCGGAUGCGAUGCAUUACAUAAGCUUCAUACAUGCCAACACGUGCCCUCUAAGUAUGUGUUUGCUUGUAUGAUUAUGCAAACCCAUCAUGUGCGAACUCAUAUAAGUGAAAUGUACAGACAGUCACUAUUGAAACAAAAAGGAUUGGAUCGGUCCUAGUUGAGUAAUGAGUCGAUAACGGCAAACACCAUAACAAUACCAAUUAACAUCAACUAAUGGACACAAAGAAUCCUAGCUAGAGAGGAGGAUUCGAUUCAAAGUUGCACUCUUUUAGUUCACAACUCUUCUUUUACCUCUAAUUUCAGCAAAAUCAUGCACCAUCCUAACCUUGCAACUUAGGCCAUUCUUCAAUCGAUUCGGUUUUAUAUUUUCUUUUUUAAAAACAACAAAUCGUUAUUCAAAUUAAGUUGGAUAGGAUGGAAUUAUUUGAGUAUUUGAGUCCAAAUAUAUUUAAAUAAAGAUUUAAAUCACGAUUUAUUUUUUUGUUUUAAUUUAAUAUCUAAACUAUCAUUUUUCAUUUCAUUUUAUUUAAAAAAUUACUCACAUUCAAUAAAAAUGCGACAUGUAUCAUAUAAUCAUGAUAUAAACUCGUUAAAAUAUAAUUAUCGAAUUAUUAAUAAGAUCUUGACCUAAUUACAAAAUUUAAAAUUUAAGUUCAAAUCUCGUCAUAUCCAAGACAUCAAAAUACUACACACCUGUCCCCAUUGAAUUGGAAACAGAACAUUAAUGCCACCAAAUUGAAUAGAAUAAUAAGAAGUUGAUUUCAAAGUUUUGAAUCUCAUUGUUGCCUUUUUCCUUUCGGUAAGAUCUCAAUCUCCAUAAAUAAUAUUUGCUCCCUUCUUUUUUCAACCUAUAGGUGUAACACAAUUUGUGCUUGUCAAUUGGCAUAUUCAAAUUUUACUUUUUCCUUUUAAUAUGUUCAUUACUGUGUUACUUUUCCCCCCUAAGGUAAAAAAUUGAAACUUCCAGAAAUUAAUUUGAUUCAUCAAAAGAAACUCAAAACAGGCAAAAAAAAAAUGAAAAGAAUAGAUUCUUUAAUGUCUCCCUAGUUUGUUCCUUUGUUUUUCCCUUUCGGUGCCAUCACGUCAAUUUAUUAGGUUACUUAGGUUUUAAAUUUUAAUUCACGAAGUGUGAGUUUGAAUAGGCAGUGCAUCGAUGUGUUUACUUAUAGUUAGUGUAAAAAUAGCGAUGAUGGUGAGGACGAUAUUGUAGUCUGGGACAAAAAAUAAGUUAAACGCGCCACACCGUUCAUCCAAAGAAGUACUGAAUCGAAUACAUAAUAGAGUAAGAUUUAAAUUCACACAUAUUUAAAUUAACAUUUAUAUAAUUUUUGUAAUUAAAUAGAUUAGUAUCAAUACAUGCCUAAACCGGACAUGGUGAAUACAAGUACUACAACGAACGAAAAAUAAAAAGAAAUACAUGCACAUGGUAAGAUUAAAGAUCAUUUUAAUUUGGUUUUAAGUUUAUACACAAAUUUUUAUUUAAUUCUACGAAUAAAAUUUUGAUUUUAAUUCAAUCAAAUAUAUAUUAAAUUCAUUAAAUAAAUUCAGUUAUCUUUAUUUUGAGAGGACUGUAAAAAUGAUAUCAUGUCAACAAUAAUGUCUUUUGAUGCAAUGUUUUAAAUAGGAAGAUAAAUGCGCUUGAAUCCAUGUCCUCCUACACUGAUAACAAUGCCGAUACCAACCGAGCUAAAACUUAAUCGGCAUGUCAGUAAUAAUGUUAAUUGUAUAUAAAACCAAUAUAAAAAUUAAUCACAUUUUAUCAUAGUUUAUUCAUAUUUAAAUAAUUUAAUAUAAAGAUGUAUUAAAUAUAACUAAUUUAAAAUUUUAAUUACCUUUUAAAGAUAUAUUAAUCAUCUAAAUCCUAACUUUUAUAUUUAUAUUUAGUGGAAAAACAUUUUUAACAAUUCUUUUGACUCCAAAGGUAAAGUUUUCUCUAUUACUCCUUGAAAAGUAAUUUUGAUCUCACUAUAAAAAUGCUAUUGUCUUUUUUAUGUUAUUUAUAUAAACUCUAUAAAAAAAUUAAAUCGAAAAUAAAUCCUAAAAAAAAAACUCACACUUGGUGUAUCUAUCUAUCUAUUUAUUAUAAUAAAGUCUCUGACUGAGUUAGUGUCACCCAUUAAUCGAAUUUUAAUUUUGAGAAAUUACUAAAAACUUAUAUCUGUACAAAGUAAGUUAUAUUUUUAUGAAGAUAUUUUUAUCUUUUUUAUAUUUUUAUAAAUCAAUAAAAAUUUACAUAUUAUAAGAUUUGAACCAAUUACACUAUGAAUAUCAAACAUUUAAUUUGAUACAGACCGUCAAUAUGGAAGUCAUUAGGGAUAUUAAACAAUCCUUUUUGAAGGGGUCCAAUUUUGCUUUGAUAAGGCACAUUAUUCAACUCUUAAGAAAGGAGGCAAAAUAGCCUAUUGAUUACGUUCCUAGAGAAUAUAACAUGGAAGCUGAUCAAAUUACUAAGUUGGCUUUUGAUAGAGAGGAAGGUGUAUAGUUAUAUGUAGAUUCUCCUCUAGUAUUUUUCUAAAUUUUUUUUGUAUUAAUACUUUUUAUUCACCAAAAAAAUAUAUUCAAAUUUACCAUUUCAAUCAAGACAUCAUUUUUAUACCAUUAAUAAUGUGUUAGACUAAAUUGGUAUCACCGGUCAAUCAAAUAUUAACCUAAUCGUAAAAUUACCAAAAAUCACUUAAUCUAAUUACUUGUAAUUUUGUGAAUGUAUUAUAAUAUAGAGUAUAUGAAUCUCACUUUUAGUGAGGAAAACGCGGGGAAGUUGGUCAUAAACAGUGAAUAGAUUGCCAAAGUUAGCCCUCUCCAACUGCUAGAAUCCCCUCUCUCCCCUCGUUUCCCUUUAUCCGUUUAAACAACUACACUUUCUCCUCCCUCUUCAUUUAUAUAUAUAUAUAUAUAACUGCCUCUCUACUCCCUUUCAUCUCCGACCAACCAAAACAAAAGAAAUACCUAUAAAGAAGAAGCAAAAUUGAUGGGUACUACGAGAACCAAGAGAUGGAUGUUAUUCAAGAGGCUGAUGAAGAAAGAGUUAUGGAGAUGGAAGUUUUUGGGGUCUGCUUUCAAGUGGAAGAAGAUGCCAUCCCUAAACAUUCACCUUUCUUUCAUUGAUGAUGUGCUUUUCAAGAUUGCCUCUGUUUUAGAGGCUAUUUUCUUGGUCUCCACUCUCUGUUUCUUCUAUCUUUGUUGCGGCUGUCAUUUUUGACAAACCCCACAUCUAUGUAUGUACUAUGUAUUUAUUUAUUUUUCCUUUUGGGGUUGUAGUAAGAAACAUUCUGGAUUCUGAGUUCUAACAUGGGUUUCUGAGAAGGGAAAGUGUUUUUCAUGGUGAAAAGAAAAAGCUUUGAAUUCCAGGACUUUGUUGAAGGGUGGUAAAAAUGUAGGGAAGAAACAGGGCAAACUUUAGUUUCUUGAUGUAUAAAGUUGGUAGUAAAAUUGAACUUAGCUUUAAUUUGAACAUAUAUGCUCUCUUGUUUACAUUUUCCCCUUCAUUUUGUUGUUUAAAGUUUGAUGAGUUUGGUUCUCCUCUUUGGCACCCAAACAUGAUUGUGUGUUGUUGAAUCGAGUAGGACAUUCUUAAACAAAAUUUCUUGUGUUUGUUAAAGGACUGGAGUUCAAAUAUAUGUAGUAAAUAUCAGACUGCGUUAGAGCAAAAGAUCCUUAGUUGUUAUCAAUGGCAAUACCAACCAAAUUAAGACAAAAGAAAUGGUACAAGGCAAAGGCAAGGCAAGGCUAGGAACGGAAUUGGUAUAGCUAUAUAACUACUUUUGCUCGAUAUAUAGAUAGAAACAGCAACAGGAAAUAAAUAAGCCUUCUUGCACGUGCUAUGAAGUGGCUUUGAGUCUCUUCUUAGGCCAGCCCCAAAGGUUAAACACUUUCACAGAUGGUAAUAUUUUCCCCACUGAAUAUACGACAUGACAGACAUCAUUAAUGAACACUGUUUUGCUCUGCUGCUAUUAAGUGGCCUUUGUUUUUGUUUUUGUUCUUUCCACUGUUUUGAGCUUGAUGAUGAUAGCCAAAAACAGCUAGUUCUGCUUUUGAGGGAUAUGAGCAGGUAAGGCUUUACGUGUUAAAAGACCAAUAGUCAGUGAUUGAAAGCAAAGCAAAAGCCAAUUAUGAUAUUCAGUCGCAGCUUUUAUAUUUUUCAGGAAAGAUUUGGGGGACUUCCGAGGUAACGUGUGAAGAUGAUGAAGGAAGUGUAUUGAUUUGGAUUUUUGGAGUUAGUGUGUCGUGAUUAUAUUUUCUUUUUAUUUUCAAUUACUAAACGAAUAUAUAUGGGUAAAUUUCACUCAAAGUCACUAAACUAUUAGUAAGUUCACAUUUUGGUCAUUUAACUUUAAAAAAUUAUAAAAUAAAGUUUUCAUUUUGUCAUUAAACUACUUGAAACUUUUUAUUUAAGUCACAGGAUUGUUAAUUUUUGUUUAAAAAUUUGAUUAGUGAGCUCCAAGCGACAAUUUGACGAUUGGUACGAUGGAUCAAUGCCCAUUAAUGACGAUUUUAGUUAGUAAAUUCAUGAUGUUUAAAAUUAUUUUAUAAAAAAAAUUUUAAUUGUAGAAGAGAAUGGGAAAGUAAGCUUUCGUGAAUAGAGAAUGCCAUACAACAAUAAUUUUAAUAGUCCAAUAACUUAAACAUAAAUUUUCGAAUAAUUUUAUGACUAUUUUGUAAUUCUUAAAAAUUUAGUAUCCAAAACAUAAAUUUAUUAAUAAUUUAGUAAUUUGAUAAAGUACCCUCUCUCUCUCUAUAUAACCAGUUUCAGCAAGUUAAUAUGACAAGUCAGAGUUAGCUGUAAUGUUAAGAGUUAAGACGGCAACAGAGACAAUAAAUUUUCUUUGAUUUUUUUUUCUUUUUUCGGGUUCAAUGAUGCAAGAAAUUUUCAUCUGCAAUGGAUAAAUAGAGUGAAUGUUUACUAAUAAUUUCGGCUAAAUAUAUGUUGAUAUUUUUUUAAUUAGUUAAACGUGUUGAUUUUAGAAAGAAAGUGAGAAAGCGUGUUAAUUGAUGAAAGUUUGUUUAGUUAAACGUGUUUUUAUACAUUCUUCGAAAUUAACCUAUAUUUUUAAAUAUCGAGAAAAUAUUCGACAUAUUUAACUUAUUUAGCCAAUAAUUUCUCCCACUGUACUGAUAAUUUAAGAUAUACUGCAUUUUAUAUUUUUUUUUCAAUGUUUCAAAACAAUUUUCCCUUGUAUUUACACCAUUAUUUCUUCCUUUUUUUUAAAAAAAUCUUUUUAAGGAAAAUUGUAGAUAAACAUAAUAUGAGGAUGAGUUUCAUCUCGAUAAAACAUUGAAAAGUUUUAUUCAAACUGAUUAUGACAUAUAGGUGAAUUUUUUUUAAAAUGUAUAUAUUUAUUAAAAUUUUAUAUAAAAUCCACAUGAAAUUUUAGUUGGAAUUUUAAAGUUAAAAAGGUGUAGAAAUUAUAGGUUAAAAUAUGUUGUUAGUCUUUAUACUUUAAAAGUUAAAUUUUUUUUUCUAAUUUAAAAAUCUGUGGUUGUUGUUAGUUUCUAUCAAAAUUUGUCUACUAAACAUGUUUAUUUCCUGUCACGUCAUAUGAUAAUAGCUCUAACCGAAAUUCCAUUUUGACAAAUUUUUACAAAAAAUACUUACGAUUUUAAUGAAUGGACUGAUAUUUUUAAAUCAAUAAAGUAGAAGGAUAUAAUUUUCAACAUUUAAAGUAAAGGGAUUAAAUCUUAAAAUCUAUACAAGUAUAGAGACUAACAAUAUAUUUAGAGCUACAACAUUGAUUCUAUAUAAAAAUGAAAAGACGAAAACAACUACAUAAUAAUAUAGUAAUUUUCUUUGUAAAAACAAUGCGUUUUAAAUUAUUUAAUAAAAAAAUUUAAAUAUAGUAUAAAUUUAAUAUUUAUUUUUUUAAAUGUUUCUCUUCAUAAUUUUUACAUCAUACAACACUUAUCAUUUAAUGAUAAUGUUAAUAUUAUUAUUUUUUAAAUAUUCUAAAUAAAUUAUCACUUCAUUUCUAUUAAAAAAUAAAUUAUUCAAAUUAUUAUAUUUAAUUUUUAUCGAAAAUAUGAAAACGAAGAUUUACUAAUAUUAUAAACAUUUACUUAAAAAAAACUAAUAUUAUAAACAUUUUUAUAAUAUAAAUUCAAUACUAAAAAUGAAAUAAUAAAAUUUUCAAUAUUUAUUUAUUUUUAGUUUUUCAAAAUAACAAAGUAUCUUUUAAAAAAAGCCAGCAAAGAGUAGGAUAUUUUACAACCCUUUUUGCCUUGGCCCUGAAGUAGCCAUCAAUCACCGUACUAUGAUUUGAACUUAGGGUUUGUUUUAAUUGGCCUGCUAGCAACCUUCCAAUUUCCAAAUAGCAAUUUGCCAUUUGUCUUCUGUAUUAAAAUUAAAGAAAAUGAGCCAAUCUGACUUUUAUUCUAUAAAGAAAACAAAAACAGAAAAAAAGGCAUCAAAUUUCAUGAAUAUUUACUUGAUAAAUAGUCAGAUUAACAUUCAAGCCUGCUUGACAAUAAUAUAUAUGUAAGAACAAUCUCCAGGCAGUGAUUUACACAAAAAUGAUACAGGGAUGAACAUAUUUGCCUACAUUAACAUGCUACUCAUAUAAGUCAUAAUUAAACCACUACAUCUAUGCAUUUCCUGGUACAACAACGCCUAAGGUUUAUAUAUAUUUAUUCAUCAAACUCCGAAUCAUCUUCGGUUUCUUCAUCUUCGCCACUUUCCUGCAAAAUCGAAAAACUUUUAAUGUAUUUGCAGCUGUUUCACUAUUGAAGACUUCCUUCUGAGAUAAAUUUUAGUAGAAAAACUUCAAGCAAGUUUACCUUUCUUUUAAUGUAUUCCGCCAUGGCUCUGUCAAACUCUGCUCGUUUCCCGGUUGCGAUAUCGUAAUAUUUAACUUUCUCCUGUUGAAGACAAGUUGAAAUUAGUAUGUCAGACAACUUAUGAAGUCCUUUAGUUUCUAUUUAUAUGUGCAUCAUAUAUAGGCUUCAAGUCCAAAUGGGGGAAUAUGAUGAAUCAACCCUUGAGACAUUCGGCUUCCUCGGCAUGCACUAAUAUUGAUUGCCGUAUUAUUUCUAUACAUGCCACUUCUGCACCCCUAGUUAAUAAGCCAAUAACAAGAAUUGGAACAAUUUUAUCACCAAAUGAUAAUAAUAUUCGAUAUCAAAACUAUUUUCUUCAUCCUUAUGCAAAUCCAUGAACAGAUGAUGUACGUGCACCUUGUAUUUAAAGAGAACUUUAAGUAAGCUUUGAUGAACCAAUGUCACCCAUGACCACGGCCAAGGAUUUUAGCUAACAAGAGGCUAAACAUCAUUAUGGAUAUUCCUUGGCUCUCGGAUUCAAAUAAACAUGUCUUGACCAACUAAAUCUUACAAGCAUAUAAUCAAGUUAUCAUAACAAUAGCAUAUGCUAAUUAUAUGAAUUCGUAAGAAACACGGAAUUGGCACAAACCUCGUAUGUCAUUGUCUUCCACUUCUCACCACAUGCCUUCCCAAUCUGAAACAAUAUCAGGGAGGAUUCGUUAACAUAUACGUUAAAUACACAGAGAUUCGUUUUCUAAAAUAAGAUUUUGUGUUUUUAAACCAUAACAUACAUCGCGCAUUGACUUGAUAUCCGGAUUCUGCUCUUGAAAAUCCUUACGAAAAUCCUCCCUUGAGUAUAAGAAAAUGAAAAAAUCUGUUAGUUUAAUGUCUCUCACAGGACAUUCAAUUUCUGCAACAAAAUUAGCAGGCAAAAUCCUUUGAUAUAAGAACCAAAGCUCACUUUCCAGAACACACAGACACAGACACAUACAUAUAUAUAUGUAUAUAUAUUGCAUAGACAUUUGCUCCAUUACAGGCAAGGAAACACAAUCCAUUUGCAAGCCUAAAAAACCAACUCAAAAUUUUGCAUAAAAAAGACAGUCAAGAAAUAAGCAGAUAGAUUUUAGCUCUUACACGACAAGGGCACAAGAAUAAAAGCAUGAAAUUUCCAGGCAGGAGAAUGUUAUAAUCAACAAAAUGUUAACCAAUACUAUGAACAAAAAAUGAUUCGUAAGCAAUACUCACAAGAAGUAAAAGAAAGCAGUGGGGGGUUUCUUAGGCAUUUUAGCAUCGAUUUUUGUUUUCUUCUUCAGCUUCGAUUUGGGUCUUGACUUCGACUUGGGUCUCUUUUCUCUCUCGCUAACAACACUCUCUUCAGCUGUCUUCUUCAUUUUCUCACUUGAUUUUACCCUUAACGCCAUUUGACUAACAAUUUUUUUUCCAAGCAAAAGUGUCUAUUGUUAACCCCAAAAAUUCCUUACAAGCAAAACAAACUAAGAAAGCCAUAAUUUAUUCUGCAAAAAAUACUAUAAAACAAAGGGGUAAGAGAGAAAUACUGAUUGGAGACUGUUGAUGGGUUCUUAGCGGAAGUAACGGAGGUUGAAGACGAACGAUCAUUUUUCGACUUUGAAGCUUUCUUCGCCAUUUUUUUUCUCCUUUCUAUUUAUAAGACGGGUAGGAGAUGGAGACAAAGACCCACAGCUUGAGCUUUGCUUAGUGUUGGCUGGCUUUCACCAGUGAAGCAGUUGCCACCACAACUCGACUGUUUCCGGUGGGAAGGAGCUGGGAUUUGGACUUCCACGGGUGAGGGUCAGUGCCAAAUUGCUAAUGCAUUGCUCUCAGAGAUUAAGGCUUGUAGUAGUGGUAAUUACUUGGGUUUUUGGUAGCCCUACGACUAGCCCAACCUCAAUGCAAUAACUAUAUUAGCCCAUUGCUUACUUCAAAUUCUACAAAUACAAGGAUAAAAGAAGAACUCAUACAAUGAUCCAACCUCAUGACAACCAUAAAUCUCAAAAUUAUAUAUAAAUUUUAAUUUAAUGUGUUGAUUUAUAAAAUUUAAUUUUAUUAUUAAAUAGAUAUUUAUUGAGAUCAAUAUAAAUUUAAUGCACUUUAAAAUUUAAAAUAUUCAUUAUAUCCACAUCAUAUGAAUAAUCAUAAUAAUUAAAAUAAAUAAUCCUUUUAAGUUCAAAUUUUAAGAUUUUUUAUGAAAUAAAAUAACAUAUGAUUUUCUUAAAUUAUAAUAUUGACAAAAGUAAUAAAACAUAUAGUUUUAUCGAGUUAUUUCUUUAUACACUUAUGAAGUUUUUUUAAUAUAUACUAGAAAUCUCAUCACAUAUGUAUACGUAUGAAAAUUUAUAGAUUUAAAAUACGAAUGCCUAUUUAAAAGUAAUAUACAGUAUACAAUGAAAUAUAUAGUUUGAAUCUAAUUGAUCCUAAUAAUACAUGAAAUAUGUAUGAUAUUAAAAUAAAAAAUUAGAUUAAAUUAUGAGUAAAACAAAAUUUAAACACAUAAAUACAUCAUAUAAACAAUACUAAAUGAGUUAUAGUUAUUUAACAUGAUUUUGUCAUCAAUUAUGAGUUAGUGUCGAGCUGACUUGUAACACCAACUUAAUGAACAAUAUUAUUAAUAUUAAAAUUUCUAUAACUUACGUAUGUAUGUGGAAACCAUAGAUUUAAAAUAAAAAACGUUUGUUUAAAAGUAAUAAAUAAUGAAACAUAUGGUUUGAAACUAAUUAUACAACUAACGUAAAUAAUAAUUUGUGUAGAUUAAAACAAAAAUAUAUAAAAUACAUUAACAUGAAGUUUUGGUUGAGUGAUGAAUAUAAUGUUUAAGUAAUUUAAUUGGUGCAGGUGAUAAAUAAAUAAAUUAAAAUUUAAUAAAUAAUAAUACAACACUUUUUGUUUUUUAAAUAUAUUUUAAAAUAAGAAUAAUAUUUGAUACACUGUUAAUGGAGAUUUUAGACUCCAUAAGUAAGGUCAAUGGGGUAACAAGUGUCCUAUGGGGUACAAUAAAAUAUUUUAAAAAAAAGAUAACAAAUUUUUAAGACUACUUGUAGAAUAAAAAAUUGCUAAUGUACCAAAUACUAACCUUUAAGAAACUAUUUUUAUUAUAAAAAUUAUCACUUUUAAAGAAAAAUAUUUGGUAUAUUGUUAAUGAAAUUUUUAGACUUCACAAAUAAGAUAUUUUAACGAAAAUAUUUAGUAUAUGGUCAAUGAAAUUUUUAGACUUUAUAAACAAUAUAGGAAUUGAAAAUUGUCCUACACCAAAAUAUUUAAAAAAAAAAACGUGACAAUAUGUCAGAUAAAAUAACUUUUAGUUUAAAUUUACAAAAUAAAAAAGUGGUUGUCCGUUUAGAGAAGACCCAAGGAGCCAUGAAGGAUCCAAGUGACACCGGCCCGUUAUCCUUCCACCGCAAAGAGAGGGAAGUUUUCGCUGCUCUGUGAAACCAGCCUCACGCUUUGCCUUCCACUCUAGGAGCAACGAGACCCAAAGCUUUCGCUCAAGACUCGUAGCUCAACUCCUUGCUUGGAAUGGGCGUGCCAGAAUACAGUCACUACAGCUCCGACUCAAUGAGUAGGCCCAUAGUCCAACCACCUUAAUGCCCCCACGAGGGUCACAAGCUAGCGUUACCCAACUCGGCGAACUACCAGCAUCUUAACUUGGCAUUUAAAUACUUUCAUUUUAUUUAUUAUACCGAUGUGGGAGUUUCUUCAUUUCACGUGCAUCGUGACCGAGUUGGUGAUUUUUAGGUGUUAUCCGGAUAGUAAAAUCACUGUUUUACUCAAAAUCGAUGAUUUCAAAAUAUGAAAUAGGUUCAUCUAAAUUGAUAAACCGACUAAUUACAUAAUACUAAUGAAAACAAUCGAUCUGGACAGAGCCCUCUCUUAGCUACCGUAAUCACACACAAUACAGAAUUUGCUUUUGUUCUUUUUGUCUAUACAAAGUACCAUAGCUACUGGCUUUCAUCAAGUACAUUGUUGAACAUUACUUCAGAAUCGAUUCCUAUUAACCAUUAUUUCUUUUGAAAUUAAAGACUUAUUGAAAUUUAAACACUGUAAAAGUCUUUUCCAUAACCCUAGAGCUAUAGGGUAUGGUACAACUUGUACAAUAUGUACUCUAAGAAAGUCAUCUCCUUGAACGUGACUCGAACUCGGUGAUAAGAGUCAAAUAUAAGGAUGUUUCCACUACGAAUUUUUCAUGUUGGAAUGUAUAAGAUGCAUAUAUUUUGAGAGAAUGAAAAAUUGGAAUAACAUAGUAUGCCGAGGUACAACAUGUACAAUCCUUUCUCCAUCUCACUUGCUUCCAAGUUUUUUUCUCUAGUUUUUAUUUUAUUUUCUUAAUAAUUGGGGAAUAGAAAUAAGAUUGCUUGAGAUUGAAUUUAAACUUUCAUGUUUACAACAUAUAAUGCUCUUGUUACUGGGUAAAGAGGUUGUUGGCGUAAUUGCACAUUAGACACAAAUACACUAGAUGAAGUUACACUUGAAAAUAUAAUAUUUAGUGUUGUUUCUAGAUUUUACUAAAUAAAUAUUAACGGUUAUAUCUAACUCUUACACCUAUUAAUUUUAUAUAUAUGGUAGUGGAUACCAAUUCAUUGCAAAAUGAGAGUAAAUUGUGAUUGAAUUAAAUCAUGUAAUUAAUCAAAUAAAUAAGUGGUUAGAAGAAGUGGGAGUAGAUUUUUUUUCAAGUAUCUAGAUCAAGGUCGAAUCUAAAUAUCAUCUCGACAUGAAUAAAACUAUAUUUCAACCAUAAAACGGAUGAAGAUACUUAUAAUUAAAAAAAAAAGAAGAAGAAGAAGAAGACGACGUAAAAUUAUAGCUAAAAUGUUAUUAUAAAAGGUUCACCUUUCAACACCUUAGAGAGUUGCUGAAAAGUGCAAUAAUUUAACAAAAAAACCAUAACUUUAAAAAUAGAUUUGACAGAAAUGGUAAUAUUUAAAAAAGGUAAAACUAUGAUGUGUUGGGGUUGAAAUCUAGUAUAUAUAUUCUAAAUUUAUAUAAAAUAUAAAAAGAAAAAAAACAUUAAAAUUAAAUAUUAUUUUCUAUAAAUAAUAAGUUUUAGUAAAAUUUCAAUUCAACUCACAUUGAUUAAUGAUCCAAUCCAAUCAAAAAAUUAAAUAAUAGUGUCCAUAAAUAAAAUAUGUUGGCAUAUAAAUCAGGUUGUACUUGUUAACUAAUCCUCAGGGUUCAGGACCACCACAACUUAAAAAAUGGCAAAAUAGAAGUUCGACUCCACUGGGGAUCGAACCCAGAAUCUCUGGUUCCGUAGACCAGCGCCUUAUCCAUUGGGCCAUGGAGUCAUGCGAUCAGGUUUUCAUAUUCAAGUUAUUUGUUGAUAUAUAAUUUCCGUCAUCUUCCUCUCCCAUCCUGGUUCUCGCAAUUACCACGCUCUUGGUAGAUAUGAAGGAAAAAUGGGGGGUGGGGUGGGGAAGACGGCAUCAUUGCCAUGGCUUUGGUCUUCUUUUCAAAGUGAAAGGAAGGGAAUCUAAGAAAUAACCUAAAAGAUGAAAAUGGAAAUGAAAGUCAAUUUUAAGUAACAGAAAAAUCCUAACUUGUCGCCGUCUGUGGGAAUCGAACCCACGACUACGUGGUUAAAAGCCACGCGCUCUACCAGCUGAGCUAACACGGCUACGUUUUAAUCGCUUCUUGAGUACGCUUUCUGAGUAUUGAAGCUUAAUUUCGGUAAAAGUGAAAUUUUAUGUGCAAGUAUACAUCUUGCAAUUUAAGUUGCAAGAAAUUCAUGAUUAUCGUGGGAAAAUUACCUAUCAAAUGCUUAGGGAUGUCUUUGAUUGCAAGGAAAUUAUCUAUUAGAGAUUGUGCCCGCAUGAUUGAAAAGAUUGUGGGGAGAGUGAAUGGGCGAAUUGCAAGAAUGCUUUCUUAUGCUGGUUGAGUCUAGUUGGUACAAGCAAUGCUCUUGCAUAGACGAAAUUAUUAGGCUAGGCAUUUUAUUCUGCCAAACGUUGUGAUUGUAAGAGUUAGUCCAAUCUGUAUGAAAUUUUUGUGGAAAGGCGAUGCUGAAAAAGUUCAAGGUGCUAAGGUAGGUUUGUAAACCAAAGAGCGAAGGGGGUCUCGGACAUGCAAAGUUGGAACAAGGCUUGUGUCAUACAACAAAUUUGGUCGGUAUUGUUUCAAGUUGGUUCUCUGUGGAUAGCUUAGAUAAACACUUGUAUUUUAAAGGGUCGAAAUUUUCUGCAGGAUCAACUAGCUGCCAAUGGUAGUUGUAGUUGGAGUUGGAUGAAGCCAGUAGGAAUACGAAGUGAGGCUCUUCAUAUCUUUCGAUGAGCAAAUCGGAUGGGGCAAGGCACAAUAUAUCAUAUCAGUAAAGUUUGGAACCAAGGAGUAGAAUUACCGACUACACUGUUUGUACCCUAAAACAUUCAUUUAUUACUUGGUUGGAUACGAAUGAUCGAUUGGGUGCUAAAGACAAAUUAUGAGCCUGGGGAUUGAAUUGCUAUGCUGGCUGCGUGUUAUGCCAGAUUGGGUAGGAAACUGAAGAUCAUUUAUUCGUGGAGUGCUUUUAUGCAAAGAGAGUUUGGAAAGUGUGUCCUACAGUUAUGUGGCCUUCAAAGGGAACCUGAAAUCUGGGAACAGGAGCAGCGUUGGCUAAUUACAAAGCUGAAAGGUAAAACUCUAUUUAUGAUCAUUCUUAAUUUGGCAUGGAAUGCCCGUUUAUAUUGGGUUUGGAAUGAAAGAACCAACAGGUUUUUUUUAAGGUCAGUGGAGAAACGAAUCUGGGUUGCUUGGAAAAAUUAAGGAAGGUGUUCGAAUUCAUUUUCAAACACUAGAAUGAAUACAAAGGAAUCUGUAAAAUAUUGAUCUUUGUAUAACUUGGGAGAUUAGGUGUUUGUUAACACAUGGCAUCAUGAAAAACUACUUGAGAAGUACUCACAUAUGGUUUUCCACCUCUUACUGUUUGGCUGGUGACUGGGUGGAUCACCAUCAAGAUAGACCACUUGCUUUUAACAAACUUAUCUUUAAGAGGGACCACUGAGUAUGACAAUCUCAUACUAUCUCAACAAUAGAAAUAUUAGAGAAAGUACCACACUUGACGACAAUUAAUGUAUAACCAACUUGUCAUCAUAUUAAGCACACGUUUACCAUCAGCCUGAGAAUGUCGAUGACAUGAUAUAAGUGGACAAAGAAUCUCUUGACAUUUAAUAAUAGAGGGACUAAUUUAAUUCUUUUUAAUAGUACAAGAAUAAAAUUUACCCAUUUAAUAAUAGGACUAAUUUGAUCUAAUACCUAUAUUACAGGGACUUGGUUUAAGUUAUUUGAUUGACUUUUUUUUUUCUCAAAACAACACCAUUAGAAUUUGGUUUACAUGUAAUUAUUUUAAAGAAUUCACAUAAACAAUUAAUAGUAAUUAAUAGUGUAACAAUUUGGACUAAUUAACAAAAUUAUAAAAAUACGAGACCUAAAUUUUACUAAAUUAAAGGAUAUAAAUUAAAUCAUAAAAAUUAAUACAGUAUAAGGAUCAAAAUAUAAUUCGACCAAAAUAUAGAUAUUUGUGAUAAAAAGGAAAAAAAGCCCGACUGAAACUGGAUCAGUUUCCGUUUACCAGAGCCUUACAAAUUGGGCCAUAGACUCAUUAUAAAAGGACUAUCUAUCCAUGCUUAAUUCCCGCCAAAGCAGUCAUCUUCUCUCCUUUUCCCGCCAAAAACAUUCUCACUUUCUAGUAGAAUAGAAGAGAAUUAAAACAAGACGAAAAAGAGGCCUUCAUUUACAAUAGCGUUUGGUGUUUUCUUCCAAAACUUACAGUGUAGAGUUCUGGCUGUAAGAGAAAAGAAAAAUGGAGUUGGGGGCUCAAGAUUAUGCUGAUAGGAAGAAAGAUAUCAGCCAAUUCUUGUCUCAGGAUGUCUGUUAAUCCAUCCAUUCUAUGAUAUAUAUUCCUAUGUGUUAAUGUUAAUUUACCUUUUUUUGUAAUUGAUUGAUCAGAUUUACCAAGAUGAAAUCAAGGCUAUGAUAAAUCACAAGCGCCGCCGUCUCAUCAUCAACAUUUCCGAUCUCCACUCUUUCAACAACUUGGCUCCUAGGUUCUCUCUAAUUUCUUAUUUUUUCCCUCUAUUUUGAGCGUUGAUUGAAUUAAAGCUCAUUUGGGUUUCUGUUUAUUGUUCUGGGUUUUAGGAUUCUGAAGAACCCGAGUGAAUUUAUGCAACCAUUUUGCGAUGCGGUGACGGAAGCUGCUGAAGGUAUCGACCCAAAGUACUUGAAAGAAGGAGAAACGCUUCAUGUGGGAUUUGAAGGCCCUUUUGUUUCUCGUCGCGUUACUCCCAGAGAUCUUCUCUCUGAAUUCAUUGGCUCCAUGGUAUGCGUCGUGGGUAUUGUCACCAAAUGUAAGUUCCCCCCUCCCCCUCUCUCUUUUUUUUUGUUUAUAAUUUGAAGUAUAAUAAAUGGGUAUCUGUUUGUUCAUAUAAUAUGGUAAAAAUUGAAUUUAGGUUUUUGUAAAAAAGUGGGUACUUGCUUUGAGCUUUGAAAAAUCCCUAACGCUUUUGGGCACUUGUUCAUACUGCAUAAAGUGUUUAUCAGUGUUUUUUCUGUGUUGUGGUCUUCUCUUUACGUAUCUAACAUGAACUUAACCUCCAUUUAGGUUCUCUGGUAAGACCAAAGGUUGUUAAAAGUGUUCAUUUUUGCCCUGCCACUGAGAACUUCACCGUUCGGGAAUAUCGAGACAUCACCUCCAAUAAUGGUUUGCCAACUGGAUCUGUGUAUCCUACUAGGGUAACUUUCCACUGAUCGGAUCUCCUAGUAUUAGUAUGGCUGUUGGAUUAAUCAUUGUCUCAUGAGUAAUAUUGUUUUCAGGAUGAAAAUGGCAACUUAUUGGUGACUGAAUAUGGGUUGUGCCAAUACAAAGAUCACCAGACCUUGUCAAUUCAAGAAGUUCCGGAGAAUGCUGCACCUGGUCAGCUUCCUCGAACUGUGGAUGUCAUAGUUGAGGAUGACCUGGUUGAUUCAUGCAAGCCUGGAGAUCGUGUGGCUAUCGUAGGGCUAUAUAAAGCUCUUCCAGGAAAAAGCAAGGGCAGUGUGAAUGGUGUAUUCAGGUAUCUCUUAUGCAGUGCAUUUUUUAAAUCUUCUUUUGUUCUUUGGUCUUUUUUCUGUCUACAGUUGGAUGAGUAAUUUUCUGUUGUAGGACUGUACUCAUAGCUAAUAAUGUCUCUCUGCUCAACAAAGAGGCCAAUGCACCAAUCUAUAGUCCCGACGACCUUAAGAAUAUUAAGAAGAUAGCAGAAAGAGAUGACACAUUUGACCUGCUUGGUAAUUCCCUUGCACCUUCCAUAUAUGGGCAUUCGUGGAUAAAGAAAGCUGUGGUUUUACUGAUGCUUGGUGGUGUGGAAAAGAAUUUGAAGAACGGCACUCAUUUACGAGGGUUAGUUCUACUUCAACUGUCUGCGUCUUUGUUGUUAUAUACAGCCUUUGUUAGAUUUGCUAUAAUUUAGAUCCUAAAAUAAGCCAAAUCCUUGCUAUCUUUUAGGGACAUUAACAUGAUGAUGGUUGGAGAUCCAUCCGUUGCAAAAUCCCAACUUUUAAGAGCAAUCAUAAACAUUGCUCCCUUGGCCAUUUCAACCACUGGUCGAGGUUCUUCUGGUGUUGGUUUGACUGCUGCUGUCACAUCUGAUCAAGAAACAGGUAAAGCACUUCAAUUGAUUCUGUCAUUUUGGUUUAAAGUCUUGUUUUUGUUGAUUUUGACUAAAUUAAAUAUCUCUGCGAUCAGGAGAAAGAAGACUGGAAGCAGGUGCAAUGGUCCUUGGUGAUAGAGGUGUUGUUUGCAUUGAUGAGUUUGACAAGAUGAAUGAUCAAGAUCGUGUUGCAAUACAUGAAGUCAUGGAGCAGCAGACUGUAACUAUUGCCAAAGCUGGUAUCCAUGCAUCAUUGAACGCUCGGUGCAGCGUAGUGGCUGCUGCCAAUCCCAUAUAUGGAACUGUAAGUUCAAUUGGUUAUUAAGAUGCAGAUUCACUCCACUAGCAAGGUGGUGAAUUUUGAGUUUAUACUAAUAAUUGGUCAAAAUGCAGUAUGAUCGUUCAUUGACUCCAACAAAAAAUAUUGGACUUCCAGACUCUUUGCUUUCUCGUUUUGAUUUACUCUUUAUUGUAUUGGACCAAAUGGAUGCUGAUAUUGAUCGUCAUAUCUCUGAGCAUGUCUUGAGAAUGCACCGGUUUCGCUCUCCUAUUGAUGGAGGUAAGGCAAAGUGUUUCCUUAUGGUGCUUAUAGACUGGUUGGACAUAUACCUAUUAAGGUAAUUAAUAAUGUAGGCGAGGCAGCUCUUGAUGGAAGUUCAAGAUAUGGAAGAGAAGAUGAAGCUGAUGCUGACUCAUCUGUUUUUGUCAAGUAUAACCGUAUGUUACAUGGGGGAAAAACAGAAAGAGGUCGGAAGCGUGAUACUCUUACGAUAAAGUUUCUGAAAAAGUAUAUCCAUUAUGCAAAACACAGGAUUCAGCCUGAGCUGACUGAUGAGGUUGUGACCAUUCCUUUUCCUUUAUAUUUAUUUAUCCAGUAAUCUAUUAAUAUCGUCCCACUGUUUAAAUCAAUGCUUUCUUCUUCCCCUUUACUCUGUUUUAAUCAAUUCAAAAUUUCUGCAUGGUUAUGCUGCAAUAUCUUCUCUAUAAGAAACCUUGAUGACCUCUCUAACUUUUCUCCCCAAAGAUCAUCAACUAACUUAUCCAGGGCUUACUCUAAAGUAUCUCAUCUGCAGGCUUCAGAACACAUUGCUACAGCUUACGCAGAGCUCAGAAAUGCCAGUUCAAAUGCAAAGGUUUGCUUUUGUAAUCAGCAAAGAAAUACCUUGAUAUACUUACCUCAGUUAUGCUAAUACUGUCAUUGGUUUUGUAGACUGGCGGAACCCUUCCAAUCACAGCUAGAACCUUGGAAACCAUAAUUCGUCUAUCAACUGCUCAUGCAAAGUUGAAGUUAAGCAGAAAGGUAUUUGGGAUUCCUGACAUGUUCCCAGUAGAUUUUUUUCCCUAAACCUUAUAUUACUCUUUGAAUAUAAUCUAAUUCUUUGGGAUCAAUUGUGACCAAAAUUGUUACAGAGAUUUCAUGUUUAUGUCUUUAAAUUGCAUGUUUGGUCCUUGCUUGUAACUGCUUCAUUAUAUUUCCUUUUUCAUGCAUUUUAUUCAUACUUCUGUUGCAUGAUGAUUUAUCAUGGCAGGUUACAAAAGUUGAUGUUGAAGCUGCUCUGAAAGUUCUAAAUUUUGCUAUUUAUCAUAAAGAAUUGACAGAGAUGGAGGAUCGUGAACAAGAACGGCAAAGAGAAGAAGCAAGGACACACAGAGCGGAUCGUCAAGGGUGAGCAUGGGAUAUGCCUUUAAACAACUUGCGGAUUUUAAGUGCCUAUUGCUUAUAAUUUAAAAAUAAAUAUUGCUUAUAAACAAUUGAUUUAUCUUUAUAAUAUAGAUGCUUAUCUUUUUAUAUAAACUUUAUCAGAAAAUUACUAAAUGAUCAAAUUUAUUCUAAUGUUGUUGACCUUCUCUUUUGCUUUAACUAGGCCAACGACCACUGCUAUGGAAGUAGAUGAUCCUCCAAGGGCCCAGCAGCCUACUGCCAUUGGCUCUCUUGAAAGGUCUGAGUCCUAACAAACACUUCAGUUACAAGUUUAGACAUGCCUUUUUCCUUCAACAAUAGCUAUAAUCUAUUGUUGCACAAGUUCACUUUAAAAUAUUUUUUCUACCUAUUUGUUGAUGAAUUUCAGGAUUGAAGCAUUUAAAGCUAUAUUUGGUCAGCAUAUGCGUGUGAACCAUAAGGAUACCAUAUCUAUUUCUGAAGUAGAGGAUGUUGUCAAUGCCGGAGCUGAUGGCCAUUACUCAAGGGCAGAGAUCUUUGCUAUAUUAGAGGUAAUGUUGGUAUAUGGAUUGUUGGAUAGGAAUAAAGUUUUCAUAUUCUUAAAAGAUGAAUGUCCCUGUUUUUCCUCCAUUUUGGUAUAACAUUUUGAAUCUCAUAUCCACUUGUGGUUAACAUGACAAACUUACAUAUUUUUCAGUUCCAACUUACUAAAUUUAAGAAUGCUAUGUACUAACAGUCACUACUUUCACAAUUGUCAGAAGCUGCAAGAUGAUAAUAUAUUGAUGAUAGCUGGUGAAACAGUGCAUAUGAUAGUAUGAGAUGUAAGGAAAGACCUGGAUGGCUUCUUUCAUGCAAUCACUUUACAGCAUUGUGGGAUUGGGGAUGGAUCUAUUGGCAUGAAAUUCUUGGUUUGUACAGCUCCAUGAUUUAUCCUAAAAUUGUCUUAAAAGUGACUGUUGGCUGUACUCUGUAGCAGAUGAAAGGUGAACUGGGGAUGGAUCCCCUCUUGCUCUGCAAGUGAAGAUGCAAAAAUUUGGAUGACAUAUGAUAAUUCACUAAUGCUUUAAUUAUUUACUUGGAAGGUAUUGUUUUUUUUGGACUUUAUGUUUUCAAUGGUUAAUAUACUGUGGAUCUAAUUCUAAGCAUCUGCACCCUGAAUUCCUUGUUUUUGUAGUAUUAUACAAGGUAAGCAAACACCAAAAGAUACACUACAAAUCAAGAUUUUAUUAACAUUAUAAUUACUUGAAAAGAAGAAUAAAAAUUUCGGUCUCCAUCCACAAUACCAGUUGCUUGGAAUAAUAAUAAACUCAAAUAAACCAACAGGACAAAUAUUGAGAAAGAGAAAUUAAAAAGGGUUUAGACCAUAUUCACCAAGGAAUGAAAAGAUAAAUAACAAGGAAUGAAAUUCAAAAGAACCAUGCAGCCAUAGAAGCUAAGGCAGCUACUGCAGCUGGAACACCCAAAGCCGCUCCUGCACUUUCCAUCGGAGAUGGUGCGACGGCCCCUUGAUCUUCCCUCAAAGCUGUGGCUCCAUUGGUGAAAACGGCAAGAACCGUAAUGUAGGCAAUCAAAAUCAUGGCCAUUUUGCUACCCUCCAUUGUUCUAAGCAACUCAACUGAGCAAACCACCCUUUAAAGAUAUCAAAGUGAGAGAUGCUAUUGAAGUUGUGUGCUUUUGAGCUUGACUUUGGAUUGUAGAGAUUUCAAAUGUUUUUAUAAGGGAAGGAUUAUGCUACUAAUCAUGUAUUUGCCAGCUUUUUGUUGGUUUUAACCACUAACCAAAUCAUUUUAAGGCAUUUGUGUGUUGUCUGCUAAUUGUUUUUUGCCUCUCACUCUCUUGUAAACUCUACACCAGCCUGGACUGACUAUAUAAACUAUAAAGCUAGAUUAAUUAUACAUUGUUUACAAUCAUAUGUUAUUUUCAACAUAAAAUAAUUGGGUUUUGGUGGAAUAAUUGAUGGAAACUUUAUCUUGAUAUGUUGUGACUAUUAUAUUAUAUCUUUGUAGUCUUCCAAUAGCUAUUAAUCUCCCUUAAUGAAUGUCAAAAAACUUUAAUUCAGUAUAAAAAAUGAAACAUCAUGUUAGAGAAUCACCUUGAAGAUUCUUUACAAUUAUAAGUACACAUUUGUAUAGGAACUUUAAGGAAUAAAUUAACAUAAAAGUAACGUGGUUAGUAGACUAAACGUAUAAAAUAUGUCGUUAUUUAAAAUAAUUAAGUUGGCUAUGGGUUUAGUUAGCAUUUUCAUUGUAAUUUUCUUGCUGUUAGUAGCAUUAGCUGUCAUUGUUUUCUUCCGUUAUAUUCAAUUUCCAUUUUUUGGAUGUAUGUGUUGCAUAAUGUAGACACUAAUUUAGAUUUUUUUAUCAGAAGAGAGCAACAAAGAGUGACUCCGUGGCCCAAUGGAUAAGGCGCUGGUCUACGGAACCAGAGAUUCUGGGUUCGAUCCCCAGCGGAGUCGUGUCUUCUAAUUUAAAUUUUUGCACCGUGUUGACUGCCUAAAAGGUAAUUAUGGUAUAUAGUAGCUGAAUUUGGCUUCAAUGUUCAAGUUGGUACUUGAACUCUUUUUUCUCCAGUUAAAUACUUAUGUUUUUUCUUUUACUAGGACACAUAUGUCAUAUGUUUUUUUUGUUAGGACACACAUGUCAAACAUUCAUUCGGGCCACAAUAAAAUUUGGUUUGAGUAUUAAAUUGAACAUUAAAAUCAAAUGGAGUUGUCGAAUUGAGACAAAAAAAAUUUCAAAAACCAAAUUGAACAUUGAAAUCAAACUCAGAUACCAAAUGUUAUAUUAACCCUUGCCUAAACAUAUGUCCUCAACAGGGUAAAACUCAGAAUUUCUAACAUAUGUUCUUAACAGGCAUAAUAUGAGUUUAACUACUUCAAAGUUCAGAGAUACUUAUUUCAGUGUUUUCAGUUCAGAGGACUAGGGACUGGGAAAGUUCAGAGAUACAAAAGGGAAUUUAUUGAUAGUCGAACCAUAGAAUAUAACUUGAAAUACAAUCUAUGAAGGAAUUCCACAGGUUCUUCAAAUGAGAAGUUCAUUUCCGCUUCUUCCCAGUCGCGGCUUCCCAUGCUUGUAAUACAAGGUUUACUAUUUCCUCCACGCCUUUCCCGUGCUUCACCUGUGAACGAAUAAUUUACACAAUCAAAGAAGGGUUUGAAGCGAUGAUAUAAGUUUCAAAAUAUUAAAUAUCAUAAAAAUUGUGUUGAUAUGUGCACUAAUUGAUGCAACAAAUGAGGAUAAUACCAAUGGUUUUAUUUCAGUAUAUGGUGAAGGAUGCAGUCAACUACUCAACCAACCUGACCAAAUACGAAGGGCCCUCCAUCACGCAUACGAAGUGCAUCGCGUUCCAUGACUCCCAAGUCAGCUCCAACCGCAGGUGCAAGGUCCGUCUUGUUUAUCACCUGUUAGAAUUCCCGAUGUUACAAAAAUCAAGUACAUUCAAAGCAACGGAAUGGCACGAUAAACAAAAAUCAAAUACCAGGAGAUCAGCUUGGGUUAUGCCAGGGCCACCUUUCCUAGGGAUCUUAUCACCACCAGAUACAUCUAUUAUAUAGAUAAUAUAAUCAGCGAGUUCUCUGCUGAAGUUGGCAGCUAAAUUAUCUGCAUCCAUAGAAGUUCACAUAAAUAAUCGGUAAGUAAUAUUCUCGUGCCAAAUCAGUUCAAGAGAACAUUGUACAUACCUCCCCCGGAUUCGCAAAGAAGUAUAUCUGUUUUGUACAAGUUAGAAAGCUCCUCGAGAGGGCCGAGAUUGAUACUGAUGUCUUCACGAAUAGCCGCGUGUGGGCAGCCUCCCGUUUCUACAGCACGUAUCCUUUCCGCAGGAAGUGCCUGGUGUUUCACCAAGAACUCACCAUCCUCUUUCGUGAAUAUGUCAUUUGUCACCUAAAUGCAUCAUUUGAGUUUGGUUUAGCCAAUCAACCACAACUUCAUAAAAGACUGACCAUGGUGGCACAGCUGAAUCUAUUAUUCUCACAGUCUACAUAACAUUCAUAAAAGUUUGAAGGUAAACACUCAAAUGGCAGGCUGAUAGCUUGAAUAGAAGAUGCAUGAUACUUACAGCGGCAAGACUGUACUUAUCCCGCAGGAACGUGCACAGUGCCAGCAUUAAAGCUGUUUUCCUGUAUGGCAGAAAGCAACAUUAAAUCAGAUACCAUUUCUUAGGAUGUUUUACGAUAUCACCAAGAAUUGCAUUUUAGUCAUACAAAUAAAGUAGGGAAAAACAAUGAUAGAACACAAAAACCUUGUAAAGGAAAUACAAAAAAUUAAAACAUAAAAAAUAAAAAUCCAAGGGCUUGGAGAGUAAACUACUCAAUUAUCAGUGUAAUGUGGUUACUGGAUUCUACACUCCACUAAUUCAGGUACAAUAAAGCAUCAUCUUUGUUGAAAAUUCGUAUAAAAUUUACCAUUUUUAAUCUUUUAUAAGCAAAGAAAGAACUGACUGUAUUAUAGAAGAUGCAGAGCAAGUGAAAAACCAAGUUAAUUGUUGAUACUAGAUACUGAGAGGAAAAAUAAAUGGAAGGAAAAUAAAAAGGAAAUACCCAGUACCAACAGGGCCACCAAUUCCAACAGUGAAAGCCCUCUCAUUGAAAUCCCUGUUGACAAGCGGUGGGGCUCUUCUGCUGAAGUAUCCAGGUGAGUAAAUGGGUUCAUGUGAGUGAGGCGCUAGGCCAUCAUGGCUAUGGUAAACCUUCCCAUCAGCUCCCACCCAUGAUGAUUUUGUUGAUUUACUGUUGCAUGCCAAAAACAUAUAAUUAAAAAACCAAAUCAGCAAAAAGUCACAAUCCAUUAAAACUGCAAAACUUAAAUGAGAAUACACUUACUCAUGGUCAUGAUGGUGGUGGUGGUGGUGAUGGUCAUGGCCAUGGUCAUGGUGAUGGCCAUGGUGAUCAUUGGAAGCCAUUUGACUAUUGUCUGAAAAGGGUUUUACCGUGGGAGAGAGUCUUUGGGUUGUUUGUGUUCAAAGGGAACUGGAUGAGAGGAGCGAGGGCUAUGGUGGUUGGAUUGGAUUAGGAUGUAAUCUCAAAGGUCAAAUUUUAUAUCAAGUCCCUGUACUAUACGUUUUUGUUGGAUUUAAUCCUUGCACUGUAAUUGGGUCAUUGCCAAUCAUGUAUUUUUUUUUAAAUGUGUAUUUUUAGUUUUAUGACCAGCUUUUUUUCUUGUAUGUGAUGACUUGACAUAUAUACUUAGAUAUUUUUGUUUUUCUUGUAUGUGAUGACUUGACAUAUAUACUUAGAUAUUUUUGUACGGUUGGACAAUUUUUUGUACAUUUUAAAAUAUAUAAUAUUUAUUUAAUUGUAAAAAAUAUCAAUAUAUAUAUAUGCCACAACAUCGUAUAUUUAAAACUCUCAAAAAAUUAUUUUACAGAAUUGAGAAAAAAAAUUGUGCCUUAACAUUAAAAACACAUUUUGAAAAGUGAAAGAUUAAAAAUAAACAAAAUAUACUAGAUGGACUAAAUAGGAUAAAAGUGAAUAGUACAAGGACCUUUCUUAAACUUUUACCAAUCGUAAUUGUAGUGAUAGAUGGAGAUUAUGAUCUGGAAAGAGAGAUUGGGCUGGGCUGGGUUGAGUUAACCUUCUUUUUUUUGCACAAAUUAAUCAAAAGUGUUACUGAUAUGUUUGGUAGUUUAGGUCAAAAAGAUCAACCUGGUGCAAGCUUACAGAUGAUUAUUGAUUAGAAAAUUUUGAAAAGAGUUUCCUUGAUUCCAUAAAAAUAUAUACCAAUGCUUCAAGAUGUUAUUGUAAAAAAUUGAUGUUAACAACGUAUUAACAUUUAAGACUAACUAUCUUAAAAAAAUCAAUUAAGAUUAAUUAAUAAUAUUAUAAAAAUAGAAAGAUUGAAUUAUACAGUAUUAAAGUAUAAGUAUAGAAAUUAAAUUUUAAAUUUUUUAAAAUAGUAGAAGGACCAAGACAACAAUUUGACCGUUAUCUUGUCUCCUAAAACAACUUUUCAAUAUAAACCAUAAAACAAGUUUACAAGCUUUUAUUACAUCUCUUCAAACAUAAUCACAAUCUUUACAGGCCAGUAUCUCAAUAAUAUCCUUCAAAACAAUUACCUAAAAACCCAAAUUUUUAUCCAAAAAAAAGGAAGAGAUAAGUUAUGGGUCAUACUCCACUUUUCAAUACUCCAUCAAAAUUAGCAUACUUGAAGGAGUUUUAUGAUAUUUCUAUCUAUAUCAGCAUGAAAAGCAUAAAAAAGUAGAGUAUGAAACCUUUUUCACUACUUAAUAAAAAUCAUGAAAUUAUAUCAAACAAGUAAACAAAUCAAUAAAAAUAAAAAAAAAAGAAUCCAAAGUUAGUCAAACAAAUUCCUAAGUGCAUUACGCUUGGCAGUACAUGCCUUUUGGUUGUCCCUUUGGGUGCUUACAUUGAUCUCUUGGUCUUGAUCUGAAGCUGGAGCUGGCUGCUGCUGGGGAUUAUUAUUAUCAUUGCCUAAUAUCAGCCCUUGUUUUUGUAUAUAUUCCCAUUUGUCUUGGAAGAGGUAAAAAAACGCAAUGAAAAUGAUUUCAGCAGUGAAAAGUAUAGUCCAAAUACCAGUAUUUCUUGAUGUUUUCUUAUGGUAAGCUUUUAAACCAGUGUAGAUGUUAAUAAUCCCCAUCAUUGAUGUUACUGUUCCAAUAAUCCAGUGUGUUAAGUACCAUGUGUUUCUUCUUUUAGUUCCUCUGUGAAAAAAAGAAGAUGGAGUUAAUUAAUGUAAGGAAAAAUGGUGGAAUCUUGAGUUUAAUGAUGAUUAAUAUUAUUAACCUUGGGGGCCUGAAAAACCCAAUGAAGGUUUGCAUCCAAAUGGCAGCAUAAAAGGCUAAACCUAAUCUUUGGUGAUGGUUACUGAAUGAAUUCUCGAAGUUUUUAAUGGACAUGACAGCUCCAACUGUUGCAAGAAGCACUGCAAGUAUCUGCCGUUUGGGAACAUAAAUUAGUAAUAAUAAUAAGAAAGGACACAUGGUGAUAUGAUUAUAUGGACAAAUUAUGGUGCAUGGUCUCCCUUUUCUUGUUAUUGAAGUCUUCAUGAUCAAUAUGAUUUAAGUUGGUUUAGAUCAGUUAAUGGGGCUGUUUCAAGAAAUUAAAAACUGUGGACAGCAUCAUUAAAGUGAAAGUGGGAUUAUAAUAUUUUAUGAAAAAUAAAGCAUACAACCAGCUCUUUGUGAUCUCAUUUAGCACCCAAGUUAAGGUUCAUGAUCUAGAUAAAUAUACACAUAAACAUAUUCAUAUAUGUAUGUAUGUAUGUAGAUUAUAUAUAGAUAUAAAUAAUUUGCAGAAAAGGAAACAAUAAGAGAAUAGUACCUGCAAUAUGGCAUGGAGAUAGAACAAAACUUUAACCCUUCUCCCAGCUUCUUCUUUGUUGGCCAUUCUAACAGUAAGUAUGCCUACAGGCAAUAAGAAUCCCAUGGAACCCCAUAGCAGAAGGCCAUGAACAGCCACAUAAGAUAUCAUUUGAGAACUAAGCUGCUAUAGGUAUACACAAAUGCAUGAACAUAUUCAGAUAUAUUAACAUUCAACAAUGUUUUUUUUUAUAAUUAAAACAAGGCUUUGGACGAGAAAUUUUGGCAUACCUUAUGUGCAUUUCCUUUCAUGUUUUUGUGAUUGGUGGAUGCAGUAAUCUCCCCAUGGGAUGAGCAAGAAACAAAUGUUGAAAGAAGAAGACAGUGUAGUACAAGAAUGGUGAUGAAGGAGCUUAGUAUGUGAGAAACUUGCAUCUCUAUCAGUAUAUUCAAAGCAAUGGAAAGAAAAGAAGCAGUGGUUAAAAGACAACCCUUCUUUCCUUUUUGUUUACUCUCAAAAGGUCUAAAUUUGACUAGAGUUAAUUUGAGUGGCCAUUAAAGCACUAUAGAGAGGACUGAAGAAGAGAGAAAAAGCAGCGUGAAUGUGUCAGCUCUUCAAGCUAAGAAACUGCUUAACUUUAUAAAUCUUUUAGUAUAAAGAAGCUAAUGUGCUAUGAUUACUGCUGAAAGACAAAACAAGGGGUGGUGCAAACCUACCAUUCAGUAUGGGAUAAAAGAUUUGGAAUUCGGAUAAGCAUAUGGAAAUUCUUGUUAUAUAUAUAUAUAUAUAUAACAAUGAGGGGUCAAAGGCCACAUGAUGGCCAAGAUUUUAAUGGAUGGGAAGAUGGAGAAGGGCGGUGUGUGUGUGAGUGGAUUACACAGUUGAUAAACAAAGCUUAUGUAAUACUAGAUAUUCAUUACUCAAUUAUUUAUAUAAUUCAUUUGAUAUGGUGGUUGUGUAAUUAAUGGAUUAAUAUUCUUUAAUGCAGAAAUGUGUAUGUCUAGAAUUAUAGCCACUUUUUUUAUAACAGGUAUAAGUGUUUGAUUUCAUUUUCAACAUAAUAAUUGGUCGUUGAACAUUAAAAAUACAACAAAAUUAUUGUCAAAAUUUAAUUUAAAUUUUAAAAAUAUUCUUAAAAAAAAAGAGUUAUGAUAAAAGGAACAAAAUUUGUAUUAAGCUUUUAAUCUCUAAUUACUCAAUAAAAUUAAAAAGCAAUGUUAUAUUUAAACUCUUUUAAAAGUUUUUCCGGGAUUAUUUAUUUUGCAUUAUCAAUAUGAAUAACCUGAAAUCAGAAUUUUUAAUUUUUUCAUAUAAUUUGAGGGUAAAUUGUACAUAUAAACCAAUCUUUUUGUUAAGAAAAUGAGUGCUGGCUUGAGACUGUCGUCGUAUAAGAAAAGCUAUGUAGUAAAACAUCUUUUCGCCAAUUCUCGACUACAUAAUGAGAUUUAAAUCUUUUGCAAAGGCAUAGUAAUCAUCAAAGAUAAUUACAUAUUUGUUUGGGCAAUCAGCAUCACGUCAUCUUCAUUAUCCUUUGCUCCAUCUAUGGUAAAUUUUCACCCGAAACCCAUUUUUUCCAUAGCUGCUUUUCUCGUGCCACAACACAACGAAAUAACAUUAUUUGUCAAGGGAUUUUUAUGAGAAAGGUGGUAUUAAAUUUCCAUUACAUUUUUUUUUACCAACUAUGAUUAUCGGUUGGAAAGGUUUCAGUGGCCGUUGUUGGCUUAUAUGAUUAUGUUUUUUUUUGUCGGUGAUGCAUUGUCAUUAGCUAUUAAUUAAAAUUAGUUGCAAAUUGAUCGGUUUGAUUCAAAAGGGAAAAGUUAUAUAUAUUUCGACUCAUCUAUUCGAAUUCUACAAUUUAAUACAUGAACAACCAUAAAGGCUAAGACUCAUAACCAACGUUCUUUGCUUACUACAUUCUUUGAGAGUUGAAUUUCACAAGUGGCUGAUCAUGGGUUAGUUUAACCCGUCAUGAGGACUCAUUCGAAAAAUAAAAAAAAUUUAAGUAAAAAUAUAAAUCCGACAAAUAAGUUUAGAUAAAAAAUUAAAACUCGUUUAAAAAACAUAUAGAACCUCGAGUAAAAUUUUUUUACCCAAACCUGACCCGAAUUUACAAAAAGGAUUCCCACUGCUUUUUACUAUUGUUUUCACUAUUUUUGUUGUUUUGUCUUAUGCUUUUUAAUUUUUUAUAAAAAAUAUUAAUAUAUAAAAAAUUUAAUACAGUCAGACCAGGCCAAGUUCGAGUUUUGAUAUUUUUAUCCGGACCGAAUUUAGGUAAAUUUUUAAGCCUAUUUUUCGAACUAAGCCCAAACCCGACACAUGACCACUUCUACUCUCAUGUUAGAGUCUAAAUUUUUUUGUCCAAAUUAAUUUUUAAACUUGAUGAUUACUCCAACAUUAGGGUUCGGACUUUUUUGUCCAAAUUUAUUUUUAAACUUGACAAUUGUUUCCAAAUUGGCGAUUGACUUUUUUAUAUUAAUCUCGUAAACUUAUUCAUGAAUUGGGCCAUCUACUAAAGUAAAAAAGCCCACAAAAUUUUGAGAAAAUUUGAACAAAAAUAUCAAACCCAAAAAAGGAAUUUAAUAAAAAAACCAUUUAAAAUAUAAGCUAAGCUCGAGUUUGAAUAUUCAAGACCCAAAUCCAACUCACUUUUUAAGCUUGUAAUGAUUUAUACUAAAAUAAUGUAAACAUUAAAAAAUGUUAAAAAACCUAUAUACAAAAUUUCAAUAAAAAUAUAUAUAAUUAUUAAAUAUGAAAUUAAAAAUAAAAAUAAAUAGAUUUUAGUUUUAAUUUUAAAAAAUACAAAUUAACUAUUUACAAAUAUAUGCAAAUUUGAGCAAAUUUUUAAGUCCAUUUCAAGCCAAGCUAACUAAGCAUGAGCAAGCAUAAAAAAUAUUAAUAUCAACCCUAAAUCCGAUCCAACUAAUAAACACCUCAAUCAAUAACCCCUCAUUUCCUUGAAAAAAUGUUGGACCAAAAACACUUUUUGUUCAAGUUAGUCUCAAAUAUUUCCUUAAAAUAAGUUAAAAAAAAAUUUAAGUCCUAAUACAAACCAAUUGCCUAGUUCAAGCCAUAAUACAAGAAAAAUUGCCAAACUAAGAUAGGCCUAAAAAAGGAUUGACCCUCAAAUUUACUACAAAACUUGUGAAAUAAAGCCAGUAAUUUCUUUUACUAAAGCAUCCUAGUUGGCUUUGAAAAACAAAAACCAUGGCGAAAAGAGUUCAAAACAUUGGAUGAUACUUAAUAUUAAAGACAAUGACAAUAACAUAACAAACCAGUUCCAAGUAAACAAAAUGAGAUAUUAAAAUAAAGAAAAUUCAACUUCAACCUCUCUGAUGUGGCCUAGGCUUCUCAAAUGAAAUCAAUAUCCAAUCAACAAACUUGUAGAUGUUCACUAACAAAAAUUGUAGAACUACAACCACUUUAACUCUCUUUCAUUUCAUCAAAUGAGAGAACUUACAUAAACAAGUUAGGCUUUGAUGCCUUGUAGGUUGUCUUCAGCUUCCUGGUAGGUGGCCUUACCUUCUUGAACACCAAUGGGAACUUGAUUUUGGAGUUGUGGAACUGCUUGGUGCUAUCUCUCUUGCAUAGCUUGGCUGGGAUCGUUGCAGUUUUGAUAAUCUGGAUGCAAGGGAAACGGACUCUGUGGCGAGAAGCCAUCUCAGUGUACAUCUGUUCAACAGCUCCGUUCAAAGUAGUGUCACGGUACUCUUUGUACAUGUUGUGGUAACCAGUUCGGCUUUGGUACCGGAGCCAGAUACCGUAAUUCUUAAUCUUGGUAGGGUUCUUCUCAAAAAUCUGCAGAGAGAUUUCAGUUAGAUAUAGGGCAUUGAAAAGAAAAACAAAGUUGUAUCCCGAAUCAUGUUCCCUUCGGUGCAUUGGAAACCAAGAUGCACCGCACUAACUACGGCUUUUCCUUUUUCUGAUAAAGAUUCCACAAUAUAGAGAGUAAAUGAAUUCUGGUCAACAAGCAAGGAAAGAGCUAGGGGAUUAAAAAAAGCCUAAAUCAUUCAAUUUCAAGAAACUUUUCAAAUUCAACGUCUUACAUACAAAGUAUCAAAAAGUAAUUUGACCAAACAAAUCAUUCAUUGCAAUCACAAUCAGCAAAGCAAAGAAUGAAUAAGCUAAAUGAUCAAUAUGCAUGAACUUCUUAAAGUGUUAAUAAAGUUGGCUGGAAAGCCUAAAAUCAGAUAUUUCUUAGCUACCUAAGUUCCCUGCUCGCUUAUGAGCAUGAGUUCCAGUGUAUAUUGGACAGACACAAGCAAAACAUUGGCAAUUAACACAAUAGUUUCAGACAUUAAUCAACAUAACCCUAGCUAUAAAAAUUGAAUGGAAAGGAUGCUUUUCUUAUUCAAAUUUCCACACAUCAUCCCACAAUAAAUCACUUCGUACAGAGUGAAUUAUCAAACGGGAAACACUGAGUAUAAACCUCAUUGAUGGCAAGGACUUGACCAUUGCUCUUCUUAACCUUCUUCAGCUUCCUCAAGAAGUACCUAAUGAAUAUCAAAGGAGACACAAAAAUCAUAACCCAUCAACAACAAGCAAAUGGGAAUUUAAAGUUAACCAAAAAAGAUAUAGAAGGGCAUGAAAAAAAUAACUAACCAGAACUUGGAUUUUGCCCGAACCUCAUUGGUGGCCCAGAGCUUCAUCCUAUAGAUCUUGGGAUGCUCAUCGCUCUCUGUUGGGUGAGCCCUUCCAACAACUUGGUACUGAUGAAACUGCAACCAUUACCAAAACCAAAAUCAAACUUUUCUGUCUACCACUCCCCCAUUUCUCAUAUUAAUUCAAAUACAGCUUAAAGCAACACUCCUCCCUUUAAUUACUUAAAAGAUCCAUAAACCAGCAUAUUUACUGACAACUUUCUAGCCAACAUGAAAUAAAGAAAAUUUCGAAUGGACCGAAACCAAGCAUAACUUAACAUAAUAAAAUCACCAUAAAAUUUAUGAAGCUAAAUGAGGGAAACAGAGGGAGUAGCGGCGUUGCCCACUUACCCUGAAAGUAACCAUUUUUUGAGGGAAAGAUAGUAAGUAUCUGAAGGAGUCGCAGCCCUCUCGCAGUUAGGGUUUGUCAUAUCAAAACGUAUAUAUACAACUAUCUUUUCGAAAUUGGGUCGGGUAUACUGUAUUUAGAUUGGGUUUAACAUAUUUCUUAAUCUCGACCCAAAUUAUGAUUAGUAUUGACCCAAUAUGAAUCUUGAUUUUUUCGGCCCAAAAUGAAUACAAUUUUUCAACAGUUUCAUCAGCUUUCUUACGAAGGUCUAUCCAAAAAGUAAAAGAAUUUAGAAAAAAUAUAAGCAUGAAAAAUAAAUUUUAGUGAAAAGAUGAGAACUAUUUUCUAAAUAGAUUGGGUCUCAAGUAAGCUUUUUUCUCCGGGCCCAACCCAGCCCGAUUUUGUAAAAAAAAAACUACUGCUUUUUAUUGCUGUUUUGUAACUGUUUUGGUGCUGUUAAUGUUUAGAUAUUAAAUAAUUAUUAUUUUAUUGUUAAUUUUAUUAUUUUUUAAAUGUAUUUAUUUGCUAAGUUAAAUCUAUUUAAUAUUAUUAGGUAUAAGUAUUUUUUUAAUUUAUUUCUAAUUUAUUGAGAAACAUUUAUUUUAAUAUUUUUAGUGUAUUUGAUCUAUAUUUCUUAAAAUUUAUUUUUAUAUCAAAAUAAUAAUAUAAAAAAAUUAAUAUGAGCAUGCUAGACCUAACUCAAAUUUUAGAAUUUUUAUUUGAAUCAAAUUUGGAGAAAAUUUUAUACUCCCUUUUAAGUCGGGCCCAGCGGAUGCCUAAAAUUCUAUCAUCAUUCACUUCAAUAAACAACGCUAGUGACACUUCAAUAUCAUUAACUCUUCUGGCCUUGUAAACUCAAAAAAACUGUGUUAUUCCUUGAAUCUAGCAUAAAGAUUGGUUGACCAGACUUGAAUCAAAUUUGCUUUCAUAUUUUCGAUCCUUCAAAAUGUUGCAGCUACUACAAAACACAUUUCAAAAGAAGUAUUUUUAAAUUACAUAAUUCAUCUAUUCAUUAGAUUUUUCUUUAUUUAAAAUAAUUAUUAUUAUAUAUUUAUACUAUCUUAAAUAUUUAAUUAAUAAUCUUAAUUUUUAAAAUUUUUAUGAAUAAUUAAUUAAAUAAAAAUAAUAAUUAGAUAAUUUAUUCAUUUGAUUUAACUUAAAUAUUUGUUUUAUUAUUUUUUCUAUUUGAAAUUUUGAUUUUAACAUAAUUAAAAAAAAACAAUUACAACAUUUUUAGAAAACGCACUGUUUUAAAUUAUGUAAUUUCUAUAUUUAUUAGAUUUUAUAAUUAUUUUCAAAUAUUUAAUAUUAACUUAAGUAAUUUAUAUGUUCAUUAAAUAAGCUAAAGUGGGCCAAUUAGGUAAAACUUUUAUAUAAAAAUUAUCUCAUCAGAUCUACUAAAACAACCAACUAGAAUAAGCCACGUGUAUGUAAAAAAUCAAUGUUCUUUUCUAUUAUAUCUUCUCCAAUUUUCAACCAAAAACUAAAGUUGAUAACGCAGAAUAUCCAGAUUAACAUAUAAUAAAGAAAUUAUGUAUAGAAGAAAUCUUUAAAAAAAAUUUGGAUUUAAUAUUAUAAGAUUGCAUGUGAUUUUAGGGAAAGUCAGUCACUAAGCUAGAAAAGGGGAAAGGGAAAGGAGCCCGCUGACGGUCUUUUUGUCGAGAACGAUAGCGGAGAGGAGCAACGCACAGUGGCUCACAACAACGGUCAAUGAAGGAAAAGAACAGAGAGUUGAGAGAAAAAAGAAAAAUGAACAGGAAAAAAAAUUGAAGCCGCCUCUUAGAAACCUAAAAAUAUAAAAUGAAUUUAUUGAAAUGAAAAUUAAAAGUUCAAAUGAAAAAAAAUUAAUUUCACAAGUAUAAAAAAUUAAAUUAAAUUAAAUUUUUAAACACAUGGCACAAGAUGAUAGGUUAAAAUUUUAAAAAAUUAACAAAGUUAAUCAAGUACCAAUUAAUAUCAAGCAUGUACAAGUUGCCAAGUUCUUAUAUUUACUCUUAUAAAGUUGGACAAAAGAAUUUUAAACCUUUAUAUAGGAACCAUUCCCAUGUUUUGGGAUUUAACUUGGACAAAACAAAAAUUCAAGCCUUAAAACAAAAAUAAUUGCUUAGGUUCAAACCCAAAUGUAAGAACAAUUGCCUAACUUACCAAAUUCAAGUCCCCAAAAAAUGAUUCACCAUCAAAUUUAUUAGAAAACUUGCGAAAUAAAGCCAGCAAUUUCUUUUACUAAAGCAUCCUAAUUGCCUUCGAGAAACAAAAACCCUGGCCAAUAAAGUUCAAACAUUGCAAACCAGCUCAUCGAAGUAAACAAAAUGUGAUAGUAAAUUAAAGAAAAUUCAACUUCAACCAGUCAGAUGUGGCCUAGGCUUCUCAAAUGAAAAACAAUAUCCAAUCAACAAACUGACAGACGUUCACUACCAAAAAUUUUAGAACUAUAAACCACAUCAACUCUCUUUUCAUUGCAAUGAGAGAACUUACAUAAACAAGUUAGGCUUUGAUGCCUUGUAAGUGGUCUUCAGCUUCCUGGUAGGCGGCCUUACCUUCUUGAACACCAAUGGGAACUUGAUUUUGGAGUUGUGGAACUGCUUGGUGCUAUCUCUCUUGCAUAGCUUGGCUGGGAUAGUUGCAGUCUUGAUAAUCUGGAUACAUGGGAACCGGACUCUGUGGCGAGAAGCCAUCUCAGUGUACAUUUGUUCAACAGCUCCGUUUAGAGUAGUGUCACGGUAUUCCUUGUACAUGUUAUGAUAACCGGUACGGCUUUGGUAGCGGAGCCAUAUACCAUAAUUCUUGAUCUUGGUAGGGUUCUUCUCAAAU